UCCUUUAAUGAGAAUGAAAGCUAUUUUUCUUACUCUCUUCAUAAUCCCUCCAUUCUGAGCAGAGUGGUGCUAGAUGUGUCAGGCCAGGUUAAGCGUCUGAAUUGUCAUGAAGGCGCACAUGAAUGGGAUUUAUUUUGGCUUCAACCAAAAACACAGUGUGAGGUUUAUGCUUACUGUGGGCCUUUCGGAACCUGCACUGGGGAUUCUGUUGAAUUUUGUGAAUGCUUGCCAGGUUUUGAACCUCUCUUCCCUGAAGACUGGAAUCUGCAAGACAGAUCUGGAGGGUGUGUGAGGAAAGCAGAUUUGCAGUGUGUCAAUGAAAGCCAUGCUAAUGGGGAGCGAGACCAGUUUCUUUUGGUGUCUAACGUGAGACUGCCCAAGUAUCCAGUAACACUGCAAGCAAGGAGUGCUAUGGAGUGCGAAUCAAUUUGCCUGAAUCGCUGCUCUUGCUCUGCUUAUGCUUAUGAGGGAGAGUGUAGAAUAUGGGGUGGAGAUCUUGUAAACGUGGAGCAGCUACCAGAUGGUGAAAGUAAUGCUAGAAGUUUCUAUAUCAAACUUGCUGCCUCUGAGCUAAAUAAGAGAGGUAAGAAAAAAGAGUCAUAGUUGUUAUUGUAGGAGGACAUAAAGCAUAUGGGUCUUGUUUUAUUUUCAAAAUAAAAUGGCCAUCGAUUCAGCUAAAUUUAAUAUGAUAUAUUUCCUUCUACAGUUUCAAGCAGCAAGUGGAAGGUAUGGCUAAUUAUUACACUGGCCAUAUCUUUAACUUCAGCCUUUGUCAUUUAUGGGAUAUGGGGAAGGUUCCGAAGAAAAGGUCAGUAUUUCUCAAGGACAGACGGAUGGCCAAGCGAUUCAACCGUUUUUAGGUUCCAUCUACAAAUAAAAAACCAGUUCUUUUCUGAAAUGAGUUCAUUAGCACUGUUAUUGAAUGGUUAAGGUAACAUUAGGAUUUCAUGUUCUGAUUACAUGUGAGUGUGUAUGUGGAAUCCAAUGUGAGAAAUAAUUUAUUCCCAUGCCAGAAUUCCUACAUUCAUAUGAUAUUUAUUGUCUGUUUGUUCUUUACCAAGCAGGGGAAGAUUUGUUAGUAUUUGAUUUCGGUAACAGCUCAGAAGAUACCAGCUAUGAACUUGGCGAGACAAAUAGACUUUGGAGGGGCGAGAAGAAGGAAGUUGAUUUGCCCAUGUUCAGUUUUGCGAGUGUAUCUGCUUCUACAAAUAACUUCUCUAUUGAAAAUAAACUAGGAGAGGGCGGUUUUGGAUCUGUUUACAAGGUGAGAUUACAACCCUUGACAAUAAUGUUCUACAAUUUGUCCUGGAGUGUGAAGGCCCACUUGAUAUAUACCAAAUUUCUUUUACUUGGUGUAAUUGUAGUCACAUGAAAUUCCCAUGACAGGGAAAGUUACAAAGAGGAUAUGAGGUAGCUGUGAAAAGGCUCUCAAAAAGAUCUAAACAGGGAUGGGAGGAGUUAAAAAAUGAAGCCAUGCUUAUAGCCAAGCUGCAACACAAGAAUCUUGUGAAAGUUUUGGGAUACUGCAUCGAGCGGGAUGAGAAGAUAUUGAUUUAUGAGUAUAUGUCCAACAAAAGCUUGGAUUUCUUCCUCUUUGGUUUGUAACUUCCACAUAGAUAUGCUUCCAGCUACUGUAUAUUCAAUGAGAACUUUACACAUUCAUCAUUCUUCACCACUUAUUUGCUAACAUCUAUUUAUUUGGUGUGAAAUGGAAAUAGAUCCUGCAAAACGUGGGAUUCUGAAUUGGGAGAUGCGAGUUCGCAUCAUUGAAGGGGUUGCUCAGGGACUUCUUUAUCUCCAUCAGUACUCCAGAUUGAGAGUUAUUCAUCGAGAUUUGAAGGCUAGCAACAUUCUUCUGGAUAAAGACAUGAACCCAAAAAUAUCAGAUUUUGGAAUGGCAAGAAUUUUUGGAGGAAAUGAAUCAAAAGCAACAAAACAUAUAGUUGGGACUUAGUAAGUGAAUCCUAACGCAUUGUAAAAUAUGUGGAUUGUCUCACAACAUGCUUUUUUUCUACAUGUAUAUUUGUAAUCAUGCAAUUACUAAAUGAAUUGUUUUAAUAAUGAAUCCAGUGGCUACAUGUCCCCCGAGUAUGUUUUGCGAGGUCUCUUUUCAACUAAAUCUGAUGUUUUUAGCUUCGGGGUCUUGUUACUAGAGAUUCUAAGUGGCAAGAAGAUUACUGAAUUUUAUCAUAGUGGCUCGCUCAAUCUUCUUGGAUAUGUAAGUAACACAAUUUUCCUCUUAUGUAGCUAAAGUUAUCAUGUUUACUACUAUAUUUCAAGCUUGAAGUUACACACUUGAAUGCAAUUGACCGAAUUAGGACUAUAUAUCUUUUUUUCUUUUUUCGGGAAUGUGCAUCAAAGUAUAAUUUUCUUUCCUUUAGGCAUGGGAUCUGUGGAAAAACAACAAAGGACAGGAGUUGAUUGAUCCAGUAUUGAAUGAGAUAUCUUUGAGACAUAUUAUGUUAAGGUACAUCAAUGUAGCCCUUCUUUGUGUUCAAGAAAGUGCAGAUGAUAGGCCCACCAUGUUCGAUGUUGUCUCCAUGCUUGUCAAGGAAAAUGUACUUUUAUCUUCUCCAAAUGAGCCAGCCUUCUCAAAUCUAUCGAGUAUGAAACCACAUGCAUCUCAAGAUAGGCUUGAAAUUUGUUCCUUAAAUGAUGUAACACUUUCAAGCAUGGGAGCACGAUAAGUUUUCUAAAUUUCAGAUUGCAUAUGCUUAAAUGUCUUCAGCAUAUUGUCUAGUAUUAUUAUUGGCCAUCAAGUUGAUUGUUGAUGUACUGAACGUGUGAACUUUUGUAUGUAUUUUUCUUUCAAUGCAGUUCAAUAAUGUGCUUAAUUUUACUCAAUCCUCAAGGAUUCAGACCUGUAUCUCAUCUUCCCAUCUGUAAUUGCUACUGAAUCUGUUGGUUUUGAAACUAGAUAAUUAAAAGAAAAACGGAAGCCAGAAAAUUUUUCUCAAAAUUUAAUGAAAUAACAAAUAUAGGUAAUUUAGAAUUGUACCUUGCGAUUAGGCUGAUAAAUUUGAACUCCACCUAAAGGAUCUUAGAAUUCCAAAUCCUCUAAAGCACCAUGGAUCUUUCUCUAACGUUCUCCAAAAAAUGAUGAACUCAAAACGAGUGGGCGUUUAUUAUCUUUGGGUUUUUUUUUAUAUCACACAACUUAAUAUAUUGAAAACUUGUAUUCUCACCCAUCAUCCGAAAAACAUUGAGAAAAAAAAAACUUUUUAAUACCACGAAGAAAAAAAUGACAUAUUUUGAAUUUUGAAAAACAUGGGAGAGAAUAUCUCUCCCCAUGAUCCCCACUUAAAAAGUGUUUCUUUGAAUUUUGAAAAACAUGGGAGAGAAUAUCUCUCCCCAUGAUCCUCACUUAAAAAGUGUUUCUUAGGGAAUACAAGUAAGUGUGGUCUUCACUACAUUGUAUCAAAAAUUAUUUUAAAUAAUCAAAUUAUAAAAUAAAUAAAUCAAAUCAAGAUUGUGUGAAAUUAAUUUAGAAUUCAAAAUUCCAAACUAAUAAAAUCAACCCAACAUAAAAAAAAAUGUUCAUAUAAUUUUAAUGGAGCCGUUGAGAGGAACUAUGGACAUUAUAAUUUUAAGCUCCAAUAAUUUUGACAAUUAAUUAACAACUUAAUUAAAAAAUCAAAAUUAUUAAUUCCAAAAUUACUCCACUAAAAAUUUGGAAUUGCACUCUUAAAAUUAUAAAAUUAAAUAUAUUCAAAGGAUUUGAAUUGCCCAUUAAUAUAGUUACUACAUAUGAGUCAAUCCUCCAUAAACGGUUCAUAAUUAAAGCUAGGUUUUUCCGUUAACCUCUUUAAUUAUAUCUUUCUCCUUAAGUGCCAUUGGUUCUCUAAUGAAUAAUAUAUUUAUGGUCUAAUCAUAAAUUGAGCGCUCUUAUCAUUCAAGGCCCGAACCAAUACUUAUGGUAACCGUCCAUCUGACUUCUUAACGAAGGAAUGAAUUUCAUCUUGUAUAUUAAUAUUCCCGGCUAUUUAUUUUAUUAUACUUCCAAUACACCAAUAAUUUGACACUAUGUAUUUGUGUCAUUACCCGAUAUGUAAAAAAAUACAAUACAAUAAAUAGGAGUCUAUUAAUCACUCAGAAUUAAGAUCAAUGCAUAUAUGACCAUCAUUGAUUAAUAUUGAAUGCUCUAUAUUAUAACGGAAUUUAUUAGAGAUUCAUAAUUAAUCGUGUUCCAGUCCUAUAUAAUCAAAUUAUAUAAAACGCUUUCAUUCCAAUAAUCUCAUUAUUAACAAUCCGGAUAAGAUCAUUUCAUUCAUAAUGUAAUGAACCACGCUAGUAAUUUUAAAUUAAAGAUCCCAACUUUAAUUUUUAAUUACGAACAUAUUAGAUUAUUUUACUUUAAAUGUUAUCCUCCUGUAUAUAACACUUAUAUACAAUAUUUAAAGUUACAAUUAAAUAAUCUAGGGUUUUCGAUAUUUAUAAAGCAUCUAUAACAUGCAUGCAACAAUAAUAUUGAAAUAAUUCCUUAAAAAAAUAUUAAUAAUCAGCAAAAUAAAAAACAUCUCAUUUGUUUAUGGGCACAUAUUCCAACAAAAUCUGCUUUUAUGCAUUGCCAAUCCAGACACUAAAAUACAACCCUCAGAGCUUACUGCAAAUAUUCAACUAGUACUAGGAAAGACGAGCUUUUGCGCAUGAUAUAGCUAAGCAUAAGUACUAAUUAACAUAUAGGCAAGAGGGAAAGUGAGGAAGGAAAGCAGAUAUAGAUUUUUUUGCCUUUUAAACUGUGAUAGCAUCUAGCAUUUUUUUUAAGAGAAGAAAUAGUAUAAUUUAAUUGAGUACUCGUAAAACCUUCUUUUCUUAUUGGACAUGGUUUCAAUAAAACCCAUUUGGUUGCCAAGAAAUCUGAGGAAAUUCCCUUAAUUCUAAGGGUUCAAGAACAAGCCGAGUCCAGCACGACUCGGCCGAGUCGUAUAAACUCAUACUCAAUCAGGAAUCGCUUAAACUCGGUUAACUCAACGGAGAUUCCGAGUUGACUCGGUUGAACCGUUUGUGUUAACAAAAGAAAUCGUUUUUUCACUUUCGAAUCACAGCAGAGGAACAACAAACGAGAUGUAAACCUAAAAAACCUCUCAAAAAUCAAAGAUUGUCUUCAAAAGGAAAAGCUUCUCAACAACCAUGAUGAAGAGGAAGAAAGGCAUCAGUCUAAACCAUGACCGAGUCUUGGAGGUGCACAAGAAGAAGAGGUUGAGGUAUUACUAACUUCAGAACGAUCAUGGAUGUGGAGCGCCUUCGAUGGUCCCGGUGUGGUAACUGGUGUGAUGAGAAGAUUCCCUCCAUUGACGUGAGCGGCCAUCGCUGCAUCUGGUCUCUCCUCUCUCUAAUUUUGGUCUCAGUUCUCGCCUGCUUCUGUCUGCCUUCCUCCCUCUCUCUCUCUCUCUCUCUUUCUCCCUAGUACGGGUGAGUUAGUGAUUUGAAGAAAGGGUGGCAAUCGGUGCCAGAAAAUUGGGGAUUUGAAGACAGGGUGGUCAAUGUUUUAAUAUCACAAUUAUUUAUAAUUGUAUAUGUUAAUAUUAGGUAAUAUAUUAUCAAAUUUUAUAGUCUUUGUUUUUUUUAUGAUAAUAAUUUAUUAUUUUAUAUAUUAAUGGUGUGAUAUAAAUUAUAUUAGCUUAAGUAAAGUAUUAUUUUAUAUGGCAAUGAUAGCAUAUUUGAUGUAUUAAUUUAUUAUUAACAAUAUAUUCAAGUCAUUUAAUAUAUUAUUAUAUUAACAUAUUAAAAUCAUUUAAUUAAUAAUAUAUACUUUGUUUAAUAAAUAUAAUUUUAUAUUAUAUUUAAACAUAAAGUGUUGUAAUCAUUUAAUCAAAAUUAAAAAUAAAAUUAAUGAUUGAAUUAUAUGUCUUUUAGUAAAAAUAUCAUUAUAGUUGAAAUAAAAUAAUUUUCAAUUCCUAACAUUAUCAUAAAUUGUUUUUGUGGAGACUUUAUAACUAUUUAAAUAAUAUUAAAUGUGAAAAAAUUUAUUUUAUAAUUUUUAAGCUUAUUUAAUUAUAUUUGUUUUUGUAAAAAAUUUCAAAAUUUUUUUCUAAUUUAAAAAUUUUUUAGUUAUCUUAUUUUGCAUACCACUUGAUACCAAAUCGAGAUGUUGAGACCGUUAUGCCUUGGGACCCUCCAAAUUAAUGAUUGAUAUCGUCACUUCAAUUAUAUGAAUAUAAAAAAUAAAUAUGUAAAGAAAUACCAUAAGACAUAAUAAUAGUAUUUUAAAAUAUUUUUAGCAUAUUGAUAUAAAUAUAUAUAUAUAUAUAUAAUUAUUUAAUAGUUAUUACUUAUAUUUAAUGGUUUAAAAUAUUUUUUAGUUUUUAAUUAGUAUAUUUUUUGUAUCAAUCAAUAUCGCUUUGACAUCUUAGAUUUAAAUAAUGAAAAUAGUAUCAAUUUUUCAAAAAAAAAGAAAGAAAAAGGAAAUGAUCUUUUAAGGUUAAAGUAUUAAUCUUUAGGUUUAGAUGUUCCCAAACCUUCAAUUCUAAGUGUUGAAGACGACUUCGAAGUUGUUGGAAGUCUUGUAAAUCUACGAUUUUCUAUCUGAUGAUUUGAACCUUGAUCUUAAUGCACUUUUAGUGGAGAUCGAUGGAAGAAAGGGUGGAAACUAUGAGUCUUUCUCUUUGAAGGUGGAAGAUGACUUUCUACAAAAAGUUAUGGAAACUUUAACCCCAAGAUCGAUGUACCUUAAAACCUUUCAAGUCAAUGACCCAUACCGUAACUUUCAACCAUAAGAUGGACACUAAAAAAAAAAAGAAUUAGAGUUGGAUUUGAACACAAACAUCUUUCAAAGAAGAGAAUGUACCUAUCAUUAUGGAAAAUUAUUAUUAAAUUUGGGUGGCAAAAUAUAUCUCCUAUAUUUUAACCCCUACCAUAAGUGACUUUGUGUAAGCGUAAAAAGAAGAACUAUAGAAAAGAUGCCUUAGGUAUUUGCUGAUUAUGAACUAUAUCUAGUAAAAGAUCAUACACGAUGUCCGAAAAACUAUAGAAGAAGAUAAAUCUUGAAGGGAAGAUCAAUGGAAAUGGGUCUAUGACUCGCCACUCCAUGAUUUAUGGGCUGCUUAAACUCUGAUGAUGGGUUAUGGGUAGCAUGAAAAUUUCAGCCAGAGGGUGGUCUGUCAAUCUUGCUUGUUUCUUCAUGUUUUCACUUGGAAUUUGCUAAUGCAUUUAUAGACACAAUCUUACAAGGUCAGUCAAUCACAACUUCUCAAACCAUCGUAUCUGUUGGUGGUGACUUUGAAUUAGGAUUCUUUUCUCUUGGAAACUCCACAAAAUACUAUGUGGGGAUAUGGUACAAGAAAGUGUCAGAGCAAACCAUUGUGUGGGUAGCUAACCGAGGUUAUUCAUUCACAAAUCUAUAUGUGGUUCUUACUAUUAUCCCAGAUGGUAACCUCGAGAUUUGGGAAGGGAAAAUUUCAUACAAGGUGACAAACGUAUCAUUAAAUAGAAACACCGGUGCCACCCUGUUGGAUUCAGGAAAUUUUGUUUUGAGAAAUGAGAAGUCGAAUAUCUUAUGGUAGAGCUUUGACUAUCUAUUGGACAUGAUCUUGCCCAGAAUGAACAUUGGAUAUGACAGAAGGGCUGGAAAAACAUGGUCAUUGGUGUCAUGGAAGAGCACAGAAGAUCCUAGUCCAGGAGUUUUUAUUAGAGAAUUCAUUAUAAUAGAUUUUCUUAUUAGCUUUUUUCCUAUAAUGUGUGGCCAUAUACAAUUAUAUUUGUAUGAAUAUUAUUUAAGGGUAUCAAUUGAUCGGUAGGUGAAUCAAUUGAUUGGGUAUCUAAGAGUCUUAUGUAUGGAAGACUCAAAUUUAUAAAUAGGGAGUUAGAAAAUUUAACUCAUAUGAAUGUGGUGUUACAACUUUUGUAACCCCAUCAUUAUGAAAUUUAUUUGUACAUUAUGUUUAUGAGUAAUAGAGGAAAAUGGAAAAGUAUAACCUAUGCAAUUAUAUAGAUGCAUUCAAGUUCAUACCCCACCAUUACCCAUUAAUUUGUACAUAAUGGGUGUAAAUAAUGAGUAUAACUCCCAUAUAGUCUUUGAUGGGAAGACUAAGAGAUGUAUAAUUUUUUUUAUAAAUUGAGGUCCUAAGCCACACUCUCAUUCUUAUGUCUUUUUGUUGGUUUAUUUUUAACAACAUACACCACACAAGUGACCCAUCCACUAUAUGAGAGUAGUGAGUCGAAGACCUUGCCAAUCCAAUUCACAAGGUAACUCAAUCUCACUUCAAAAGUGUUAUUGAUAUCAUGAAUCAAGGUAAGAAUAUGAUCAUUAUUUGAAUACUUAUAUAUAUAUAUUUUUUUUAUGCAUCCAAAAUGGUUUUAUAAAAUAAUAAUUUCCACAUAAAGUUUAUAAAAGUUUGGUUGACAUUUCUUUCUAUUUUUAAAUUCUUCUAAUUAGUUGUAAUUUCCUAUUUUUUUUUGUAAUAUCCUAAUUUUAGGAUUGUUUCUUAUUUUUGUAUUUUGGGUAGAUUGUUUCCUAUUUUUGUGUUUUAGGUUUUGUGUAUAUAUAUUCAUUCUUAAUCAAUGGAAAAGUCAAGCCAUUGUUUCUCAAUAAUCUUCUACUUCAACAUGGUAUCAAGAGCCUAAUUUUCUUUGGUGUAUUUUCUUCCUUUUUUUUUUCCCUUUUCCUUAAUGGCUUCCAGUGCAUCCUUCUCUUCCACCAACAAUCCUAUCACCAUCCAAAACUCUCAAGAUCCUCAAAAUCCUCUCCUUACAAUCAAUCUCUCCAAUAUCACCAAAUUGUCAUCCAUCAAUUAUCUCACAGGGAGCCUUCAAAUCCAAUCCUUCUUGAAGGUUAUAAUCUUCAUCACUUCAUUGAUGGCGCUCAUACUCCACCACCACCCACCGUCACCGUCACCAUCACUUGUGUUGCAUCCCCAAAUCUAGUAUACACAACCUGGAAGCGUCAGGAUCGUCUCAUCUUUAACGCUCUCCUUGGUGCUAUCUUCGUUUCACUACAACCGCUUAUUGUCUGCACCACCACUUCCCUUGAUGCAUGGCAAACCUUAGUUAAUACCUAUGCCAAACCCUUGAUAAUUUUCUCUCCACCAAUGGUAUAUCCCAUCUUACUACACCACAUACACCUGGACACAAUGGCCUUUCCGAAUGACGUCAUUGUCAUAUUGUUGAAACCGGUCUAUUUCUUCUCACUUAUGCAUCGAUAUCUCUAACUUAUUGGACUUACGCCUUUGCCACUAUUGUAUAUCUCAUCAACUGUAUGCCCACACCCACACUAUAUCUCUCAUCUCCUUUUGACCAACUCUUUGAGUCUCCACCCAACUACACUAAACUUUGGGUGUUUGGUUGCUUAUGUUAUUCGUGGCUUUGUCCUUAUUCUCAACAUAAACUUAACUCUCGUUUCACUUCUUGUGUUUUUCUUGGUUACUCUUCCUACACCACCUAUUAUAUAUUGUGACAAUGUUGGUGCCACCUAUCUCUAUUCUAAUCUAGUCUUUCAUUCGCGCAUGAAACAUGUGGCAAUUGACUAUCACUUUAUUCGGGAUCAAGUUCAAUUAUGUGUUCUUCGUGUUACUCAUGUUUCCUCAACAGAUCAACUUGUCGACGCUCUUACUCAACCGCUUCCACAAAGCUUCUUCCAAGAAUUACGGGUCAAGAUUGGCGUCUCCUCCAGAGCUCUAUCUUGAGGGGGCAUAUUAGAGAAUUUAUUACAAUAGAUUUUCUUUCUAUUUUUAAAUUCUUCUAAUUAGUUGUAAUUUCCUAUUUUUGUUGUAAUCCCCUAAUUUUAGGAUUGUUUCCUAUCUUUGUGUUUUGGGCUAAUUCUAGGAUUGUUUCUUAUUUUUGUGUUUUGAGUAGAUUGUUUCUUAUUUUUGUUGGAAUAUGUGCCCAUAAACAAAUGAGAUGUUUUUUAUUUUGCUGAUUAUUAAUAUUUUUUAAGGAAUUAUUUCAAUAUUAUUGUUGCAUGCAUGUUAUAGAUGCUUUAUAAAUAUCGAAAACCCUAGAUUAUUUAAUUGAAACUUUAAAUAUUGUAUAUAAGUGUUAUAUACAAGAGGAUAAUAUUUAAAGUAAAAUAAUCUAAUAUGUUCGUAAUUAAAAAUUAAAGUUGGGAUCUUUAAUUUAAAAUUACUAGCGCGGUUCAUUACAUUCUGAAUGAAAUGAUCUUAUCCGGAUUGUUAAUAAUGAGAUUAUUGGAAUGAAAGCGCUUUAUAUAAUUUGAUUAUAUAGGACUGGAACACGAUUAAUUAUGAAUCUCUGAUAAAUUCCGUUAUAAUAUAGAGCAUUCAAUAUUAAUCAAUGAUGGUCAUAUAUGCAUUGAUCUUAAUUCUGAGUGAUUAAUAGACUCCUAUUUAUUCUAUUGUAUUUUUUGACAUACCGGGUAAUGACACAAAUACAUAGUGUCAAAUUCUUGGUGUAUUGGAAGUAUAAUAAAAUAAAUAGCCGGGAAUAUUAAUAUACAAGAUGAAAUCCAUUCCUUCGUUAAGAAGUCAGAUGGACAGUUCCCAUAAGUAUUGGUUCGGGCCUUGAAUGAUAAGAACGCUCAAUUUAUGAUUAGACCAUAAAUAUAUUAUUCAUUAGAGAACCAAUGGCACUUAAGGAGAAAGAUAUAAUUAAAGAGGUUAACGGAAAAACCUAGCUUUAAUUAUGAACCGUUUAUGGAGGAUUGACUCAUAUGUAGUGACUAUAUCAAUGGGCAAUUCAAAUCCUUUGAAUAUAUUUAAUUUUAUAAUUUUAAGAGUGCAAUUCCAAAUUUUUAGUGGAGUAAUUUUGGAAUUAAUAAUUUUGAUUUUUUAAUUAAGUUGUUAAUUAAUUGUCAAAAUUAUUGGAGCUUAAAAUUAUAAUGUCCAUAGUUCCUCUCAACGGCUCCAUUAAAAUUAUAUGAACAUUUUUUUAUGUUGGGUUGAUUUUAUUAGUUUGGAAUUUUAAAUUCUAAAUUAAUUUCACACAAUCUUGAUUUGAUUUAUUUAUUUUAUAAUUUGAUUAUUUAAAAUAUUUUUUGAUACAAUGUGGUGAAGACCACACUUACUUGUAUUCCCUAAGAAACACCUUUUGAGUGGGGAUCAUGGGGAGAGAUAUUCUCUCCCAUGUUUUUCAAAAUUCAAAGAAACACUUUUUAAGUGGGGAUCAUGGGGAGAGAUAUUCUCUCCCAUGUUUUUCAAAAUUCAAAACAUGUCAGUUAUUUUUUUUUUCUUCGUGGUAUUAAAAUUUUUUUUUUCUCAAUGUUUCUCGGAUGAUGGGAUGAGAAUACAAGUUUUCAAUAUAUAUUAAGUUGUGUGAGAAAAAAAAACAGAAGAAUGAAAAACGCCCACUCGUUUUGAGUUCAUCAUAAUUUGGAGAACGUUAGAGAAAGAUCCAUGGUGCUUUAGAGGAUUUGGAAUUCUAAGAUCCUUUUGGUGAAGUUCAAAUUUAUUAGCCUAAUCGCAAGGUACAAUUCUAAUUUACCUAUAUUUGUUAUUUCAUUAAAUUAAUACAAGUAUUGAUCAUUGAGAAAAAAUUUUGAGAAAAUUUUUUUGGUUUCCGUUUUUUUCUUUUAUUUAUCUGGUUUCAAAACCAACAAUUGGUAUCAGAGCAGGUUGAUACUCUGUAUUAAUUUAAUGAAUGAUUAUUUGAUAAUCUUUGCAUGGCUUUCGGUAGGCACUUUUGCAUAUUGAUGUUUGUUUAUUUUUAUGUUCAUGGUGAUGAAUGUUUGUGGGAAUGGAUUGGCCGUUUUUUUAUUGGUUCCAUGGAUUUUGUUAUUUUUGUAAUAAUUAUUUUAUUAGAUCUUUUGUAAAUAGGAUUCUUGCUGUAAUUCCUAUUUUAUAAGAUUUUUUGUAAAUAGGUUUACUGUUGUAAUUAUAAAUCGGUUUUGGGUUGAAUUUUAUUGAAUUUGAGAAAUUCAAUGGAGACAACCACAAUUCAAGGAAAUUUGAAUAUUAUUGAAUUUGAGAAAUUCAAUGGAGACAACCACAAUUCAAGGAAAUUUGAAUUUUAUUGAAUUUGAGAAAUUCAAUGGAGACCACCACUUUUCAAGGAGAAGAUGAAGAUGUAAAUUUACAGGAAGACCCAGUUUUAUUAUUUGUAUUUUUUUUAUUUGGGUUGUAUUUAACGUCCAUGGAACCCGACCAUUUCCAUUUUUAUAUUUAUAAAGUUGAUGAUUACUUUGUCCUGCAAGGGGUGGAGCCAGGGGAUUCAAACCCAUGAAGGAUGGGUAUUCCUUGCUAGUACCACCAGGCUAUGGCUUCUGGCUGGUUAUUUAUAUGAAGAAGGUUUAUUUCACGUUGCCCCUAAACUUUAUCCCUGGCUCCACCACAACCCUUGUUUUAGCAUGUCAUUUUAGUUAGAAAAGUGCCUACCUAUUUUUGCAUGUCAUGCAUUCAUGCGUUUAUUUUUAUUUUAUUUUAUAUAAUGUCACAGAUGACUUAAUUUAUAAUUUUAAAUUGUUUAAAAUAUAAAGGCUUAGUAAUUUAAAAUGUUUAAAUUGUCUAAGGUUUAUGAAACAAUAGUUGUUUUAUAAAUUAAAUACACCUUUUGCAAUAUAAUGAGUGGGAGCGGGUAAUAUUACAAUAUAAACCCUAGGUCUCCACCAUUAAUACAACACUGUGAGUUUUUAGUAGCGCUUAGAGACGCUUUGAUUUCGUCCUCCCUACGGAAAGUGUCUACUAAUUUCAAUAACAAGGUUGUCUUCCAUGAGAUAGGAUUUUAAGAUGUAUUUUAGAAUUGACCUACCCUACGACGGCAAUUUCUAAAUUAAAUCUUAAAAAUCUGAUAUGGUGGGUUACACUCAUAAAGAUAUAAUUAAAUUGGUUAAUUAUUUUCUUGACCGAACUUAAAGGAAAUUAAUAAGUAUUAGAAAUAUGAGAUAUUUUGGAUAAUAUUUAUUAAUUGAGAAAGUCUCAUUUUAAUUAGCAGCUUUUUGACCUACCCUACGGCGGCACUUAGUUGUGGUAAUUAAAAUUCCUUAGGCUGUUAAAGUAUAAUUUUUGGUGUAUUUUAUCAUGAGCAUUCUUGCUUCAUAUUUACUUUGCCUUUAAUUUUCUUAUGAUAUUUAUGCAAUUAUUUAUUGAAAAUAUUUCUUAUUUUUGUUCAGCAAAUAUGUCAAACCCAAUUUUCUCACUUCUCGCCUCUCAAGUUUUAACUGGUGAAAACUUUGUAAAAUGGAAGAGCAACAUGAACACUCUUCUCAUUAAUGAGAACUACCACUUUGUCCUUAAGGAGGAUUGUCCUCCAGUGCCUCCAGCUAAUGCCUCCAAGGCUGUCUCAGAAGAGUAUAAUCGUUGGAUUAUUGCAAAUAACAAGACCCGCUGCUACUUGUUAGCAGCAAUGAAUGAAGUGCUUAGAACUAAGCACGAGGGCCUUGAAACUGCAAGAGAGAUUAUGGAAUCUCUACAGCAGAUGUUUGGACGCCCCUCUGAGCAGGCCCGCCACGAAGCUGUGAAAGCUGUUAUGAACAGUAAAAUGAAGAAUGGUUCUUCAGUUCGUGAGCAUGUCCUUAAAAUGAUUCAUCACUUUAAUGAGGCUGAAAUCAAUGGAGCUAAAAUUGAUGAAAAGACCCAGGUUGGCAUGAUCUUAGAGACACUUUCACCCUCUUUCCUCCAAUUCAGGACAAACUACAUCAUGAACCAUAAGAAAUGUAAUUUGACAGAACUCCUGAAUGAGCUGCAAUCUUAUGAGACCCUUAUAGAUGAUAAGGGAGGCAAGGCAAAUAUUGUUGAGGCUAAUGCAGUUGUGGGAAAGGCUUCUUCUUCAAAGAAUAAGAAGAAGAGAAAUGUGAGAAAUCAAAAGGACAAGAAGAAGAUCCAAAAGAAGAAAGGGAAGGCUGUUGAGCCUAAACCUAAGGGGAAAUGUUUCCAUUGCAAUCAAGACAGCCAUUGGAAAAGGAACUGUAAGAAGUACCUUGAUGAGCUGAAACAAAAGAAGAAACAAGGUAAAUUAGAUUUAUUAGUAAUGGAAACAUGCUUAGUUGAGAAUGAUUUCUCAAGCUGGAUUAUUGAUUCAGGAGCAUCUAACCAUGUUUGUAUUUCUUUGAAGAUGCUUGAGUCAUCUAAGGAUCUUGAAGAGGGAGCUUUCAUGAUGAGAGUUGGCAGUGGGGCAAGAGUUUCAGCGACAGCAGUUGGGACAGUACGACUGUCAUUUGCUAAUAAUAAAUAUUUGUUAUUGCACAAUGUUUAUUUUAUUCCGGAUUUCAAAUGGAAUUUGAUUUCGGUUUCAAAGUUACAUGAACAAUUUAUUUCCGUUUCUUUUGAUAUUGACUCUGUUUCAAUCUAUAAGAAUGGAAUGAAUAUUUGUUCAGGUUAUGUUGAUAAUGGUAUAUAUUNNNNNNNNNNNNNNNNNNNNNNNNNNNNNNNNNNNNNNNNNNNNNNNNNNNNNNNNNNNNNNNNNNNNNNNNNNNNNNNNNNNNNNNNNNNNNNNNNNNNNNNNNNNNNNNNNNNNNNNNNNNNNNNNNNAAAUGGAAUAUUAUCACAGCUCACGGCACCUGGGACACCUCAGCAAAAUGGUGUAGCCGAAAGAAGAAAUCGCACUUUGCUUGACAUGAUGAGAUCAAUGAUGAGCUAUUCUUCUCUGCCAACCUCAUUUUGGGGAUAUGCAUUACAAACGGCAGUAUAUAUUCUGAACAUAGUUCCAUCUAAGUCAAUCCCUAACACUCCCCUAGAGUUAUGGAAUGGUCGCAAACCUAGUUUGAGACAUAUUCGCAUAUGGGGGUGCCCUGCGCACGUGUUAAAGGGAAAGACUGGGAAACUAGAACCUCGCUCUGAGGUAUGCAUGUUUGUAGGAUAUCCUAAAGGAACAAGAGGAGGUAUGUUUUAUAGCGCUCAGGAUAACAAAGUAUUUGUGUCAACAAAUGCUACGUUUCUCGAGUAUAACUAUAUGGCAGAUUUUAAACCUAGAAGUAAAGUAGUUCUAGAAGAGUUGCUAGCUGAUGAGAUCAGCCCCAUGCCAACAACAGUUGUUGAACGACAAAGAAAAGAAACCACUGCUCAAGAUCUAACACCACCGCCACCACGACGUAGUGGGAGGGAAAUAAGAUUGCCCAUUCGCUAUCGUGAAAAUGGAGAAGCACAAGUUGCAGUCACUGAUGGCAGUGAUGAUGAUCCAUUGACAUUCAAAAUGGCGAUGGAUGAUGUUGAUCGAGAGAAAUGGUAGGAAGCCAUGAAACUCGAAAUAGAGUCUAUGUACUCAAAUUCAGUCUGGGAACUUGUAGAUCUACCAGAAGGCAUUAAGCCUAUUGGUUGCAAAUGGAUCUAUAAGAGAAAAAGAAGACCUAAUGGGAAAGUAGAGACUUUCAAGGCAAGGCUGGUGGCAAAGGGUUUUACCCAAAAGGAAUGAGUAGACUAUGAUGAUACUUUUUCACCAGUUGCCAUGCUAAAAUCCAUUAGGAUUCUCUUGUCCAUUGCUGCUUAUUAUGAUUAUGAGAUAUGGCAAAUGGACGUCAAGACAGCAUUUUUGAAUGGCCAUCUUGAAGAGACUAUUUAUAUGGUCCAACCAGAGGGUUUCGUGGUCAAAGACCAAGAGUAGAAAGUGUGCAAACUACAAAGGUCCAUUUAUGGACUUAAGCAAGCUUCUAGAUCUUGGAAUAUCAGAUUUAACGAAGCCAUAAAGUCUUAUGGUUUUGAACAAAAUCUGGGUGAACCUUGUGUCUAUAAGCAAAUAGGAGGAGAUAAAGUGGUUUUCUUAGUUCUUUAUGUGGAUGACAUUCUACUCAUUGGAAAUGAUGUAGAAUCUCUAUCCAAGGUAAAGAACUAGCUAGCCAGCCAAUUCCAAAUGAAGGAUUUGGGAGAGGCAAGCUACAUUCUUGGUAUCCAAAUGACUAGGGAUCGUAAGAAUAGGCUUCUGGCAUUGUCUCAGGCAGCAUACAUUGACAAGGUGCUUGUCAAGUUUGCAAUGGAGAACUCUAAGAAAGGGAAUUUGCCUUCUCGACAUGAAGUCCAUCUCUCUAAAGAGCAGUGUCCAAAAACACCACAAGAUGAGGAGAAAAUGAGACGAGUUCCCUACGCAUUAGCAGUUGGUAGUUUGAUGUAUGCAAUGUUGUGUACAAGACCUGACAUAUGCUUUGCAGUGGGAGUGGUUAGUCGAUACCAGUCAAACCCAGGAUUAGAUCACUGGGUAGCAGUCAAGCAUAUACUUAAAUAUCUGAGAAGGACAAGAAACUAUAUGUUGGUAUACUCUGGUAGGGAAUUGAUUCCUAUCGGAUAUACAGAUUCUGAUUUCCAAUCAGAUAGAGACUCUCGGAAGUCUACUUCUGGGGCCGUUUUCACUUUGGGAGGUGGAGCCAUUAUAUGGAGGAGUGUCAAGCAAACUUGUGUUGCUGAUUCAACCAUGGAGGCUGAAUAUGUAGCGGCUUGUGAAGCAGCUAAAGAAGCAGUCUGGCUUCGCGAAUUCUUGAAAGAACUGGAAGUUGUUCCAAAUAUGCAUGAGCCAAUUAGACUCUAUUGUGAUAAUAGUGGAGCAGUGGCUAAUGCCAAAGAACCCAGGAACCAUCGCAAAGGAAAACACAUAGAACGGAAAUUCCACCUGGUAAGAGAGACUGUCAGUAGAGGAGAUGUUUCAGUUGAAAAGAUCGCAUCUGCGAACAACAUAGCUGAUCCAUUCACUAAGACUUUACCAGCUCAGACUUUUGAGCAACAUCUUGAAGGGAUGGGACUUAGAGACAUGUCACAUUUGCUUUAGGGCAAGUGGGAGAUUGUUGGAAUAUGUGCCCAUAAACAAAUGAGAUGUUUUUUAUUUUGCUGAUUAUUAAUAUUUUUUAAGGAAUUAUUUCAAUAUUAUUGUUGCAUGCAUGUUAUAGAUGCUUUAUAAAUAUCGAAAACCCUAGAUUAUUUAAUUGAAACUUUAAAUAUUGUAUAUAAGUGUUAUAUACAAGAGGAUAAUAUUUAAAAUAAAAUAAUCUAAUAUGUUCGUAAUUAAAAAUUAAAGUUGGAAUCUUUAAUUUAAAAUUACUAGCGCGGUUCAUUACAUUCUGAAUGAAAUGAUCUUAUCCGGAUUGUUAAUAAUGAGAUUAUUGGAAUGAAAGCGCUUUAUAUAAUUUGAUUAUAUAGGACUGGAACACGAUUAAUUAUGAAUCUCUGAUAAAUUCCGUUAUAAUAUAGAGCAUUCAAUAUUAAUCAAUGAUGGUCAUAUAUGCAUUGAUCUUAAUUCUGAGUGAUUAAUAGACUCCUAUUUAUUCUAUUGUAUUUUUUGACAUACCGGGUAAUGACACAAAUACAUAGUGUCAAAUUCUUGGUGUAUUGGAAGUAUAAUAAAAUAAAUAGCCGGGAAUAUUAAUAUACAAGAUGAAAUCCAUUCCUUCGUUAAGAAGUCAGAUGGACGGUUCCCAUAAGUAUUGGUUCGGGCCUUGAAUGAUAAGAGCGCUCAAUUUAUGAUUAGACCAUAAAUAUAUUAUUCAUUAGAGAACCAAUGGUACUUAAGGAGAAAGAUAUAAUUAAAGAGGUUAACGGAAAAACCUAGCUUUAAUUAUGAACCGUUUAUGGAGGACUGACUCAUAUGUAGUAACUAUAUCAAUGGGCAAUUCAAAUCCUUUGAAUAUAUUUAAUUUUAUAAUUUUAAGAGUGCAAUUCCAAAUUUUUAGUGGAGUAAUUUUGGAAUUAAUAAUUUUGAUUUUUUAAUUAAGUUGUUAAUUAAUUGUCAAAAUUAUUGGAAGCUUAAAAUUUAAAUGUCCAUAGUUCCUCUCAACGGCUCCAUUAAAAUUAUAUGAANNNNNNNNNNNNNNNNNNNNNNNNNNNNNNNNNNNNNNNNNNNNNNNNNNNNNNNNNNNNNNNNNNNNNNNNNNNNNNNNNNNNNNNNNNNNNNNNNNNNUAAAUAUAUUAUUCAUUAGAGAACCAAUGGCACUUAAGGAGAAAGAUAUAAUUAAAGAGGUUAACGGAAAAACCUAGCUUUAAUUAUGAACCGUUUAUGGAGGAUUGACUCAUAUGUAGUGACUAUAUCAAUGGGCAAUUCAAAUCCUUUGAAUAUAUUUAAUUUUAUAAUUUUAAGAGUGCAAUUCCAAAUUUUUAGUGGAGUAAUUUUGGAAUUAAUAAUUUUGAUUUUUUAAUUAAGUUGUUAAUUAAUUGUCAAAAUUAUUGGAGCUUAAAAUUAUAAUGUCCAUAGUUCCUCUCAACGGCUCCAUUAAAAUUAUAUGAACAUUUUUUUAUGUUGGGUUGAUUUUAUUAGUUUGGAAUUUUAAAUUCUAAAUUAAUUUCACACAAUCUUGAUUUGAUUUAUUUAUUUUAUAAUUUGAUUAUUUAAAAUAUUUUUUGAUACAAUGUGGUGAAGACCACACUUACUUGUAUUCCCUAAGAAACACCUUUUGAGUGGGGAUCAUGGGGAGAGAUAUUCUCUCCCAUGUUUUUCAAAAUUCAAAGAAACACUUUUUAAGUGGGGAUCAUGGGGAGAGAUAUUCUCUCCCAUGUUUUUCAAAAUUCAAAACAUGUCAGUUAUUUUUUUUUUUUUCGUGGUAUUAAAAAAUUUUUUUUUUCUCAAUGUUUCUCGGAUGAUGGGAUGAGAAUACAAGUUUUCAAUAUAUAUUAAGUUGUGUGAGAAAAAAAAACCGAAGAAUGAAAAACGCCCACUCGUUUUGAGUUCAUCAUAAUUUGGAGAACGUUAGAGAAAGAUCCAUGGUGCUUUAGAGGAUUUGGAAUUCUAAGAUCCUUUUGGUGAAGUUCAAAUUUAUCAGCCUAAUCGCAAGGUACAAUUCUAAUUUACCUAUAUUUGUUAUUUCAUUAAAUUAAUACAAGUAUUGAUCAUUGAGAAAAAAUUUUGAGAAAAUUUUUUUGGUUUCCGUUUUUUUCUUUUAUUUAUCUGGUUUCAAAACCAACAAUUUUUGUGUUUUAGGUUUUGUGUAUAUAUAUUCAUUCUUAAUCAAUAGAAAAUUCAAGCCAUUGUUUCUCAAUGAUCCUUUCUCUGCUUCAACAGUUUUCUCCCUGGAGCAUGACCUUAAUGGAACUAGCUAGAUUUUAUCUUGCAAGGGAACAACAGGUACUGGACUAGUGGCGUCCGGGAUGGGCAGGUUUUCAGCCUGCUUCCUGAAAUGCUUUUAGACAAUAUAUUGAAAUACAAUUAUUCCUUUAGUAAGGAUGAGAGCUAUUUCAAUUACUCUCUCUAUAAUUCUUCCAUUAUAAGCAGAGUGGUCCUGGAUGUGUCAGGGCAGAUUAAGCAAAUGACAUGGAUUGAAGACACUCAUCAAUGGAAAUUGUUUUGGUCUCAACCCAGAAGACAAUGUCAGGUUUAUGCUUACUGUGGGCCUUCUAGAAUCUGCAAUCUGGAUUCCUAUGAGUAUUGUGAAUAUUUGCCUGGCUUUGAACCUCGCUCCCCCGGAAACUGGGAAUUGCAAGACAGAUCUGGAGGGUAUGUGAGGAAAGCAGAUUUGCAGUGUGUCAAUGGAAGUCAUGGUGAUGGGGAGAGAGACCAGUUACUUUUGGUGUCUAAUGUAAGACUGCCCGAGUAUCCACUAACAUUGCAAGCAAGAGUGCCAUGGAUUGCGAGUCAGCCAGCCUGAAUAACUACUCUUGCUCUACUUAUGCUUAUGACAACGAGGAGUGUACAGUAUGGAGUGGAGAUCUUCUAAACCUGCAAUAGCUAUCAGAAUCUGACAGUAAUGCUGGAGAUUUCCAUCUCAAACUUGCUGACUCUGAGCAAAAUAGGAGAGGUAAGAAAAAGGGAAUGCUCAUACUAGUUGUUGUAGGACAUAAAGCAUAUAAAAUGGCUAUUGAUUUAGUUAAGUUAAAUGUCAUAUAUUUCCUUCUACAGUUUCAAGCAGCAAGUAGAAGCUAUGGCUCAUUGUUACACUAACCAUUUCUGUAACUUUAGCCUUUGUCACAUUUGGAAUAUGGAGAAGGCUCCAAAGAAAAGGUCAGUAUUUCUCAUGGAUAGAAGAUGACCAAGCAAUUCAAGGCUAUUUAGAUUCCAUCAACACAUACAAAACCAUUUCUUAUCUGAUAUGAAUUCAUUACCAUUGUUGUAGAAUAAUUAAGUUCAUAUUAGAGUUUCAAUCUCCUGAUUACAGUAUUGAAUUAGCUUAUUCCCAUGCCAGAAUUCCUACAUUCUUAUAGAAUUUAAUCUGUUGGUUCUUUACCAAGCAUGGGAAGAUUUGUUACUAUUUGAUUUCAGUGACAGCUCAGAAGAUACCAACCAUGAACUUAGUGAGGCAAAUAAAGGUUGGAGAGGAGAGAAGAAGGAAGUUGAUUUGCCAAUGUUUAGUUGUGCGAGUGUAUCUAUUGCUACCAAUAACUUCUCUAUUGAAAAUAAACUAGGAGAGGGAGGUUUUGGACCAGUUUAUAAGGUGAGCUUAGUAUGACUAACAGUAAUGCCUCUUAGAAAAGAAAUGUGAAAAUUUUUGCUACUGUUCUACAAUCCCUCAACCGUAAAUGCCCAUUAGGCAUACACAAAUUUUCUUUUACUUGGUGUGGUUGUUGUACUUAGUUGAAAUCCCCAUGACAUGGAAAGUCACAAAGAGGAUAUGAGGUAGCUGUGAAAAGACUUUCAAAAAGAUUUGGACAGGGUUGGGAGGAGUUAAAAAAUGAAUCCAUGCUUAUAGACAAGCUUCAACAUAAGAAUCAUGUUAGACUUUUGGGCUGCUGCAUUGAGCUAGAUGAGAAGAUACUGAUUUAUGAGUAUAUGCCCAAUAAAAGCUUAGAUUUCAUCCUUUUUGGUUUGUACUUCUCAACAUAUCUAAACUUUUGUUUAUCCUAAGCUCAAUAAAAAGCUUUUUUCAUUCAUUGUUGUUGGCCUUUUAUUUACUGACACCAGUUUGUAUUUAUUUGGUGUAAAAUUGGGAUAGAUCCUGCAUGACAUGGGAUUCUGGACUAGGAGACACGUCAUUCACAUAAUUGAAGGGGUUGCUAAGGGAUUUCUUGAUCUCCAUCAAUACUCCAGAUUGAGGAUUAUUCAUCAAGAUUUGAAGGUUAGCAACAUGUUUUUGGAUAUGGACAUGAACCCCAAAAUAUCAGAUUUUGGAAUGGCAAGAAUUUUUGGAGGGACUUGGUAAGUGAAUCCUUGCAAACUGUAAGAUACAUGGAUUCUCUCUCUCUCUCUCUCUCUCUCUCUCACACACACACACACACACACACACACACAUAUAUAUAUAUAUACAUUUUUGUCACAAGGCAGCUACUAAAUGAUUUGUUAUAAUAAUGAAAUUUAGUGGCUACAUGUCCCUUGAAUAUGCUUUGGAAGGCCUCUUUUCAACUAAAUCAGAUGUCUUUAGCUCCAGGGUUUUGUUACGGGAGAUUCUAAGAGGCAAAAAAAAAUACCAGAUUUUACCAGAGUGAUUCACUCAAUCUUCUUGGAUAUGUGAGUAACACAAUCUACAAUGUUCUAAUAUACUAAUUCUUGAUUUACUAGUCAGUAAUUUUUCACAUCUUGUUUACUAGUCAAUUUUAAGCUAAAGUUCUUUGCAUGCAAUAAAAAGGACCAUGCAUCUGUUUUUCUUUUUUGGAAAUUUGCAUCAAAAGAACAUUUUCUUUCCUUCAGGCAUGGGAUCUAUGGAAAAACAACAUAGGGCAGGACCUGAUGGAUCCAGUAUUGAAUUGGGAGGCACGGGUUCACAUCAUUCAAGGGAUGGCUCAGGGACUUCUUUAUCUCCAUUAAUACUCUAGAUUGAGAAUUAUUCAUCAAGAUUCGAAGACUAGCAACAUUCUUUUGGAUAAGAACAUGAACAAAACAUAUAGUUGGGACUUAGUAAGUGAAUCAUUAUUAUACUCAUUUUUAUGUGGAAUUUAAAGUUUUAAAAUUUUGUACAAAACAAUUUGCACUUAUAGCUUUUUAAAUAAGAAAACUAUUUUAUAUUUUUAAAAUAAAAUAAUGCAAUUGUGGCAUGUGAAGAAAUUUUUAUUUUUAUGGAUAAAUAUAUUUUACAAAUUUUAUAUCAAUUUCUUUUUUAUUUAUAUCUAUUUAUAUUUUUUUUCAAUGUUUUCAUAAUCGAAUUGGUCAUUGAAUUGAAAAAGUUACUGGUUCACGGUUCAUUGGUUGGAUUGGUGUCGAUCCGUGAUUGAAUCAGUGAUGUUAUAAAUAAGUAAUUUAUAUAUUAUUAAAAUUCAAAAUGUUAUAUAAAAUUUUUUAGAUAUAUAAAAAAAUAAAAAUCAAUAAUAUUUAUUUUUUCAUCUUUAAUAUUAUCAAAUUAACAUAUAUCAAUAAUAUAAUAUUAUCAAUAAAAAAAAUAUUAUCAAGUCCGAAUCGGUGCCUGGUCCACCAGGCUAGUGGUUUUGACCGCCUGUCCGUUGGGCUCAUGAGCGGUCGGCAUUCCGGCCUAAUUAGGCUACCUGGACUGGAUUAAGCUCCAGUUGAUGGUUGAACUGGCCAAUCCAAAACAUUGAUUUUUUUUUUUUAUCUCAAUAUUUGUAUCUUAUUUACUUCAUAUAAACUUGAAAUUAUUAAUUUAAAUAACAAUUAUCCAUUAUCCAUUUAAAACCAGUCAUCCUCACAUUUAUCUCUACACCCAAAUGCCCAUUUCCUAUUGAAAAGUGAAUAUCACAUUGGAUGCAUUGAAUUGUUGUUUCCCUACCACCACCCCUUUUAACUUCUCUUCACUUUGGCAUCACAAACUUAAGCAAUUUUUUUGGGAUGUUGAGAUGAGAUCAUGAGACAAGCGUUCAGAGGACGUGUUGAGAGUUUCUGAUAUCUUCCACGACAGCUAAGACCAUGAAUCUGAAGAGAAAGAACUGAAGAAGAGGGAGGAAAGUGAGAGUUGGUUACUCCCUUAAUUUUCAAAUUUAAAAUGGAUGAUGAAGUCUGAAGAUGUCAUAUUACACAUCCAAUGGGCCCAAUAAAUUCUUGGGUACCUACACAGACUGUUUCGUAGAAUUUUCCUAAAAGAUAUUUUGAAAGGGAGAUCGAUGGAAAGGAGACUUUUACUUACCAGUCGCCGGGCCGCCUCAGAUCCGCUACUGCCUGUUUUGGAUGGCUAUAAGAUUAUUGAUGGGCUGCGUAAACGCUUCUUAUGAGUUAUGGGUAGCAUGGAAUUUUCAACCAGAAGGUGUUCUGCUUAUCUUGUUUUCUUGCUUAUUUCUUCAGGUUUUCACUGGCAAUUUGCUGAUGCAUUUACAGAUACAAUCUUACAAGGUCAGUCAAUUACAACCUCUCAGACCAUCAUAUCUGCUGCUGGUAACUUUGAAUUAGGAUUCUUCAAGCCUGGAAACUCCACAAAUUAUUAUGUGGGGAUAUGGUACAAGAAAAUCUCAGACCAAGUCUCAGACAAAACCAUUGCCUGGGUGGCUAACCGAGAGUAUGCGUUCAAAAAUCCGUCUGUGGUCCUUACUGUCAGCACAGAUGGUAACCUCGAGAUUUUGGAAGGGAAGUUUGCCUACAAGGUGCAAGCAUAUCAUCAAAUAGAAACACAAGUGCCACCCUGUUGGAUUCUGGAAAUGUAGUUUUGAGAAAUGACAACUCAACUAUCUUAUGGCAGAGCUUUGACUAUCCAUCGCACGCUUUCUUGCCGGGGAUGAAAAUUGGAUAUGACAAAAGGGCUGGAAAAACAUGGUCAUUGACGUCAUGGAAGAGCACUGAAGAUCCCAGUCCAAGAGUUUUCUCCGUGGAGCAGGGCCCUAAUGGAACUAGCCAGAUUUUUAUCUUGCAAGGGCCAACAAGGUUCUGGACUAGUGGCAUAUGGGAUGGGCGUACUUUCAGCCUGGCUCCUGAGAUGCUCGAAGACUACAUAUUUAAUUACAGUUAUUACUCUAGUAAGGAUGAGAGCUAUUGGAGUUACUCUCUCUAUGAUUCUUCCAUUAUAAGCAGAUUGGUGCUGGAUGUGUCAGGGCAGAUUAAGCAAAGGAAAUGGCUUGAUUCCUCUCAUCAAUGGAAUUUGUUUUGGGCUCGACCAAGAACAAAAUGUGAGGUUUAUGCUUCCUGUGGGCCUUUUGGAAUCUGCCAUGAGAGUGCAGUCGAUGGAUUCUGUGAAUGUUUGCCAGGUUUUGAACCUGUCUCCCCUAAUAACUGGUACUCGGACGAAGGGUGUGAGGAAAGCAGAUUGCAGUGUGGCAAUACUACUCAUGCUAAUGGGGAGAGAGACCAGUUUCGCAAGGUGUCUAGUGUGACACUACCGAAUUAUCCACUAACACUCCCAGCGAGGAGUGCCCAGGAGUGCAAGUCAGCUUGCCUAAAUAACUGCUCUUGCUCUGCUUAUGCCUACGACAGAGAGACGUGUACAGUAUGGAGUGGAGAUCUUCUAAAUUUGCGACAGCCAUCCCAUUACAACAGUAGUGGUCAAGAUUUCUAUCUCAAACUUGCGGCCUCUGAGCUAAAUGGGAAAGGUAAUAAAAGUAGGGAAUGGUCAAACUUUUUUUGUGGAAGGACAGAGCAUAUGAUUUUCUUUUUCUUAAAUAUAAGAUGAAGUUCAUCAAAGAUUAGUUACAUUUAUUUCUUUUUGCAGUUUCAAGCAGCAAGUGGAAGGUGUGGCUAAUUGUUAUACUGGCCAUUUCCCUAACUUCAGCCUUUGUCAUUUGGGGGAUAUGGAGAAAGCUCCGAAGAAAAGGUCAGUAUUUUUCAUGGAUAGAAGAUGGCCAAGCAAUUCAAGGGUAUUUAGAUUCCAUCUACACAUACAAAACCAUUUGUUUUCUGCAAUGAGCUCAUUACCAUUGUUGUAGAAUAAUUAAGGCCAUAUUAGGAUUUCAAUCUCCUGAUUACAUGUGAGUGUGGACCUGCACUAUAGUGCGAUAAAAAUCAAUAAUGAAUCAAUUUAUUCCCAUGCCAGAAUUCCUACAUUCUUAUGAUACUUGACAGCUGUUUCGUCUUUAUCAAGCAGGGGAAAAUUUGUUACUAUUUGAUUUAAGUAACAGCUCAGAAGAUGCCAACUAUGAACUUAGUGAGGCAAAUAAACUUUGGAGAGGCGAGAACAAGGAAGUUGAUUUGCCAAUGUUCAGUUUUGUGAGUGUAUCUGCUGCUACUAAUAACUUCUCUAUUGAAAAUAAACUAGGAGAGGCGGUUUUGGACCUGUUUACAAGGUGAGAUUAGUAUCUGUGAAUUUUCUUGGUAUGUACAGAGUUUCUUUUACUUGGUGUCAUUGUACUAAGUUAAAAUUCCCAUGACAGGGAAAGUCACAAAAAGGAUACGAUGUAGCUGUGAAAAGGCUUUCAAAAAGAUCAGGAUAGGGAUGGGAGGAGUUAAAAGAAUGAAGCCAUGCUUAUAGCCAAGCUGCAACAUAAGAAUCUUGUGAAGUUGUUUGGUUGCUGCAUUGAGCAAGAUGAGAAGAUAUUGAUUUAUGAGUAUAUGCCCAACAAAAGCUUGGAUUUCUUCCUAUUUGGUUUGUAACUUCUACAUAUCUGAACUUCUUGCUACUGUGUAUUCAAUAAAAAACCAUUCAUUAUUAUUCACCACUUAUUUGCUAACAUGAGUUUGUAUUUAUUUGGUGUAAAAUGGAAAUAGAUCCUGCAAAACAUGGGAUUCUGAAUUGGAAGACAUGGGUUCACAUCAUUGAAGGGGUUGCUCAGGGUCUUCUUUAUCUGCAUCAAUACUCCAGAUUGAGGAUUAUUCAUCGAGAUUUGAAGGCUAGCAACAUUCUUCUAGAUAAGGACAUGAAUCCUAAGAUAUCAGAUUUUGGAAUGGUAAGAAUAUUUGGGAGCAACGAAUCAAAAGCAACAAAUCAUAUAGUUGGGACUUAGUAAGUGAAGCCUAACAAAUUCUAAAAUAUGUGAAUGUUCAUACAACUUUUUUUUUUUUUCUACACAUAUAUUUGAAAUCAUGCAGCUACUAAAUCGUUUUGUGAUUAAUAAUCAAAUUCAGUGGCUACAUGUCCCCUGAGUAUGCAUUGGAAGGCCUUUUUUCGACUAAAUCUGAUGUCUUUAGCUUCGGGGUCUUAUUACUAGAGAUUUUGAGUGGCAAGAAGAAUACUGAAUUUUACCAAAGUGACUCCCUCAAUCUUCUCGGAUAUGUGAGUAACACAAUAUUUCCUCACAUAACUAUUUAUGAUGUUUUGAUAUGCUAAUUCUUUGUUUUCAAUUCCCCUGUUAUAUUACCUAUUUGGUUGUCUUGGGCUAGUAAAUUUUCACAUUAUGUUUACCACUCAGUUUCAAAGCUUAUUUCAUAUCAUUGGCUACUAUAAAAAGGACUUUAUUAUCUUUUACUUUUUGGGAAUUUGCAUCAAUGGAUAAUUUUCUUUCUUUUAGGCAUGGGAUCUGUGGAAAGACAACAGGGGACAGGAGUUGAUGGAUCCAGUGUUGGAAGAGACAUUGCCAACACACAUUCUGUUGAAGUACAUCAAUAUAGGCCUUCUUUGUGUUCAAGAAAGUGCAGAUGACAGGCUUACCAUGUCUGAUGUUGUCUCAAUGCUUGGCAAUGAAAGUGUACGUUUACCCUCUCCAAAACAACCGGCAUUUUCAAAUCUGAGAAGUGGGGUGGCACCACAUAUAUUUCAAAACAGGCCUGAAAUUUGUUCCUUAAAUGGUGUGACACUUUCGAUUAUGGAAGCACGAUAAUGGUUCAGAACUUAAUAAAUAAUAUGCUUAAAUUUCAGCAUAUUGUCUUGCGUUGUUUUUGUGAAUUCAUAGCUCAUGUAUUGAAAUGGACAUGUGAUCUAUGUGUUAAUUUUUCUUCCAAAACAGUUCAAUAAUCAUUCAGACCUGUGUCUAAUAUUUUUAUCUGAAACUGUUAUGAAGUCUGAUUUUAUCCAGUUGAAUUUGGAUUUAAUUUGAUUAUGAUCUGUACCCUCAUCAAUCCAAGGAGUGAAGGACAAUUUUCAGAGCUCAAAAACCAACAAAUGGCGCAUUUAGGGCCAAUCCAUCUAUAGAGAGUCAACUAUCCACCUUCCACUUAUUCUCUUAUAUGUGUUUCCGAAUGCCCUGGCAUAUGUAUAUCUUGCACAGAUUCAAUUCUGUACUACUGUAUAUUUACUAUGAGACUGACUAAGUUCUACUGUUUUGAGAAUAGUGCAGUGUAUAUAUCUUGCCAAGAAUAUUCUAUGGAGCAUAAUUCCUUUGUGAAAUCAGAUGUUUCCAGCUAAGGAGUUGAUUGUGAAUCCUGUGACAAGAGGAACUCGAAAUAUUACCUCUCACUGAGAAUCCUGUGAAUUGAAACCUCCUUAACACCUACCAUAUGAAAAUGAAUGAUUUUUCUUUUCUUUUUUUCUGUAAUUUUAUGUAUUAGCAUGGUAAGUGAAUUCAGUUUUCACUGGGCAUCUGAAAGAAGAUAAUUUGAAACAGUUUUUGGUAUGGGGAAUGGGGUAUGAGGACAAGAUGCUGUAAUUGAUGGAUAUGUCAGUGGGGAAAGAAAUUAUCAGAACCCAGGUGUAGGUAUUAACUUAGCUAUAAUGGGGGAAGGGAGUGAACAGAAGCAGGGUUAGCUUCAAUUUCAGAUUCAUAUCAUACAGUGCUUCAUUCAACUAGUAAUAGCGAAGACAAUUCAGCUACUCAGCAUAGGAGGGAGGAAUUAGUUAAGCAGUUGUAGAUUUUUCGCCUUCCAAAUCCAAAGUGAUCAGACAAUUUUCCAGAAAAAAAAAAAGUGGUAUAACGUUCCCUGUGACUUAUAACACUUCCCAUUUGUUUGGACAUAGUUUGAAUAAAACCCCUUUGGUUGCCAAGAAAACCAAGGAAAAUGCAAAAGAGAAAUAACUUGAAGUCUACAAUUUCUGUAGUUUAUGAUGGAAAGCUCAAGUUCAAGCUCAAGUAAGGCUAAACGAGCCCAUUGACCCUCUCUCAUCUCUACAACAUAGACUUCAAAAGCAAAAUGGGUAAAAUAAUGGUCAUUUAAGGGGCCCUGCGCUUGGCUUGGGAAUCAGUUUCAUUGAAUAUUUUAGGAGAGAUAACAUAUAGCAAGUCAAAAAGUAGAUAAGUACAAACUAAUUUUGCCGUCCAGCAUAGAAAAUCUAAUCCCAGUGGGGCCUUAAGUACAUGAAUUUAGUGUUCUUUCCAUCAUUCUUCUCAUUCUGGUCAUGGUCUAGAUUGAAGAAAGGUCCGAUACAAAUUGGAAAAGUCAUAGAAGGAAAUAUAUCUAGAAGGGAAUCCUAACAAAAGGUCUUUCAAAACUGCUACACCUUGCUUUGCAUCGUAGUUGGUCUCUGCAUUGAAUGAGUCUUUUUUUUUCCUAUGUCCCCUGGAGACAGAAAAUCUGAAAACAUUUCUAAAUGGUUUUCCAAAAUACAGUGCAUGGGAGGUUCCAGGACUUUGAGGGAAAGGAAAGCAGCAGAACCAGCUGGGGAAAAUCAGGUAUCUGAUUUCUUCUAUUAAUUCAUCAGCAUGAAAAGGAUCAUUUCCUGCCACUCUAAUGUUGUUUAAUCUAUUCAACCACGGAAAUUAGGGAAGACUUUGACGAAAAUGAUGCGCGGUCAAGUUCUGCUACCUGCUACAUUGAAUUAUGCUUAUCUAGGGAAGAUGCAUUGAAGUCUUAGAGCAUUUGAGAUUUUUUUUUUCUUUUUUUCUCUUAAGACACAAUUAAUUGUCCAUAAAUUAAUAGCUUGGGAACAAGGAAAAUCAAUUAAUUAAGUGAAUAUUAAUUGCUUAUUAAUUAAUAAAUCAUUAAUUUAUCAAGAUAGUUCUUAUUUUUUCAAAAUAUUGUAUUCAAUAUUAUUUAUUAUAAUUGUUAGGAAGUGUCCCAAUUUCCUAAUUAGUAUAAAUUUAUUUUUUGUAAAGAAUAUUAUAUGAAUGUUUUUAGGUUAAUAUAUUAUUGUAAUAUUAGAUUUUCUUAUAGGGUAAGGAAGGUUGUUGGAAAUAUCUUUGUACAUAUUCUAGGUCAUGAGGAGAAAAAGUUAUGAGAUGGAAAUGACCAUGUAAAGAUUAUACGGGGUAAAUAGAGAUGUGAGAAAGAACGGGAGGUACUCGGUGGAGCGAGAUGACUUGUGGUAGGGUAGGGAUACGAAGAGUAGGAAAACAGGAGAUGUUUUAAGAACCCAAUAAUUGUAUCUGGUUAUGUCCUCUAUAAUGUUUUGGUUCUAUCCUUUGUAAUGUUCUCUAUUGUAUAAUGAAAUGAUUCUCUCUCAUCUGUGGACGCAGACAUGGUUGGUCGGAUGUGAUGAGGGAGCAGCAACACCACUCUUCAUCUCUGAACUAGACUGUGAUGUAGACUUUGGUAUGGAUCUUGACCCCAACUCAACCUCCACCUGUGUGCUUGAUUUUUAUUGCUCUUUAUCACAAGAAUAUCUAAAAGAUGAGUCAUGAAGCAUAGUAGUUUCAUAAAAAAUAACAUCUCUAUUGACCAUGACUUUCUUGGUUUUUAAACACCAUAACUUAUAUCCUUUAACACUAGACUUAUAGCCAAGGAAGACACAUUUUAUAGACCUAGGUUCUAGCUUUCCAUUAUCAACAUGAGUAUAGGCAGGACAUCUAAAUACCUUCAAAUCAGGGUAACUAGCAGGAGUACCAGACCAUACCUCUUGUGGAGUUCUUUUGUUAGUAGUAGUUGAGGGAUAACGAUGAAUGAGGAAACAAGAUGUAGCUUUAGUCCAAAAAGACUUAGGUAAACCAACAAUGGAAAGCAUAUAAUGUACUUUCUCCAUCAAAGUCCUAUUCAUUUGCUUUGCCACACCGUUUUGCUGUGGGGUAUGACGAACUGUAUGAUGCCUCGCGAUUUCUUCUGACUUGCAUAGAACAUUAAAUUCAUAAGAACAAAACUCCAAGCCAUUAUCAGUGCGAAGACGUUUUACCUGCUUCCAUGUCUGCUUCUCAAUCAUAAUUGUCCACUCCUUGAAUGUAGCUAACAUAUCACUCUUUUUCUUCAAGAAGAACACCCAAACUUUUCUGGAAAAAAUCAUCAAUGAUAGUUAACAUAUAACUAACACAUCCCUUAGAAGGCACCCUAGAUGGUCCCCGAAGAUUAGAAUGUAUAUAAUUGAGUGUCCUCUUUGUGUUGUGAAUGCCUUUUGUGAAUUUGACUCUUCUCUGCUUCCCAAAAACGCAGUGCUCAUAGAACUUUAGUUUUCUAAUACUCUAACCAUUAAGAAGUCCUCUUUUGCUCAAUUCAAUCAUCCCAUUCUCACUCAUAUGCCUAAGGCGCAUAUGCCAAAGUCUAGUAACAUCACCAUCUAAUAAGGAAGAAGUAGCAACAACUACAUCACUUAUAACUGUGGAUCCCUACAAGACAUAUAAUUUGGUAGAUCUUUUCUGCCAUUUCAUCACAACAAGAACACAUUUACUAACCUUUAAGACUCCACCUUCACCAGUAUACUUGUACCCUUUUGAAUCAAGAGUACUCAAUGAGAUAAAGUUCCUCUUUAGAUUUGGAAUGUGUCUCAUAUCACCAAACAUAGAUGGACAUUCAAGAAUAAAGAUUAGAAUUAGAUUUGAACCCAAACAUCAUUUAAAUCAGAGAUUGUAUAGGUCAUUAUAGAAGAUUAUUAUUAAAUUUGGCCCGAAAAAUAAAUCUUUUACAUUUUACUCCCUACUAUAAGUGACCUACCACCAGCCUAAAAAGAAGAAAUGUGGGCCUAAUGAGGGUUUUUUUUUUUUUUUUGAUAUUUUCCAUUUAUAUAACUAACUUGAACAAUGGUGUACCCUUAAAAGUAGAAAAGAUCCAUGUAGUAUUCUUCGGUUUAUUAUGGUUAUGUUUGGUUAUGAGAAAAUUUAAAGGAAAAUGUGAAGAAAAGAAAAUAAAAAAGAAAAAUAAAAAGAAAGAAAAUUAAAAAUGGGUUUAAAUUCAAUGAAUUAUUUUUAUAUGCUUCUCCAAACUCAUUUCACUUUUUUUUUUCAUUAUAAUAAGAUUAAAUAAUUUAAAAAUAUAUAAAAUUUUAACUAAUUUUAUUUUAUUUUGUAUUUUUUCAUAAUGAAACUAAAUAUAAGAAAACUAUUUUUCUUAACUUUUUUUUUCUUAAUAUUUUCCAAGAGACUAAAUAUAGCCUAGAUGUAUCUAGUAGAAAGAUCCAACAUGGGGUUGGAAAAAAAUCAUAGAAGAAGAUAUAUCUUGAAGGGGAGAUCAAAGGAUAUUAAAUGGGACUAUGACCCACACCUGAGAUUUAUGGGCUGCUUAAUGGAACAAACCAGAUUUUUAUCCACCAUAUUGAAUAUUGAAUAUGGUAUUCUUCCAAUUAUUAAAUGUAUUCAGCGAAAAGGUCCAAUUGUUAGUAAAAGAAGAACAGGUCAAACUAUCGUACUAGGGUGCUAUGAGUGAGAUUGUGAUUACAUCAACUUUUAAUUAUUUAGAAUAUUGUCCAUUAUAUAUUUUAAUUUUUUAUAAUAUUAAUUUAUUUUAUUGAUUAAGAAUUAUAAUUUAAUGUAUACUUAACAUUAAAAUCUUAUAUAGUUCCAAUUUCAUACAAGUAACUAAAUUUUUUAUAUUGAUCUCAUCUCUGCACCCAAAUGCCCAUUUCCUCUUGAAGAUUAAAAAUUAAAAAUAAAAAUUAAUCCAUCUAACAACCAAGUUAAAAUGUAUUUAUAUAUCAUAAAAAAAAAAAAUCAUCACCGAAUAAACCAAUAACCAUAAAAAUAAAAAUGGAAAAUCAUCUAUAAAUAAAUCAAAACAAAAUAUAAAAAGAAAAUAAUAUUUUCAUGGUUGAUUAACCCUAUGAGUUGGAUGAUAAAAGCGUUAAUAUCGAGUUGGAGGCAAAACCAAUAACCAUCGGAAGAUAUUCUUCGAUUGCUACCACACGGUGCUGUAGAAUUUUCCAAAAGGGAGGCCAGUGUAAAGGAGACGUGCAAGAUGUUCUUCUAUUGCUUCCACACAGUGGUGUCGAAUUUUCCUAGAAGAUAUAUUGAAAGGGAGAUCAGUGGAAAGGAGACUUUGACUCACCGGUCGUUGGGCCUCAGGUCCGCCACUGCCUGUUUUGGAUGACUAUAAAACUAUUGAUGGGCUGCUUAAACGCUGCUUAUGAGUUAUGGUUAACAUGAAAAUUUCAACCAGAAGGUGGUCUGCUAAUCUUGUUUUCUUGCUUAUUUCUUCAGGUUUUCACUGGCAAUUUGUUGAUGCAUUUACAGAUACAAUCUUACAAGGUCAAUCAAUCACAACCUCUCAGACCAUCAUCUCUGCUGGAGGUAACUUUGAAUUAGGAUUCUUUUCUCCUGGAAAGUCCACAAAAUACUAUGUGGGGAUAUGGUACAAGAAAAUCUUAGAGCAAACCAUUGUGUGGGUAGCUAACCGAGACUAUUCAUUCACAAAUCCGUCCGUGAUUCUCACUGUCAGCACAGAUGGCAACCUCGAGAUUUUGGAGGGGAAGUUUUCGUACAAGGUGACAAGCAUAUCAUCAAACAGCAACACUAGUGCCACCCUGUUGGAUUCUGGAAAUCUUGUUUUGAGGAAUGGCAACUCAGAUAUCUUAUGGGAGAGCUUUGACUAUCCAACGGACACACUCCUGCCCGGAAUGAAAAUCGGACAUGACAAAAGGUCUGGAAAAACAUGGUCAUUGGUGUCAUGGAAGAGCGCAGAAGAUCCCGGUCCAGGAGAUUUCUCCGUGCAGGUCGACCCUAAUGGAACUAGACAGAUUUUUAGCCUGCAAGGACCCAACAGGUAUUGGACUACUGGGGUGUGGGAUGGGCAGAUUUUCAGCCAGAUUCCUGAGUUGCGUUUCUACUACUUUUAUAAGUACAAUACAUCCUUUAAUGAGAAUGAAAGCUAUUUCACUUACUCUUUUCAUGAUCCCUCCAUUCUGAGCAGAGUGGUGGUAGAUGUGUCAGGCCAGGUUAGGAAACUGAAAUGGCAUGAAGGCACACAUGAAUGGCAUUUAUUUUGGCUUCAACCAAAAAUACAGUGUGAGAUUUAUGCUUACUGUGGGCCUUUUGGAACCUGCACUCGGGAUUCUGUUGAAUUUUGUGAAUGCUUACCAGGUUUUGAACCUCGCUUCCCUGAAGACUGGAAUCUGCAAGACAGAUCUGGAGGGUGUGUGAGGAAAGAAGAUUUGCAGUGUGUCAAUGAAAGCCAUGCUAAUGGGGAGCGAGACCAGUUUCUUUUGGUGUCUAACGUGAGACUGCCCAAGUAUCCAGUAACACUGCAAGCAAGGACUGCUAUGGAGUGCGAAUCAAUUUGCCUGAAUCGCUGCUCUUGCUCUGCUUAUGCUUACGAGGGAGAGUGUAGAAUAUGGGGUGGAGAUCUUGUAAACGUGGAGCAGCUACCAGAUGGUGACAGUAAUGCUAGAAGUUUCUACAUCAAACUUGCUGCCUCUGAGCUAAAUAAGAGAGGUAAGAAAAAAGAGUCAUAGUUGUUAUUGUAGGAGGACAUAGAGCAUAUGGGUCUUGUUUUAUUUUCAAUAUAAAAUGGCCAUGGAUUCAGCUAAAUUUAAUAUGAUAUAUUUCCUUCUACAGUUUCAACCAGCAAGUGGAAGGUAUGGUUAAUUGUCACACUGGCCAUAUCUUUAACUUCAGUAUUUGUCAAUUAUGGGAUAUGGCGAAGGUUCCGAAGAAAAGGUCAGUAUUUCUCAUGGACAGAAGGAUGGCCAAGCAGUUCAACAGUUUUUAGGUUCCAUCUGCAAAUACAAAGCCAGUUCUUUUUUUAAAAUGAGUUCAUUACCACUGUUAUUGAAUAAUUAAGGUAACAUUAGGAUUUCAUGUUCUGAUUACAUGUGAGUGUGUAUGUGGAAUCCAAUGUGAGAAAUAAUUUAUUCCCAUGCCGGAAUUCCUACAUUCUUAUGAUAUUUAAUGUCUGUUUGUUCUUUACCAAGCAGGGGAAGAUUUGUUAGUAUUUGAUUUCGGUAACAGCUCAGAAGAUACCAACUGCUAUGAGCUUGGCGAGACAAAUAGACUUUGGAGGGACGAGAAGAAGGAAGUUGAUUUGCCCAUGUUCAGUUUUGCGAGUGUAUCUGCUUCUACAAAUAACUUCUGUAUUGAAAAUAAACUAGGAGAGGGCGGUUUUGGAUCUGUUUACAAGGUGAGAUUAUAACCCCUGACAAUAAUGUUCUACAAUUUGUCCUGGAAUGUAAAGGCCUACUUGAUAUAUACCAAAUUUCUUUUACUUGGUGUAAUUGUAGUCUGUUGAAAUUCCCAUGACAGGGAAAGUCACAAAGAGGAUAUGAGGUAGCUGUGAAAAGGCUCUCAAAAAGAUCUAAACAGGGAUGGGAGGAGUUAAAAAAUGAAGCCAUGCUUAUAGCCAAGUUGCAACACAAGAAUCUUGUGAAAGUUUUGGGAUACUGCAUCGAGCGGGAUGAGAAGAUAUUGAUUUAUGAGUAUAUGUCCAACAAAAGCUUGGAUUUCUUCCUCUUUGGUUUGUAACUUCCACAUACAUAUGCUUCCAGCUACUGUAUAUUCAAUGAGAACUUUAUACAUUCAUCAUUCUUCACCACUUACUUGCUAACAUCUAUUUUUUUGGUGUAAAAUGGAAAUAGAUCCUGCAAAACGCGGGAUUCUGAAUUGGGAGACGCGAGUUCACAUCAUUGAAGGGGUUGCUCAGGGACUUCUUUAUCUCCAUCAGUACUCCAGAUUGAGAGUUAUUCAUCGAGAUUUGAAGGCUAGCAACAUUCUUCUGGAUAAAGACAUGAACCCUAAAAUAUCAGAUUUUGGAAUGGCAAGAAUUUUUGGAGGAAAUGAAUCAAAAGCAACAAAACAUAUAGUUGGGACUUAGUAAGUGAAUCCUAACGCAUUGUAAAAUAUGUGGACUGUCUCAUAACAUGCUUUUUUUCUACAUAUAUAUUUGUAAUCAUGCAAUUACUAAAUGAAUUGUUUUAAUAAUGAAUCCAGUGGCUACAUGUCCCCCGAGUAUGUUUUGCGAGGUCUCUUUUCAACUAAAUCUGAUGUUUUUAGCUUCGGGGUCUUGUUAUUAGAGAUUCUAAGUGGCAAGAAGAUUACUGAAUUUUAUCAUAGUGACUCGCUCAAUCUUCUUGGAUAUGUAAGUAACACAAAUUUCCUCUUAUGUAGCUAAAGUUAUCAUGUUUACUACUAUAUUUCAAGCUUUAAGUUACAUACUUGAAUGCAAUUGACCGAAUUAGGACUAUAUAUCUUUUUUUCUUUUUUCGGGAAUGUGCAUCAAAGUAUAAUUUUCUUUCCUUUAGGCAUGGGAUCUGUGGAAAAGCAACAGAGGACAAGAGUUGAUUGAUCCAGUAUUGAAUGAGAUAUCUUUGAGACAUAUUCUGUUAAGGUACAUCAAUGUAGCCCUUCUUUGUGUUCAAGAAAGUGCAGAUGAUAGGCCCACCAUGUCCGAUGUUGUCUCCAUGCUUGUCAAGGAAAAUGUACUUUUAUCUUCUCCAAAUGAGCCGGCCUUCUUAAAUCUAUCGAGUAUGAAACCACAUGCAUCUCAAGAUAGGCUUGAAAUUUGUUCCUUAAAUGAUGUAACACUUUCAAGCAUGGGAGCACGAUAAGUGUUCUAAAUUUCAGAUUGCAUAUGCUUAAAUGUCUUCAGCAUAUUGUCUAGUAUUAUUAUUGGCCAUCAAGUGGAUUGUUGAUGUACUGAACGUGUGAACUUUUGUAUGUAUUUUUCUUUCAAUGCAGUUCAAUAAUGUGCUUAAUUUUACUCAAUCCUCAAGGAUUCAGACCUGUAUCUCAUCUUCCCAUCUGUAAUUGCUACUGAAUCUGCUUUUAUGCAUUGCCAAUCCAGACACUAAAAUACAACCCUCAGAGCUUACUGCAAAUGUUCAACUAGUGCUAGGAAAGACGAGCUUUUGCGCAUGCUACAGCUAAGCAUAAGUACUAAUUAACAUAUAGGCAAGAGGGAAAGUGAGGAAGGAAAGCAGCUAUAGAUUUUUUUGCCUUUUAAACUGUGAUAGCAUCUAGCAUUUUUUUUAAGAGAAGAAAUAGUAUAAUUUAAUUGAGUACUCGUAAAACCUUCUUUUCUUAUUGGACAUGGUUUCAAUAAAACCCAUUUGGUUGCCAAGAAAUCUGAGGAAAUUCAGGAUGUGGAUGGGGAAUUUGAAGUCUACCUUCGUCCCUAUAGCUUAAAAUGAAAAGGCAUAGUUACAAACUAAGCUUACAUUCUGGCAGAAACGUAUAUAUUCCCUAUUGGGGCUUGCAGUAGGAGAUUGACCUGGAAGCCAACCAGAAAAGACAUGCAUCUAUGAUUAAAAGGAGCUCAUGCUCACAAGAAACUUUCUCUCUAUCCAAUGUGGGAUAUGACACCCUGAAGUAUGAAUAUCACUACUUACUAUUGCUAGCUAUGGACAAGGAAAAAAAAACAAGAGAAGGAAAAAAAACGAAAGGAGGAAUAAGCAAAAUGAUGUCCAAGGAUUCAAAAUUGUUUACAGUAAUUGGCCAGAAGCUAGAUCAAUUUCAUGAAAAUAUUUAAUUCCCCAAAAUUAAGAGUAAGUUUUUCCCAACAAAAUUGUUAUUUUUUUAAUUCCCUUAAUCCUAUGGGUUCAAGAACAAGCCGAGUCCAGUACGACUCGGCCGAGUCGGAUAGACUCAUACUCAAUCAGGAAUCGCUUAAACUCGGUUAACUCAACGGAGAUUCCGAGUUGACUCGGUUGAACCGUUCGUGUUAACAAAAGAAAUCGUUUUUUCACUUUCGAAUCUCAGCAGAGGAACAACAAACGAGAUGUAAACCUAAAAAACCUCUGAAAAAUCAAAGAUUGUCUUCAAAAGGAAAAGUUUCUCAACAACCAUGAUGAAGAGGAAGAAAGACAUCAGUCUAACCCAUGACUGAGUCUUGGAGGUGCACAAGAAGAAGAGGUUGAGGUAUUACUAACUUCAGAACAAUCAUGGAUGUGGAGCGCCUUCGAUGGUCCCGGUGUGGUAACUGGUGUGAUGAGAAGAUUCCCUCCAUUGACGUGAGCGGCCAUCGCUGCAUCUGGUCUCUCCUCUCUCUAAUUUUGGUCUCAGUUCUCGCCUGCUUCUGUCUGCCUCCCUCCCUCCCUCUCUCUCUCUCUCUCUCCCUGGUACGGGUGAGUUAGUGAUUUGAAGAAAGGGUGGCAAUCGGUGCCAGAAAAUUGGGGAUUUGAAGACAGGGUGGUCAAUGUUUUAAUAUCAAAAUUAUUUAUAAUUGUAUAUGUUAAUAUUAGGUAAUAUAGUAUCAAAUUUUAUAGUCUUUGUUUUUUUUUAUGAUAAUAAUUUAUUAUUUUAUAUAUUAAUGGUGUGAUAUAAAUUAUAUUAGCUUAAGUAAAGUAUUAUUUUAUAUGGCAAUGAUAGCAUAUUUGAUGUAUUAAUUUAUUAUUAACAAUAUAUUCAAGUCAUUUACUAUAUUAUUAUAUUAACAUAUUAAAAUCAUUUAAUUAAUAAUAUAUACUUUGUUUAAUAAAUAUAAUUUUAUAUUAUAUUUAAACAUAAAGUGUUGUAAUCAUUUAAUCAAAAAUAAAAAUAAAAUUAAUGAUUGAAUUAUAUGUCUUUUAGUAAAAAUAUCAUUAUAGUUGAAAUAAAAUAAUUUUCAAUUCUUAACAUUAUCAUAAAUUGUUUUUGUGGAGACUUUAUAACUAUUUAAAUAAUAUUAAAUAUGAGAAAAUUUUAUUUUAUAAUUUUUUAGCUUAUUUAAUUAUAUUUGUUUUUCUAAAAAAUUUCAAAAUAUUUUUGUAAUUUUAAAAUUUUUUAGUUAUCUUAUUUUGCAUACUGCUCUAUACCAAGUCGAGAUGUUGAGACCGUUAUGCCUUGGGACCCUCCAAAUUAAUGAUUGAUAUCGUCACUUCAAUUAUAUGAAUAUAAAAAAUAAAUAUGUAAAGAAAUACCAUAAGACAUAAUAAUAGUAUUUUAAAAUAUUUUUAGCAUAUUGAUAUAUAUAUAUAUAAUUAUUUAAUAGUUAUUAAUUAUAUUUAAUGGUUUAAAAUAUUUUUUAGUUUUUAAUUACUAUAUUUUAUGUAUCAAUCAAUAUCGCACUGACAUCUUAGAUUUAAAUAACGAAAAUAGUAUCAAUUUUUGAAAAAAAAAAAAAAAAAAAAGGAAAUGGUCUUUUAAGGUUAAAGUAUGAAUCUUUAGGUUUAGAUGUUCCCAAACCUUCAAUUCUAAGUGUUGAAGACGACUUCGAAGUUGUUGGAAGUCUUGUAAAUCUACGAUUUUCUAUCUGAUGAUUUAAACCUUGAUCUUAAUGCACUUUUAGUGGAGAUCGAUGGAAGAAAGGGUGGAAACUAUGAGUCUUUCUCUUUGAAGGUGGAAGAUGACUUUCUAGAAAAAGUUAUGGAAACUUUAACCCCAAGAUCGAUGUACCUUAAGACCUUUCAAGUCAAUGACCCAUAACAUAACUUUCAACCAUAAGAUGGACACUAAAAAAAAAAGAAUUAGAGUUGGAUUUGAACACAAACCUCUUUCAAAGAAGAUAAUGUACCUAUCAUUAUGGAAAAUUAUUAUUAAAUUUGGGUGGCAAAAUAUAUCUCUUAUAUUUUAACCCCUUCCAUAAGUGACUUUGCGUAGCCGUAAAAAGAAGAACUAUAGAAAAGAUGCCUUAGGUAUCUGCCGAUUAUUAACUAUAUCUAGUAAAAGAUCUUACACGGUGUUUGAAAAACUAUAGAAGAAGAUAAAUCUUGAAGGGGAGAUCAGUGGAAAUGGAUCUAUGACUCGCCACUCCAUGAUUUAUGGGCUGCUUAAACUUUGAUGAUGGGUUAUGGGUAGCAUGAAAAUUUCAGCCAGAGGGUGGUCUAUCAAUCUUGCUUGUUUCUUCAUGUUUUCACUUGGAAUUUGCUGAUGCAUUUAUAGAUACAAUCUUACAAGGUUAGUCAAUCACAACUUGUCAGACCAUUGUAUCUAUUGGUGGUGACUUUGAAUUAGGAUUCUUUUCUCCUGGAAACUCCACAAAAUAUUAUGUGGGGAUAUGGUACAAGAAAGUGUUAGAGCAAACCAUUAUGUGGGUAGCUAACCGAGGUUAUUCAUUCACAAAUCUGUAUGUGGUUCUUACUGUCAUUCCAGAUGGUAACCUCGAGAUUUGGGAAAGGAAAAUUUCAUACAAGGUGACGAACGUAUCGUCAAAUAGAAACACCAGUGCCACCCUGUUAGAUUCAAGAAAUUUUGUUUUGAGAAAUGAGAAGUUGGAUAUCUUAUGGUAGAGCUUUGACUAUCUAUUGGACAUGAUCUUGCCUAGAAUGAACAUUGGAUAUGACAGAAGGCUGGAAAAACAUGGUCAUUGGUGUCAUGGAAGAGCACAGAAGAUCCUAGUCCAGGAGUUUUUAUUAGAGAAUUCAUUACAAUAGAUUUUCUUGUUAGCUUUUUUCCUAUAAUGUGUGGCCAUAUACAAUUAUAUUUGUAUGAAUAUUAUUUAAGGGUAUCAAUUGAUAGGUAGGUGAAUAAAUUGACUGGACAUCCAAGAGUCUUGUGUAUGGAAUACUCAAAUUUAUAAAUGGGGAGUUAGAAAAUUUAACUCAUAUGAAUGUGGUGUUACAACUUUUGUAACCCCAUCAUUAUGAAAUUUAUUUGUACAUUAUGUUUAUGAGUAAUGGAGGAAAAUGGAAAAGUAUAACCUAUGCAAUUAUAUAGAUGCAUUCAAGUUCAUAACCUAUCAUUACCCAUUAAUUUGUACAUAAUAGGUGUAAAUAAUGAGUAUAACUCCCAUAUAGUCUUUGAUGGGAAGACUAAGAGAUGUACAAUUUUUUUUAUAAGUUGAGGUCCCAAGCCACACUCUCAUUCUUAUGUCUUUUUGUUGGUUUAUUUUUAACAACAUACACCACACAAGUGACCCAUCCACUUUAUGAGAGUAGUGAGUCGAAGACCUUGCCAAUCCAAUUCAUAAGGUGACUCAAUCUCACUUCAAAAGUGUUAUUGAUAUCAUGGAUCAAGGUAAGAAUAUGAUCAUUAUUUGAAUACUUAUAUUUAUUUUGUUUUAUGCAUCCAAAAUGGCUUUAUAAAAUAAUAAUUUCAGCAUAAAGUUUAUAAAAGUUUGGUUGACAUUUCUUUCUAUUUUUAAAUUCUUCUAAUUAGUUGUAAUUUCCUAUUUUUGUUGUAAUCCCCUAAUUUUAGGAUUGUUUCCUAUCUUUGUGUUUUGGGCUAAUUCUAGGAUUGUUUCUUAUUUUUGUGUUUUAGGUUUUGUGUAUAUAUAUUCAUUCUUAAUCAAUGGAAAAGUCAAGCCAUUGUUUCUUAAUGAUCCUCUCUCUGUUUCAACAGUUUUCUCCCUAGAGCAUGACCCUAAUGGAACUAGCCAGAUUUUAUCUUGCAAGGGAACAGCAGGUACUAGACUAGUGGCUUCCGGGAUGGGCAGGUUUUCAGCCUGCUUCUUGAAAUGCGUUUAGACAAUAUAUUGAAAUACAAUUAUUCCUUUAGUAAGGAUGAGAGCUAUUUCAAUUACUCUCUCUAUAAUUCUACCAUUAUAAGCAGAGUGGUCCUGGAUGUGUCAGGGCAGAUUAAGCAAAUGACAUGGAUUGAAGACACUCAUCAAUGGAAAUUGUUUUGGUCUCAACCCAGAACACAAUGUCAGGUUUAUGCUUACUGUGGGCCUUCUAGAAUCUGCAAUCUGGAUUCCUAUGAGUAUUGUGAAUAUUUGCCUGGUUUUGAACCUCGCUCCCCCGGAAACUGGGAAUUGCAAGACGGAUCUGGAGGGUAUGUGAGGGAAGCAGAUUUGCAGUGUGUCAACGGAAGUCAUGGUGAUGGGGAGAGAGACCAGUUUCUUUUGGUGUCUAAUGUAAGACUGCCCGAGUAUCCACUAACAUUGCAAGCAAGAGUGCCAUGGAUUGCGAGUCAGCCAGCCUGAAUAACUGCUCUUGCUCUGCUUAUGUUUAUGACAGCGAGGAGUGUACAGUAUGGAGUGGAGAUCUUCUAAACCUGCAACAGCUGUCGGAUUCUGACAGUAAUGCUGGAGAUUUCCAUCUCAAACUUGCUGACUCUGAGCAAAAUAGGAGAGGUAAGAAAAAGGGAAUGCUCAUACUAGUUGUUGUAGGACAUAAAGCAUAUAAAAUGGCUAUUGAUUCAGUUAAGUUAAAUGUCAUAUAUUUCCUUCUACAGUUUCAAGCAGCAAGUAGAAGCUAUGGCUCAUUGUUACACUAGCCAUUUCUGUAACUUUAGCCUUUGUCACAUUUGGAAUAUGGAGAAGGCUCCAAAGAAAAGGUCAGUAUUUCUCAUGGAUAGAAGAUGACCAAGCAAUUCAAGGCUAUUUAGAUUCCAUCAACACAUACAAAACCAUUUCUUGUCUGAUAUGAAUUCAUUACCAUUGUUGUAGAAUAAUUAAGUUCAUAUUAGAGUUUCAAUCUCCUGAUUACAGUAUUGAAUUAGCUUAUUCCCAUGCCAGAAUUCCUACAUUCGUAAGGAAUUUAGCAUCUGUUUGUUCUUUACCAAGCAGGGGAAGAUUUGUUACUGUUUGAUUUCAGUGACAACUCAGAAAAUACCAACCAUGAACUUAGUGAGGCAAAAAAGGUUGGAAAGGAGAGAAGAAGGAAGUUGAUUUGCCAAUCUUCAGUUUUGCGAGUGUAUCUGCUGCUACCAAUGACUUCUCUAUUGAAAAUAAACUAGAAGAGGGAGGUUUUGGACCAGUUUAUAAGGUGAGCUUAGUAUGACUAACAGUAAUGCCUCUCAGAAAAGAAAUGUGAAAAUUUUUGCUACUGUUCUACAAUCCCUCAACUGUAAAUGCCCAUUAGGCAAACACAAAUUUUCUUUUACUUGUGUGGUUGUUGUACUCAGUUGAAAUCCCCAUGACAAGGAAAGUCACAAAGAGGAUAUGAGGUAGUUGUGAAAAGACUUUCAAAAAGAUCUAGACAAGGUUGGGAGGAGUUAAAAAAUGAAACCAUGCUUAUAGCCAAGCUCCAACAUAAGAAUCUUGUUAGACUUUUGGGCUGCUGCAUUGAGCUAGAUGAGAAGAUAUUGAUUUAUGAGUAUAUGCCCAAUAAAAGCUUAGAUUUCUUCCUUUUUGGUUUGUAGUUCUCAACAUAUCUAAACUUUUGUUUAUCCUAUGCUCAAUAAAAAGCUUUUUUCAUUCAUUGUUGUUGGCCUCUUAUUUACUAACACCAGUUUGUAUUUAUUUGGUGUAAAAUAGGGAUAGAUCCUGCAAGACAUGGGAUUCUAGAUUGGGAGACACACAUUCACAUAAUUGAAGGGGUUGCUCAGGGAUUUCUUUAUUUCCAUCAGUACUCUAGAUUGAGGAUUAUUCAUUGAGAUCUGAAGGCUAGCAACAUUCUUUUGGAUAUAGACAUGAACCCCAAAAUAUCAGAUUUUGGAAUGGCAAGAAUUUUUGGAGGAAAUUAGUUGAUAGCAACAAAUCAUAUUAUCGGGACUUGGUAAGUGAAUCCUUGCAAACCGUAAAAUAUGUGGAUUCUCACAUAACAUGGCCUUUCUUUUAUAUAUAUAUAUAUACAUUUUUGUCACAAGGCAACUACUAAAUGAUUUGUUCUAAUAAUGAAAUUCAGUGGCUACAUGUCCCUUGAAUAUGCUUUCGAAGGCCUCUUUUCAACUGAAUCAGAUGUCUUUAGCUUCAGGGUCUUGUUACGGGAGAUUCUAAGAGGCAAAAAGAAUACCAGAUUUUACCAGAGUGACUCACUCAAUCUUCUUGGAUAUGUGAGUAACACAAUCUACAAUGUUCUAAUAUGUUAAUUCUUGAUUUACUAGUCAGUAAAUUUUCACAUCUUGUUUACUAGUCAAUUUUAAGCUGAUGUUCUUUGCAUGCAAUAAAAAGGACUAUACAUCUGUUUUUCUUUUUUGGAAAUUUGCAUCAAGAGAACAUUUUCUUUUCUUCAGGCAUGGGAUCUGUGGAAAAACAACAUAGGGCUGGACUUGAUGGAUCCAGUAUUGAGUUGGGAGGCACGGGUUCACAUCAUUCAAGGGGUGGCUCAGGGGACUUCUUUAUCUCCAUUAGUACUCUAGAUUGAGAAUUAUUCAUCGAGAUUUGAAGACUAGCAACACUCUUUUGGAUAAGAACAUGAACAAAACAUAUAGUUGGGACUUAGUAAGUGAAUAGUAACACAUUGUAAACAAUUCAAAACAUGUUAAAACAUUAUCAUACUCAUUUUUAUGUGGAAUUUAAAUUUUUAAAAUUUAGUACAAAACAAUUUGCGCUUAUAGCUUUUUAAAUAAGAAAACUAUUAUAUAUUUUUAAAAUAAAAUAAUGCAAUUGUGGCAUGUGAAGAAAUUUUUAUUUUUAUGGAUAAAUAUAUUUUACAAAUUUUAUAUAAAUUUAUUUUUUAUUUAUAUAUAUAUUUUUUUCAAUGUUUUUAGAAUCAAAUCAAUCAUUGAAUCAAAAAAGUUAUUGGUCCACGAUUCAUUGGUUGGAUCGGUGGUCGAACCAUGAUUGAAUUAGUGAUGUUAUAAAUAAGUAAUUUAUAUAUUAUUAAAAUUAAAAAUAUUAUAUAAAAUUUUUUAGAUAUAUAAAAAAAUAAAAAUCAAUAAUAUUUAUUUUUCAUCUUUAAUAUUAUCAAAUUAACAUAUAGAUAUAUUAAUAUUUUAACAUUUGAUUAAAUAAUAUAUAUAUAUAUAGAUAAUAUUUAAAUAUAAAAAUAUUUGUUGAAGGUUAUUUAAUUUCCUUUAUAUAUGUUACACUAUUUUAUUUAUAUUAUUUACAUUUUCACUCUUAUUCAAAAUUUAUGAGAAUUUUAUUAUAUAACGUUGUUGUGUCUGGCAUGUAUAUAACACGCACAGCAAAGUGGUGGUGUGUAUGCGUUUUGAACCCAAGGUUAGUUGUUCAAACCCAUGAGCUGCAGCCCAAGAUAUGGCACAUCUUGCACUAUGUUUGAGCCCAUUUUACCCAAUAAAAAUAUCCAUGAAAGAAGAGAAAACUCAUGAGCGGGCCGGCAUUCCGGCCCAAUUAGGCUACCCGGACUGGAUUAGGCUCCAGUUGAUGGUUGAACUGGCCAAUCCAAAACAUUGAUUUUUUUAUCUCAAUAUUCGUAUCUUAUUUAUUUCAUAUAAACUUUGAAAUUAUUCAUUUAAAUAACAAUUAUCCAUUAUCCAUUUAAAACCAAUCAUCCUCACAUUUCCAAAUGAAAAGUGAAUAUCACAUUGGAUGCAUUGAAUUGUUGUUUCCCUACCACCACCCCUUUUAACUUCUCUUCACUUUGACAUCACAACUUAAAACUAUUUUUUUGGGAUGUUGAGAUGAGAUCAUGAGACAAGCGUUCAGAGGACGUGUUGAGAGUUUCUGAUAUCUUCCACGACAGCUAAGACCAUGAAUCUGAAGAGAAAGAACUGAAGAAGAGGGAGGAAAGUGAGAGUUGGUUACUCCCUUAGUUUUCAAAUUUAGAAUGGAUGAUGAAGAUGUCAUAUUACACAUCCAAUGGGUUCAAUAAAUUCUUGGGUACCUACACAGACUGUUUCGUAGAAUUUUCCUAAAAGAUAUUUUGAAAGGUAGAUCGAUGGAAAGGAGACUUUGACUUACCAGUCGCCGGGCCGCCUCAGAUCCGCUACUGCCUGUUUUGGAUGGCUAUAAUAUUAUUGAUGGGCUGCGUAAACGCUGCUUAUGAGUUAUGGGUAGCAUGAAAUUUUCAACGAGAAGGUGUUCUGCUAAUUAUCUUGUUUUCUUGCUUAUUUCUUCAGGUUUUCACUGGCAAUUUGCUGAUGCAUUUACAGAUACAAUCUUACAAGGUCAGUCAAUCACAACCUCUCAGACCAUCAUAUCUGCUGCUGGUAACUUUGAAUUAGGAUUCUUCUCGCCUGGAAACUCCACAAAUUAUUAUGUGGGGAUAUGGUACAAGAAAGUCUCAAACCAAACCAUUGUCUGGGUGGCUAACCGAGAGUAUGCGUUCAAAAAUCGGUCUGUGGUUCUUACUGUCAGGACAGAUGGUAACCUCGAGGUUUGGGAGGGGAAAAUUUCAUACAGGGUGACAAGCAUAUCAUCAAAUAGCAAAACUAGUGCCACCCUGUUGGAUUCUGGAAAUCUUGUUUUGAGAAAUGACAACUCGAGUAUCUUAUGGCAAAGCUUUGACUAUCCAUCGGACACUUUCUUGCCGGGGAUGAAACUUGGAUACGACAAAAGGGCUGGAAAAACAUGGUCAUUAGUGUCAUGGAAGAGCUCAGAAGAUCCCAGUCCAGGAGUUUUCUCCCUGAAGUACGACCCUAAGGGAACCGGCCAGAUUUUUAUCUUGCAAGGGUCCACAAUGUACUGGGCUAGUGGCACCUGGGACAGGGAUGGGCAGGUUUUCAGCUUGAUUCGUGAGAUGCGCUUAAACUAUAUGUUUAAUUUCAGUUAUUCGUUUAGUAAGGAGGAGAGCUAUAUCAAUUACUCUAUUUAUGAUUCUUCAACUAUAAGCAGAUUGGUGCUGGAUGUGUCAGGGCAGAUUAAGCAAAUGGCAUGGCUUGAAGCCUCUCAUCAAUGGCAUAUGUUUUGGUUUCAACCAAAAACGCAAUGUGAGGUUUAUGCUUACUGUGGGCCUUUUGGAAUCUGCAAUGAUAGUGCAGUUGAUGGAUUUUGUGCAUGUUUGCCAGGUUUUGAACCUGCCUCCCCUAAUAACUGGAACUCGGGUGACAAAUCUGGAGGGUGUGUGAGGAAAGCAGAUUUGCAGUGUGGCAAUAGUACUCAUGCUAAUGGGGAGAGAGACCAGUUUCAUCGGGUGUCUAAUGUGAGACUGCCAGAGUAUCCACUAACACUCCCAACGAGUGGUGCCAUGCAGUGCGAGUCAGAUUGCCUAAAUAACUGCUCUUGCUCUGCUUAUUCUUACAACGUGAAGGAGUGUACAGUAUGGGGUGGAGAUCUUCUAAACUUGCAACAGCUAUCAGAUGACGACAGUAAUGGUCGAGAUUUCUAUCUCAAACUUGCGGCCUCUGAGCUAAAUGGGAAAGGCAAUAAAAGUAGGGAAUGGUCAAACUUUUUUUUGUAGAAGGACAGAGCAUAUGAUUUUCUUUUUCUUAAAUAUAAGAUGAAGUUCAUCAAAGAUUAGUUACAUUUAUUUCUUUUUGCAGUUUCUAGCAGCAAGUGGAAGGUGUGGCUAAUUGUUACACUGGCCAUUUCCCUAACUUCGGCCUUUGUCAUUUGGGGGAUAUGGAGAAAGAUCCGAAGAAAAGGUCAGUAUUUUUCAUGGAUAGAAGAUUAUCAAGCAAUUCAAGGGUAUUUAGAUUCCAUCUACACAUACAAAACCAUUUGUUUUCUGCAAUGAGCUCAUUACCAUUAUUGUAGAAUAAUUAAGGCCAUAUUAUGAUUUCAACCUCCUGAUUACAUGUGUGUGUACCUGCACUACAGUGUGAUAAAAAUCAAUAAUGAAUCAAUUUAUUCCCAUGCCAGAAUUCCUACAUUCUUAUGAUACUUGACAUCUGUUUCUUCUUUAUCAAGCAGGGGAAAAUUUGUUACUAUUUGAUUUCAGUAACAGCUCAGAAGAUACCAACUAUGAACUUAGUGAGGCAAAUAAACUUUGGAGAGGCGAGAAGAAGGAAGUUGAUUUGCCAAUGUUCAGUUUUGCGAGUGUAUCUAUUGCUACUAAUAACUUUCUAUUGAAAAUAAACUAGGAGAGGGUGGUUUUGGACCAGUUUACAAGGUGAGAUUAGUAUUUGUGAAUCUUCUUGGUAUAUACAAUUUUUCUUUUACUUGGUGUCAUUGUACUAAGUUGAAAUUCCCAUGACAGGGAAAGUCACAAAAAGGAUAUGAGGUAGCUGUGAAAAGGCUUUCAAAAAGAUCUGGACAGGGAUGGGAGGAGUUAAAGAAUGAAGCCAUGCUUAUAGCCAAGCUGCAACAUAAGAAUCUUGUGAAGCUGUUCGGCUGCUGCAUUGAGCAAGAUGAGAAGAUAUUGAUUUAUGAGUAUAUGCCCAACAAAAGCUUGGAUUUCUUCCUAUUUGGUUUGUAACUUCUGGCUACUGUAUAUUCAAUAAAAAACCAUUCAGUAUCAUUCACCACUUAUUUGCUAACAUGAGUUUAUAUUUAUUUGGUGUAAAAUGGAAAUAGAUUCUGCAAAUCAUGGGAUUUUGAAUUGGGAGACACGGGUUCACAUCAUUGAAGGGGUUGCUCAGGGUCUUCUUUAUCUACAUCAGUACUCUAGAUUGAGGAUUAUUCAUCGAGAUUUGAAGGCUAGCAACAUUCUUCUAGAUAAGGACCUGAAUCCUAAAAUAUCAGACUUUGGAAUGGCAAGAAUAUUUGGGAGCAACGAAUCAAAAGCAACAAAUCAUAUAGUUGGGACUUAGUAAGUGAAGCCUAACAAAUUCUAAAAUAUGUGAAUGCUCAUACAACUUUUUUUUUUCUUUUUUCUGCACAUAUAUUUAGAAUCAUGCAGCUACUAAAUCAUUUUGUAAUUAAUAAUCAAACCCAGUGGCUACAUGUCCCCUGAGUAUGCUUUGGAAGGCCUCUUUUCGACUAAAUCUGAUGUCUUUAGCUUCGGGGUUUUAUUACUAGAGAUUUUGAGUGGCAAGAAGAAUACUGGAUUUUACCAAAGCGACUCCCUCAAUCUUCUCGGAUAUGUGAGUAACACAAUAUUUCCUCAUUGGUUGUCUUGGGCUACUGGUAAAUUUUCACAUUAUGUUUACCACACAGUUUGAAAACUUAUUUCAUAUGAUUGGCUACUAUAGAAAGGACUUUAUUAUCUUUUACUUUUUAGGAAUUUGCUUCAAUGGAUAAUUUUCUUUAUUUUAGGCAUGGGAUCUGUGGAAAGACAGCAGGGGGCAGGAAUUGAUGGAUCCAGUGUUGGAAGAGGCAUUGCCAAGACACAUUCUGUUGAAGUACAUCAAUAUAGGCCUUCUUUGUGUUCAAGAAAGUGCAGAUGACAGGCCUACGAUGUCUGAUGUUGUCUCAAUGCUUGGCAAUGAAAGUUUACAUUUACCUUCUCCAAAACAACCGGCAUUUUCAAAUCUGAGAAGUGGGGUGGAACCACAUAUAUUUCAAAACAGGCCUGAAAUGUGUUCCUUAAAUAGUGUGACACUUUCAAUUAUGGAAGCACGAUAAUGGUUCAGAACUUAAUAAAUAAUGUGCUUAAAUUUCAGCAUAUUGUCUUGCGUUGUUUUUGUGAAUUCAUAGCUCAUGUAUUGAAAUGGACAUGUAAUCUGUGUGAAUUUUUCUUCCAAAACACUUCAAUAAUCAUUCAGACCUGUGUCUAAUAUUUUUAUCUGAAACUGUUAUGAAGUCUGAUUUUAUCCAGUUGAAUUUGGAUUUAAUUUGAUUAUGAUCUGUACCCUCAUCAAUCCAAAGAGUGAAGGACAAUUUUCAGAGCUCAAAACCAACAAAUGGCACCUUUAGGGCCAAUCCAGCUAUAGAGAGUCAACUAUCCACCUUCCACUUAUUCUCUUAUAUGUGUUUCCAAAUGCCCUGGCAUAUGUAUAGCAUGUACAGAUACAGUUCUGUACUACUGUAUAUUUACUACGAGACUGACUAAGUUCUACUGUUUUGACAAUAGUGCAGUGUAUAUAUCUUGCAAGAAUAUUCUAUGGAGCAUAAUUCCUUUGUGAAAUCAGAUGUUUCCAGCUAAGGAGUUGAUUGUGAAUCCUGUGACAAGAGGAACUCGAAAUAUUACCUCUCACUGAGAAUCCUGUGAAUUGAAACCUCCUUAACAUCUACCAUAUGAAAAUGAAUGAUUUUUUUUUUUUUUUUUUCUGUAAUUUUAUGUAUUAGCAUGGUAAGUGAAUUCAGUUUUCACUGGGCAUCUGAAAGAAGAUAAUUUGAAACAGUUUUUGGUAUGGGGAAUGGGGUAUGAGGACAAGAUGCUGUAAUUGAUGGAUAUGUCAGUGGGGAAAGAAAUUAUCAGAACCCAGGUGUAGGUAUUAACUUAGCUAUAAUGGGGGAAGGGAGUGAACAGAAGCAGGGUUAGCUUCAAUUUCAGAUUCAUAUCAUACAGUGCUUCAUUCAACUAGUAAUAGCGAAGACAAUUCAGCUACUCAGCAUAGGAGGGAGGAAUUAGUUAAGCAGUUGUAGAUUUUUCGCCUUCCAAAUCCAAAGUGAUUAGACAAUUUUCCAGAAAAAAAAAAGUGGUAUAACGUUUCCUGUGACUUAUAACACUUCCCAUUUGUUUGGACAUAGUUUGAGUAAAACCCCUUUGGUUGCCAAGAAAACCAAGGAAAAUGCAAAAGAGAAAUAACUUGAAGUCUACAAUUUCUGUAGUUUAUGAUGGAAAGCUCAAGUUCAAGCUCAAGUAAGGCUAAACGAGCCCAUUGAGCCUCUCUCAUCUCUACAACAUAGACUUCAAAAGCAAAAUGGGUGAAAUAAUGGUCAUUUAUGGGCCCCUGCGCUUAGCUUGGGGAUCAGUUUCAUUGAAUAUUUUAGGAGAGAGAACAUAUAUCAAGUCAAAAAGUAGAUAAUUACAAACUAAUUUUGCCGUCCAGCAUAGAAAAUCUAAUCCCAGUGGGGCCUCAAGUACAUGAAUUUAGUGUUCUUUCCAUAAUUCUUCUCAUUCUGGGCAUGGUCUAGAUUGAAGAAAGGUCCGAUACAAAUUGGAAAAGUCAUAGAAGGAAAUAUAUCUAGGAGGGAAUCCUAACAAAAGGUCUUUCAAAACUGCUACACCUUGCUUUGAAUGGUAGUUGGUCUCUGCAUUGAAUGAGUUUUUUUUUUCCUAUGUACCCUGGAGACAGAAAAUCUGAAAACAUUUCUAAAUGGUUCUCCAAAAUACAGUGCAUGGGAGGUUCCAAGACUUUGAGGGAAAGAAAAGCAGCAGAACCAGCUGGGGAAAAUCAGCAUGAAAAGGAUCAUUUCCUACCACUCUAAUGUUGUUUAAUCUAUUCAACCACGGAAAUUAGGAAAGACUUUGACGAAAAUGAUGCGAUCGCGGUCAAGUUCUGCUACCUGCUACAUUGAAUUAUGCUUAUCUAGGGAAGAUGCAUUAAAGUCUUAGAGCAUUUGAGAUUUUUUUUUUCUUUUUUUCUUUUAAGACACAAUUAAUUGUCCAUAAAUUAAUAGAUUGGGAACAAGGAAAAUCAAUUAAUUAAGUGAAUAUUAAUUGUGUAUUAAUUAAUAAAUCAUUAAUUUAUCAAGAUAGUUCUUAUUUUUUCAAAAUAUUGUAUUUAAUAUUAUUUAUUAUAAUUGUUUGGAAGUGUCCCAAUUUCCUAAUUAGUAUAAAUUUAUUUUUUGUAAAGAAUAUUAUAUGAAUAUUUUUAGGUUAAUAUAUUAUUGUAAUAUUAGAUUUUCUUAUAGGGUAAGGAAGGUUAUUGGAAAUAUCUUUAUACAUAUUCUAGGUCAUGAGGAGAAAAAGUUAUGAGAUGGAAAUGGGUAUGUAAAGAUUAUACGGGGUAAAUAGAGAUGUGAGGAAGAACGGGAGGUACUCGGUGGAGCGAGAUGACUUGUGGUAGGGUAGGGAUACGAAGAGUAGGAAAACAUGAGAUGUUUCGAGAACCCAAUAAUUGUAUCUGGUUAUGUCCUCUAUAAUGUUUUGGUUCUAUCCUCUGUAAUGUUCUCUAUUGUAUAGUGGAAUGAUUCUCUCUCAUCUGUGGACGCAGACAUGGUUGGCCAGAUGUGAUGAGGGAGCAGCAACACCACUCUUCAUCUCUGAACUAGACUGUGAUGUAGACUUUGGGAUGGAUCUUGACCCCAACUCAACCUCCACCUGUGUGCUUGAUUUUUGUUACUCUUUAUCACAAGAAUCUCUAAAAGAUGAGUCAUGAAGCAUAGUAGUUUCAUAAAAAAUAACAUCUCUAUUGACCAUGACUUUCUUGGUUUUUAGACACCAUAGCUUAUAUCCUUUAACACUAGAAUUAUAGCCAAGGAAGACACAUUUUAUAGACCUAGGUUCUAGUUUUCCAUUAUCAACAUGAGUAUAGGCAGGACAUCUAAAUACCUUCAAAUCAAAGUAACUAGCAGGAGUACUAGACCAAACCUCUUGUAGAGUUCUUUUGUUAAUAGUAGUUGAGGGAUAACGAUGAAUGAGGAAACAAGAUGUAGCUUUAGUCCAAAAAGACUUAGGUAAACCAACAAUGGAAAGCAUACAAUGUACUUUCUCCAUCAAAGUCCUAUUCAUUUGCUCUACCACACCGUUUUGCUGCGAGAUAUGACGAACUAUAUGAUGCCUUGCGAUUUCUUUUGACUUGCAUAGAUCAUUAAAUUCAUAAGAACAAAACUCCAAGCCAUUAUCAGUGCGAAGACGUUUUACCUGCUUCCAUGUCUGCUUCUCAAUCAUAAUCGUCCACUCCUUGAAUGUAGCUAACAUAUCACUCUUUUUCUUCAAGAAGAACACCCAAACUUUUUUGGAAAAAUCAUCAAUGAUAGUUAACAUAUAACUAACACCUCCCUUAGAAGGCACCCUAGAUGGUCCCCGAAGAUUAGAAUGUAUAUAAUUGAGUGUCCUCUUUGUUUUGUGAAUGUCUUUUGUGAAUUUGACUCUUCUCUGCUUCCCAAAAACGCAGUGCUCAUAGAACUUCAGUUUUCUAAUACUCUGACCAUUAAGAAGUCCGCUUUUGCUCAAUUCAAUCAUCCCAUUCUCACUCAUAUGCCUAAGGCGCAUAUGCCAAAGUCUAGUAACAUCACCAUCUAAUAAGGAAGAAGUAGCAACAAUUACAUCACUUAUAACUGUGGAUCCCUACAAGACAUAUAAUUUGGUAGAUCUUUUCUGCCAUUUCAUCACAACAAGAACACAUUUACUAACCUUUAAGACUCCACCUUCACCAGUAUACUUGUACCCUUUUGAAUCAAGAGUACUCAAUGAGAUAAAGUUCCUCUCUAGAUUUGGAAUGUGUCUCAUAUCACCAAACAUAGAUGAACAUUCAAGAAUAAAGAUUAGAAUUAGAUUUGAACCCAAACAUCAUUUAAAUAAGAGAUUGUAUAGGUCAUUAUGGAAGAUUAUUAUUAAAUUUGGCCCGAAAAAUAAAUCUCUUACAUUUUACUCCCUACUAUACUUACCACCAGCCUAAAAAGAAGAAAUGUGGGCCUAAUGAGGGGUUUUUUUUUUUUUUUGUUGAUAUUUUCCAUUUAUAUAACUAACUUGAACAAUGUUGUACCCUUAAAAGUAGAAAAGAUCCUUGUAGUAUUCUUUGGUUUAUUAUGGUUAUGUUUGGUUAUGAGAAAAUUUAAAGGAAAAUGUGAAGAAAAUAAAAUAGAAAAGAAAAAUAAAAGGAAAGAAAAUUAAAAAUGGGUUUAAAUUCAAUGAAUUAUUUUUAUAUGCUUCUCCAAAUUCAUUUCACUUUUUUUUCUUCAUUAUAGUAAGAUUAAAUAAUUUAAAAAUAUAUAAAAUUUUAACUAAUUUUAUUUUAUUUUGUAUUUUUUCAUAAUGAAACUAAAUAUAAGAAAACUAUUUUUCUUAACUUUUUUUUCUUAAUAUUUUCCGGAGACUAAAUAUAGCCUAGAUGUAUCUAGUAGAAAGAUCCAACAUGGGGUUGGAAAAAAAUCAUAGAAGAAGAUAUAUCUUGAAGGGGAGAUCAAAGGAUAUUAAAUGGGACUAUGACCCACACCUCCUAGAUUUAUGGGCUGCUUAAUGGAACAAACCAGAUUUUUAUCCACCAUAUUGAAUAUUGAAUAUGGUAUUCUUCCAAUUAUUAAAUGUAUUUAGCGAAAAGGUCCAAUUGUUAGUAAAAGAAGAACAGGUCAAACUAUCGUAUUAGGGUGCUAUGAGUGAGAUUGUGAUUACAUCAACUUUUAAUUAUUUAGAAUAUUGUCCAUUAUAUAUUUUAAAUUUUUAUAAUAUUAAUUUAUUUUAUUGAUUAAGAAUUAGAAUUUAAUGUAUACUUAACAUUAAAAUCUUAUAUAGUUCCAAUUUCAUACAAGUAACUAAAUUUUUUAUAUUGAUCUCAUCUCUGCACCCAAAUGCCCAUUUCCUCUUGAAGAUUAAAAAUUAAAAAUAAAAAUUAAUCCAUCUAACAACCAAGUUAAAAUGUAUUUAUAUAUCAUAAAAAAAUCAUCACCGAAUAAACCAAUAACCAUAAAAAUAAAAAUGGAAAAUCAUCGAUAAAUAAAUCAAAACAAAAUAUAAAAAGAAAUUAAUAUUUUCAUGGUUGAUUAACCCUAUGAGUUGGAUGAUAAAAGCGUUAAUAUCGAGUGGAAAGGAGACUUUGACUCACCGGUCGUUGGGCCUCAGGUCUGCCACUGCCUGUUUUGGAUGGCUAUAAGAUUAUUGAUGGGCUGCUUAAACGCUGCUUAUGAGUUAUGGGUAACAUGAAAAUUUCAACCAGAAGGUGGUCUGCUAAUCUUGUUUUCUUGCUUAUUUCUUCAGGUUUUCACUGGCAAUUUGUUGAUGCAUUUACAGAUGCAAUCUUACAAGGUCAAUCACUCACAACCUCUCAGACCAUCGUAUCCGCUGGUGGUAACUUUGAAUUAGGUUUCUUUUCUCCUGGAAAGUCCACAAAAUACUAUGUGGGGAUAUGGUACAAGAAAAUCUCAGAGCAAACCAUUGUGUGGGUAGCUAACCGAGACUAUUCAUUCACAAAUCCAUCCGUGGUUCUUACUGUCAGCACAGAUGGCAACCUCGAGAUUUUGGAGGGGAAGAUUUCGUACAAGGUGACAAGCAUAUCAUCAAACAGCAACACUAGUGCCACCCUGUUGGAUUCUGGAAAUCUUGUUUUGAGAAAUAAGAAGUCAGAUGUCUUAUGGGAGAGCUUUGACUAUCCAUCGCACACUUACCUGCCGGGGAUGAAGCUUGGGUACGACAAAAGGGCUGGAAAAACAUGGUCAUUGGUGUCAUGGAAGAGCGCAGAAGAUCCCAGUCCAGGAGAUUUCUCCCUGCAGGUCGACCCUAAUGGAACUAGCCAGAUUUUUAGCCUGCAAGGACCCAACAGGUAUUGGACUACUGGGGUGUGGGAUGGGCAGAUUUUCACCCAGGUUCCUGAGAUGCGUUUGCCCGACAUGUAUAAGUGCAAUAUAUCCUUUAAUGAGAAUGAAAUCUAUUUGACUUACUCUCUUCAUAAUCCCUCCAUUCUGAGCAGACUGGUGCUAGAUGUGUCAGGCCAGAUUAGGUCUCUGAAUUGGCAUGAAGGCACACGUGAAUGGGAUUUAUUUUGGCUUCAACCAAAAACACAGUGUGAGGUUUAUGCUUACUGUGGGCCUUUCGGAACCUGCACUCGGGAUUCUGUUGAAUUUUGUGAAUGCUUGCCAGGUUUUGAACCUCGCUUCCCUGAAGACUGGAAUCUGCAAGACAGAUCUGGAGGGUGUGUGAGGAAAGCAGAUUUGCAGUGUGUCAAUGAAAGCCAUGCUAAUGGGGAGCGAGACCAGUUUCUUUUGGUGUCUAACGUGAGACUGCCCAAGUAUCCAGUAACACUGCAAGCAAGGAGUGCUAUGGAGUGCGAAUCAAUUUGCCUGAAUCGCUGCUCUUGCUCUGCUUAUGCUUAUAAGAGAGAGUGUAGAAUAUGGGCUGGAGAUCUUGUAAACGUGGAGCAGCUACCAGAUGGUGACAGUAAUGGUAGAAGUUUCUAUAUCAAACUUGCUGCCUCUGAGCUAAAUAAGAGAGGUAAGAAAAAAGAGUCAUAGUUGUUAUUGUAGGAGGACAUAAAGCAUAUGGGUCUUGUUUUAUUUUCAAUAUAAAAUGGCCAUCGAUUCAGCUAAAUUUAAUAUGAUAUAUUUCCUUCUACAGUUUCAAGCAGCAAGUGGAAGGUAUGGCUAAUUAUUACACUGGCCAUAUCUUUAACUUCAGCCUUUGUCAUUUAUGGGAUAUGGGGAAGGUUCCGAAGAAAAGGUCAGUAUUUCUCAUGGACAGACGGAUGGCCAAGCGAUUCAACCGUUUUUAGGUUCCAUCUACAAAUAAAAAACCAGUUCUUUUCUGAAAUGAGUUCAUUAGCACUGUUAUUGAAUAGUUAAGGUAACAUUAGGAUUUCAUGUUCUGAUUACAUGUACUGUGUAUGUGGAAUCCAAUGUGAGAAAUAAUUUAUUCACAUGCCAGAAUUCCUACAUUCAUAUGAUAUUUAAUGUCUGUUUGUUCUUUACCAAGCAGGGGAAGAUUUGUUAGUAUGUGGAAUCCAAUGUGAGAAAUAAUUUAUUCACAUGCCAGAAUUCCUACAUUCAUAUGAUAUUUAAUGUCUGUUUGUUCUUUACCAAGCAGGGGAAGAUUUGUUAGUAUUUGAUUUCGGUAACAGCUCAGAAGAUACCAGCUAUGAGCUUGACGAGACAAAUAGACUUUGGAGGGGCGAGAAAAGGGAAGUUGAUUUGCCCAUGUUCAGUUUUGCGAGUGUAUCUGCUUCUACAAAUAACUUCUCUAUUGAAAAUAAACUAGGAGAGGGCGGUUUUGGAUCUGUUUACAAGGUUAGAUUACAACCCCUGACAAUAAUGUUCUACAAUCUAUCCUGGAAUGUAAAGGCCCACUUGAUAUAUACCAAAUUUCUUUUACUUGCUGUAAUUGUACUUAGUUGAAAUUCCAAAGACAGGGAAAGUCACAAAGAAGAUAUGAAGUAGCUGUGAAAAGGCUCUCUAAAAGAUCUAAACAGGGAUGGGAGGAGUUAAAAAAUGAAGCCAUGCUUAUAGCCAAGCUGCAACACAAGAAUCUUGUGAAAGUUUUGGGAUAUUGCAUCGAGAGGGAUGAGAAGAUAUUGAUUUACGAGUAUAUGUCCAACAAAAGCUUGGAUUUCUUCCUCUUUGGUUUGUAACUUCCACAUACAUAUACUUCCAGCUACUAUAUAUUCAAUGAGAAAACUUUACACAUUCAUCAUUUUUCACCACUUAUUUGCUAACAUCUAUUUAUUUGGUGUAAAAUGGAGAUAGAUCCUACAAAACAUGGGAUUCUAAAUUGGAAGACACGAGUUCACAUCAUUGAAGGGGUUGCUCAGGGACUUCUUUAUCUGCAUCAGUACUCCAGAUUGAGGAUUAUUCAUCGAGAUUUAAAGGCUAGCAACAUUCUUCUGGAUAAGGAUAUGAAUCCUAAAAUAUCAGAUUUUGGAAUGGCAAGAAUAUUUGGAGGCAACGAAUCAAAAGUAACAAAUCAUAUAGUUGGGACUUAGUAAGUGAAACUUGACAAAUUAUAAAAUAUGUGAAUGUUCAUACAACAUUUGAAAUCAUGCAGCUAUUGAAUGAUUUUUCUCAUUAAUAAUCAAAUCCAGUGGCUAUAUGUCCCCUGAGUAUGCUUUGGAAGGUCUAUUCUCCACUAAAUCUGAUGUCUUUAGCUUUGGGGUCUUGUUAUUGGAGAUUUUGAGUGGCAAGAAGAAUACUGGAUUUUACCAAACCGACUCGCUCAAUCUUCUUGGAUAUGUGAGUAACACAAUAUUUAUUCACUUACAUAACUAUUUAUGAUGUUUUGAUAUGCUAAUUCCUAGUUUUCAAUUCCCUUGUUAUAUUACCUAUCCAGUUGUCUUGGGAUACUAGUAAAUUUUCACAUUAUGUCUACCACUCAGUUUCAAGGCUUAUUUUAUAUUGUUGGCUGAUAUAAAAAGGACUUUAUUAUCUUUUACUUUUCGGGAAUUUGCAUCAAUGGAUAAUUUUCUUCAUUUAGGCAUGGGAUCUGUGGAAAGAUAGUAGGGGGCUGGAGUUGAUGGAUCCAGGGUUGGAAGAGACAUUGCCAACACACAUUCUGUUGAGGUACAUCAAUGUAGGCCUUCUUUGUGUUCAAGAAAGUGCAGAUGAUAGGCCUACCAUGUCUGAUGUUGUCUCAAUGCUUGGCAAUGAAAGUGUACGUUUACCUUCUCCAAAACAACCGGCAUUUUCAAAUCUGAGAAGUGGGGUGGAACCACAUAUAUCCCAAAACAGGCCUGAAGUUUGUUCCUUAAAUGGUGUGACACUUUCAGUUAUGGAAGCACGAUAAUGGUUCAGAACUUAAUAAAUAAUAUGCUUAAAUUUUAGCAUAUUGUCUUGUAUUGUUCUUGGUGAAUUCAUAGCUCAAAUACUAAAAUGGACAAGUGACCUUAUGUGUGAAUUUUUCUUCCAAAACAGUUUAAUAAUCAUCUUGUACUCAAUCCCUAUGGAUUCAGACCUGUGUCUCAUCUUUCAAUCUGGAAUUGCUACUAAAUCUGACUUUAUCCGGUCAAAUUUGGAUUUAAUUUGAAAAUGAUCUGUUCCAUUGUCAAUCCAAAGAGUAAAAUGCAACUUUUUUCAUUGCUUAGUAGCUAACAAAAGGUGCCUUUGGGGCCAAUCCAGCUAUAGAGAAUCAACCACCCACCUUCCACUUCCUCUCUUAUGGAUGUUUCUGAAUGCCCUGGCAUAUGUAUAUCAUGUACAUAUACACCACCAAUUUGGCCUGGGAUGAGUUUCAUCGAAUAUUUCAGGAGACAACAUAAAACAAUCAAAAAGUAGAUAAUUAUGAACUAAUUGGCCAUCCAGGACAGAAAAUCCAUCUCCCAAUGGGGCCUUAAAGCACUUGAAUUUACUGUUCAUUCCAUCAUUAUUUUCGUUCUAGGCAUGGUCUAGAUUGAAGAAAGGUCCCAUACAAAUUGGAAAAGUCAUAGAAGGAAAUAUAUCUAGGAGGGAAUCCUAACAAAAGGUCUUUCAAAACUGCUACACCUUGCUUUGAAUGGUACCUGGUAUCUACAUUGAAUGAGUGUUUUUCCUAUGUCCCACCAUUAAAAUGAAUGGGAGUCUUGCAAAUUACAUAGAUUUUUUUUUAUAAUGUAUUAUUUUAUAAAUUUCAUAGAAUUAUUAAUUUAGUAUUUUAGCCCCAAAGUCCCUAAAAAACAUUAUUUGCUUGAGGGGUUCAUAUUAUCAUGUAUUAAUUUAUUGAAAUUCUACUAUUUUUUCCUUAAUUAAAAAGUGAAUUUUUUAUUUUAUUAUUUUAUUUUUCUUUAACAAAAAAAGUCACUUUUUCUCUUUUUUCUUUGAAGUCCUCUAACUUCAUAACACUCGAACUCAUUUUCUCAUACAAAAUAAAAUUAAUCAAAUUCAAAUUUGAAACAUUGAAAAUUAAUCAAUAACAUAAAAAUCAAUUAGAGUUACCUUUGUUUGAUUUGAAACAAAUUAGAGUUACCUUUGUUUGAUUUGGCUACCAUUAAUACUGCUACUAACAACUUCUGUGUCAUAAAUAGAACUGGCACAGGCAGCUUUGGUCCUGUUUUCAAGGUAACAUUUGAUUGUAAGACAAAGUGUGUUUCCUAUGAGACAAUAUGCAGGGCAGUUUGUCAACAGGACAAGAAGUAGCAGUGAAGAGGUUGUCAAAGAAUUCAGGACAGGGUCUUUAAGAGUUUAAUAAUGAGGUUUUUUUAAUUGCCAAACUCCAACACAAGAAUCUUGUGAGGCUUUUAGGCUGCUGCAUUCAGUUCGGAUUAUUUUAUUUUCGGUUUGAACUUCUCAACCCUUUAUAUCUCUUUGGAUUGGUUUGGGUACAUGAUCAUCCAUACCUUACUCAUGCAUCUAUAGAGUACAAAUAGUUAUAAUCACAAUUUACAAGGGUUGAAAUGAUGUGCAGAUCAAAACAGAAGAACGUUAUUGCCAUAGAAAAAGGCACUUUGACAUUGUUAUGGGGAUCGUGCAAGGACUUGUUUAUCUCCACCAAGAUUCCAGAUUUCAAAUCAUUCAUUGGAAUCUUAAGGCAAGCAAUAUACUGCUAGAUGAAAACCUGAACCCCAAAAUUUCAGACUAUGGCUUGGCAAUAAUUUUUGGAGGGGGAUGAAAUGGAAGCAAAAACAGAGUAAUUGGAACAUAGUAAGUUCUGUACUUCGACUUUAGAAAUGAUGUGCUUUUCCUUGAAAUAACUUAUAUUUGAAAUCUUCAUGCAGUGGCUACACGUCCCCAGAGUAUGUGCUUGAUUGCAAAUUUUCUGUUAAAUUUGAUAUCUUUAGUUUUGGUGUGCUUCUGCUGGAGAUUGUGGCUGGUAUAAAGAACAGGGGUUUCUAUCAUUCAAACUACCACCAUAAUCUUCUGGGACAUGCAAGUAGAAAGAAUGAAAAUCCACCUCUGUCACACAUACACAUCAAAGACGCAUGCCCUCUCUUGCUUUUCUGACAAAGUAUAUGGCUUCCAAUUGCUUUAGACAUGCUUUGGAAACAAGACAAGGCCUUGGAAGUAAUGGAUGCAUGUUUGGAGGACUCAUGUAUUGAAUCCCAGCUACUAAGAUGCAUACAAGUCGGUUUAUUAUGUGUUGAAAACCUCCCAGCAGAUAGACCAGCUAUGUCAUCUGUGAUUUUCACGUUGGGUAAUGAGGGAGCAACACUACCUUAACCUAAACAUCCUGGUUUCUUCACAGAAAUAAGUAUGAUCGAUACAGAUGCAACAACAGGACGUGAAGAGUUACCUUCAGAAAAUGUAGUAACCAUCUCAGUGCCAGAAGGUAGAUAAAGGAUUCAAGCACUAUGUCAGCAUGUGCAGGGUGCAUCCAAGGUUUAAUUCAUGUAGGAUAUAGCACUAGGCUCUUCAAUGGAUGGGCACCAAUUUCCUUAAGGUUGCAAAACUAGAUUAUAGCUUGGGCCCAAGGAGGCUAAGGUAUUGGAUUUACUGCACUAGAACCAUAUCUGCUGGGCUUCAUAAUCCUCUAAAUGUAUGAAUAAAAUGUGCUGGAGUGUGUCCUCUAUGGCAGCUCAGGGCAGUGUGAUUUGUAACUUAAAACUCACUAGUAAAACUUUUGAAAUUCAUAUUUUCACAGGAUCAAGUUGCGUAUACGCACAAGAAUGUGGAUUCUGCAGUGACCUUAGCUGAUUCGCUUUAUUUUCCUCAGAGUUUACAUUUGCAGGGCUUGUAUAGAUGCUGAGCUAUACAAAAAAUCUAGAUUUCAAAUCUCUCAAGAAUUUCUAGAGGUGUUCAAAAUCCUUUGAAAUGUCCUUGGGAAGUGCAAUGAGCUUGCAACAAAUUGGAGUGAAUGGAGAUAAACAAAUUGAAAAUCAAAUGAGAGGAUUUGAAGCUUAAACAAAUAAUCACCUUCACAUAAUAAGGUGUGAAUCUCUACUGUCUCUCUCAAGUUAGAAAUUAUGCUGUUGAGCAAUAACAAGGCAAUAUGCUUCUCCAAGAUUGUGUGCAAUUGAUUAAAUAAGUGGAAUAUAUACAUCUUUUAACUUCUUUUCAUCUUCCCAGAAGCUUCAAAAUUUUUUGCAAAACAUUAACUUGAAUACUGUACAGUGGCAAACCUUAGUGGGAGCUUUCAAAUUAUUUAGGAGAAAGAAUUCAAGAACUAUGUAACAGAUGAUUCACAUAGGUUCUUUCCUUAGGACUAACAUGGAAAGAAUUCAAGUAAAUGGAGAUGAAUGUUUAUCAAAUUAAUAGAGACAAACCUACCAAGCAACCAUUGAGAUGCUACAAGCUCAAUUCAGAUAGUUUGAUCUUGCAACAUUUUUUCCAAUUAAUUGAGGGGGCAUAAGAGAAGACACUGAUUUUACAUCUUAGUAACUUGUUUUUCAUUGGAUUUGGAAAAUUCCAAGUUACCCUGUUCAGACAAUUCUUCCAAUUGAAAUAAUUGAGCUUGCAUAGCACGGUACUCUGUUAAGAUUCUGGAGUCCUUGAAGACUGCAACCUGAUCCACUUGAUGCUGUGUCAUGGUUCAAUUAACUAGCUAGUCAUGCUUGAGAGGACCUGUCUGACAAACUCCAAGAAAAAUCUACAUUAGCAACUAUUUUAUUUUAAUUUUCUUCCUAUGUCUAUAAGCAGAUAGCAUAGAGUGAUUUAUGGUAUAUCUUCAAAUUAAUAAAUGGUAGUUUUUUCAUUUUUUUUCAUUCGUUCAUGUACAGAGUAUAUAUAGAGGGUAAUUACCAUUCUAAGAAUGGGAAGGAACGAUACAAGGAAAGAAUGAUAUAAGGAAAUAACAACUAAUAUCCUAAUAUCUCAACUUUCCUAAUAUCUCAAUAUUCUUAAUAUCUCAAUAUUCUUAAUAUCUCAAUAUUCAUAAUAUCUCAAUAUUCCUAAUAUCUCAACUUUCCUAAUAUCUAAACAUUCCUAAUAUCUCAACACUCCCCCUCAAGUUGGUGCAUAGAUGUCACACAUGCCCAACUUGUCUAAAAAUUUUGAGAACACUUGACUUGAGACAGCUUUGGUGAGGAUAUCGGCCAAUUGAUUUUCUGAUUGAAUCUUAGACAAUUCCACAAUCUUAUCAUCCAACUUUUCCUUAAUGAAGAAUCUAUCCACCUCGACAUGCUUUGUACGAUCAUGUUGUACUGGAUUAUGAGCAAUGUCACAUGCGGCUUUAUUGUCACAAAACAAUCGGAUUGGUUGCUUAGAUAGGUAACCUAAAUCCUGUAAGAGGAGUCUUAGCCAUAAUGCCUCACAAAGUCCUAGAGCCAUACCUCUAAAUUCCGCUUCUGCACUUGAAUGGGCGAUGACAUUCUGCUUCUUACUUUUCCAUGUCACAAGAUUACCACCUACAAAGGUAAAGUAACCAGAUGUAGAUCGCUUAUCAUCCACUGCACUAGCCCAAUCAGCAUCAGUAUAUACUUCUAUACUCUGAUGAUCAACAUUUUUAGCGAACAAAAUUCCCUUCCAAGGAACAUUCUUCAAAUACCUCAAAAUACGCAUGACUGCAUUCAUAUGUUGCUCUCCAGGAUUAUGCAUGUAUUGACUCACUACACUCAAUGCAUAAGCAAGAUUUGGACUUGUAUGAGCUAAGUACAUUAACUCCCCACAAGUCUCUGGUAUCUUCCCUUAUCGGUUGAUACUUGAUUAGGCUCAACACACAAUUUCAAACCUUCUUCUAUUGGUGUAUUAACAGGUUGACAUCCCAACAUUCCAGUCUCCUGUAAAAGAUCUAAGGCAUACUUUCUUUGAGACAGAAAAAUUCCUUCACUUGAUCGAGAAACUUCAAUCCCAAGAAAGUAUUUCAGAGGACCUAGAUCUUUCAUUUCAAAUUCUCUAAAUAGAUAAUUUUGCAAAGCUUUUCUUUCUUCAGGAUCAUUUCUUGUAACUACCAUGUCAUCCACAUAUACGAUAAGUGUCGUAAUCUUACCAUGUUGCUUUUUUAGGAACAAAGUGUGAUCUAAAUUACUUUGACGAUAGCCAAAAGCUCUCAUUGAUUUUGUGAACCUUCCAAACCAUGCUCUCGGGGAUUGCUUCAACCCAUACAAUGACUUCUUCAAUUUGCACACCUUCUGACAUUGCUUUUCUGACACCAUGCAUCCUGGUGGAAGAUCCAUGUAUACUUCUUCAGAUAACUCGCCAUGCAGAAAGACAUUUUUCACAUAGAACUGUUGUAAUGGCCAAUCUAGGUUUGCAGCUAAAGAUAGUAAUACUCGAACUGUGUUGAUCUUAGCUACAGGUGCAAAUGUCUCUGUGUAGUCAAUUCCAUAAGUUUGAGUGUACCCUUUUGCUACCAGUCUUGCUUGAAAUCGUUCAAUACUACCAUCUGCCUUGUUCUUCAUAGUAUAGAUCCAACGACACCCAAUUGGUUUCUUUCCUGGUGAACAUUUUACGAGUUCCCAUGUUUCAUUAUUCUGCAAUGAUUUCAUCUCUUCAUUCAUGACUGUUUUCCACCUUGGAUCAGCUAAGGCUUCCUGCACACUGUUAGGAAUAGCUACAAUAGAUAAUUGAUUUAAAAAUGACUUAUUUGAUUCAGACAAAUGAUGGUUAGACACAUAGUUGCUCAUGAGAUAUUUGACUUUGGUAGACAAUUCAGGUUCAUAUGUGGGUUUAGGAAUACCUCUAUUAUGACGGUGUGGUAACCGUUUCAUGAAUGGAUCAGGUUCCAAAUUAAGAACACCCUCAACAGACGACGAUUGGUUUGGUAUUUCAGUGAAGACACAUUCGAACCCAAAUUGUUGACCACUCAUAUCCAACUCACCCGCUUCUUGGUUCACUAGUUCAGAUUGUCCAAAUUCAUCCUCCUCAGAGAUAUGAUAAUCGUAAUCGAGAGUCUGAAUUUCCUUAUGGUACUCUCCCUAAAGUUCAGACUCAGAUGAANNNNNNNNNNNNNNNNNNNNNNNNNNNNNNNNNNNNNNNNNNNNNNNNNNNNNNNNNNNNNNNNNNNNNNNNNNNNNNNNNNNNNNNNNNNNNNNNNNNNAUGCAUGAGAAGUUAACUUGGUGCGUUGGUGUUUGUGUAGAUGCACAAAUUCCAUGCAACCAAAAACACGAGGAGGUAGAUUUGGGACGGUUGGGGCAACUAUGGCAUUAGUAAGAGCUUGGAGAGGUGUUUGGAAGUUAAUUAGGCUAGAAGGCACCCGAUUGCUCAAGUAUGUGGCAGAUGUGAUUGCUUCUCCUCAAUAAGAUAUCGGUAUUUUUGCUGCUAUCAAGGAAGCACGAACAACCUCUAAUAAGUGCCGAUUUUUUUGUUCAGCGACUCCAUUUUGCUAGGGUGUAUUGGAACAAGUAGUCUAAUGAAUGAUGCCAUGUUCUUUCAAAUACUUUUGAAGAUCAGAACUUUGAUAUUCUCCACCAUUAUCACUACGCAAAACCCGAACCUUUGCAUUGUACUGAGUUUCAAUCAUUUUAUGAAAAUUUUGAAACAACAAGUUCACUUCAUCUUUGGUCUUCAUCAAGCAUAACCAUGUCAUUCUGGUACAAUCAUCAAUAAAAGUAACAAACCAACGUGAGCCACUCAAAGUUGGGACUUUGGAUGGGCCCCAAACAUCAGAAUGUAAAACCAUAAAAGGAAGCGGACUUUUAUUCAAAAUUAACGGAAACGAAACACGAUGACUUUUAGCCAAUUCACAAAUAUCACAACGGAAACCAGAAAUAUCACUCUUUGCAAACAAACUAGGAAACAAUUUUUUUAAAUAACCAAAGGAAGCAUGUCCCAGACGUCGAUGCCACAACCAAAUUUCAGACUUUUUCUUCUCCUUCUCAGAUCCAUCUGCCAUCAAGGCUUGUUGCAACUUAUUUGAAUCCUUUGACUACAAGUCCAAGUAAUAGAGUUUUCCCCGCUUAAUACCCUAACCAAUCGUCUGUCUUGUUUGGAUGACCUUAAUCACACAAAAUUUAGGCCAAAAUAUGACAAUACAAGAUAAGGCUGCAGUGAUUUGAGAAACUGAAAAAAGAUUGUAAUAUAGAGAUGGAACAACUAAAACAUAAUCCAAAUUCAAAGUAUCAGUAAGAGUUAAGGAUCCUUCCCCAAUGACUGGGGUUGUGUUACCAUUGGCUGUGGAAACAAUUUUUUGUGAGGAAGGUCUAAGAGGUGAAACCUGUCUAGAAUCAAAAGUCAUAUGAUCUAUAACACCAGAAUCAAUUAUUGAUUCGUGUGCCUAGCUGGUGUACCUUGAGUUUGGUCCUCAGACAGGAGUAAUCAACAAAAUUUAUAACCUAUAUCACCAUGCACUAGGAUAGCCUUAGCUAAUAUAGCAUAGUGGCUCUAGGAUCGUUCACUGGGAAGGGUUUUCAACUUAUAACUGAUACCAAUUCAAAGUUGAAUUGGUGUUUUUUCAUUUCAAGGUUAGCUUCAAAAGAAAACAUAAACUUUUGUUGAAAAAUGAUUUGUUUUAAGCUAACUAAAAAGAAAGUAAUGGGAAUUACUUAUGAAGAAAACGUUCCUUGGAGUUUUAGGAUCACUGGGAUCAGGCUCCUCAUGCAAAAACAGAGCUCCGGUCACUUGAAUCUUUUCCUCGCAUUAAAGAAUUAACAUGUAGUUAAUUCUCUAACCGGUGUUGUACAGAUGCUUCCCUUUUAUGGAUUUCAGCACUAAUUCCUUCUUACUGAUGCAUCUUGCAAUGGCUCGUGCCUCUCACCUAGCAUUUGUCAUUCAAGGUGAUCAUUAACCUUGGACUUCCUUUCUCAAGCUCGCAAGAGAUAACUAAUGGAUGUCUCCUUAGAGUCCAAAAGCUUACCAAGUGUUGGCAAUUCUAGAAAUCCUACCUUCAAGUCACCUCCCAAAGGCUCGUAAAAGGUAAACUAGCGCAUCUCCAUGGACGGAGAUCAUUUGCCUUACCAAGUGUUGGUCCAGGUGAAUUGAAGGCGUUUUAAGUUAACUAAAAACAUAGAAACCAUAAACGGGUCACACUUUCUCUUCAUUAACAGCUGAAACAACAAAACUACCAAUUCUUGCACUCGGGGCCUUACCCAGCUACCUUAGCUCCAAGAGACAAAAAAGUCUAGCCACUCAUUCUCUGAGGAAACAUCCUCAGAGCUUGUUUGACUAGUAAGAAAAAUACAAUCAAAGUGAGUAGGUAAGGCAGAGCAAAGCUCUGUAUUUUACUUCCUUCAAAACUAUACAAAAAGUUGUGUCUCUGAGAACAAGCUCCCGAGAUGUCUCUGUAAUGAAAAUUACAAACAAUAUAUAUAUGAGGUUAUUCACCCUUUGUGCUUACUUAAUAACUAAGGAAUCUUAUAAUUGGUGGAUUACAAGGAGAGAAUGGGGAUUUAGACAUCAAAUAUCUGAAGCAAAAAAUCUAAAAAUAUCGAUCGCAAAUAUCUGGAAGCACUCUGGAGGAUUUCGCAGGUGUGCAAGAUGGCUGUGAAAUUUUACAACCUGAAGGACACCAUUUCGCAGCCAAAGGCUGAUUUCCCAGCCAUCACCUUGUGAUUUCGUAGCCUGCGGAAUUGACCUUCAGCUUGGUGUGAUUUGCUUGCUCUAACUUCUUCAUUUCAACUCCGAAUCGCACAGCAUUUGAAGCGUUGGAUUGCUGACUUCUCGAGCUUCGAAACAACAUAUAGUAUGCAUAAAUUGAGCUCUAGGAAAUGCUCCAAAAGUGUCCAACAAUUGCUAUCCUCUUGAAUUCUUCAUGUUAGAUUUCUCUCUUUGCUUUCCCUCCUUGUAUUCAUGAUUUGCUUAUGGGAAAGGACUAUAAAGCUUCAAAGCUUAGGUUCUUCAUGUUAAUGAGCUUUCAAUUGCUUUGCCAUGGAUUCCAUAGAACUCUCCUCAAUCUUGGAUUGCUUUGGUGAUCAAAAUACUAUCAAAAACACCAAAACUUACACAAUUUGAUUAGAAAUGAUUGCAAAGGUACUUAAUAUGCUAAUUGAGUUAAAAGGUAAUAACUACUACUCAAAAGUGUUUAAAAGAGUUAAUUACAAGCUAUCAAAUAACACUUUUUGAGUAGUAAUCAAUUAUCCAUGCACUAUUAAUAACAGGUGUAAAAGUAUUUAAAAACUUACCACCAUGAUCUAUAGCGGCUACCAAUGCAGAGGCUUUCUCAGCAACAUUAGCCUUUAUUUUUAUUUCGGCAAUAGUUGCAGUCGAGGUUUUCUUGGAAUCCUUCUUCCGUUGAUCACGAUUAUUGUCAUUAAUAACAAAGUGGUGAUAGCCUAAACAUGAUCUAAAGGUCUAUGGUUCAAAUCCUCGGUUCCUCAUUGUUUUCAUGGUCAUACCAAGAGUCGUUGCUUUGAAAUUGUGGGAUAACCAGACUGGUGGGAUCAGUCUUAUUGCAGUGAGUGCAUUUGAAGGUUGACUUAUCAAUAUUAGGGCUUGUCUUAGGAUGGUUGAUCACUGUUGGACUACCAUAGCAACAAAAUAUCCAGGAUGUCAAUUCCAUGGAUCUGAUACCAUCUUCAAAUUGAUAAAUGGUAGUUUUUUCAAUUUUUUUUCAUUCGUUCAUGUACAAAUAUAUAGAGGGUAAUCACCAUUCUAAGAAUGGGAAAGAAUGAUACAAGAAAAGAAUGAUAUAAGGAAAUAACAACUAAUAUCCUAAUAUUUCAACUUUCCUAAUAUCUCAAUAUUCCUAAUAUCUCAACUUUCCUAAUAUCUAAACAUUCCUAAUAUCUAAACAUUCCUAAUAUCUCAACACUAACUAAUAUAAGGAAAGAAUGAUAUAAGGAAAGCAUUCCUAAUAUCUCAACAGUAUAUCCUCUAUGGCACCAUGUUUUUCCAUAAACACAUUGAUGAUGAAUAAGCUUUCAUAAAUUAGAUAGGGCAUGAGCUUUCCAUGUGGCACUAUUUUUUUUUUUUUUUUUUGUGGAAAAUAAUUUAGUAUUUUAAGCUUUACUAUAACCCAUAAAACUUUUCCUUCAUUUGGAAAAAAUGAAUCUGAAGCUACCCAGAAGCUGACCUGAAAAGACAUGUCUUAAUUGUUCUUUUAAUUAUUAAUUUUAUUGUGGGCAUGACCUAGGUUGAGAAAGGUCCAAUAAGGCUUAGAAAAUUCAUGGAAAGAUAUAUAUAUAUAUAUAUAGAAGUGAUAGGUCAAGUUCAUUCAUCCGCAUGAAAAGGACCAGGGUCGACUUCUUAAUGGUUCGUACUUACUAACGUAGAAAUUAGGGAAGAAAUCACGACAGGUGCUGCUACCUAGGAAAGGUAACACCAUUGCACUUGACUAUGAUCCUCUACCUCAUGUUCAUGUGAUGAUUAUGACGUAGGUGACAACUGUUUUAUCAGAUUGGAAGUAUAGAAUUCCAAGAAUAUUGAAGACAAAUCAAGCGCAAAUGAAGGCGAAGAUUAACAGAUGGAUUAUUACUCACAAAGGAAACUAAGGGUGAAUCUUCCCAGACAACGAUACAGAAAUGAGUGAUGGGUGCUGCAGUCCCUGUUUCAAGGCGGCUGUAUCGCCUACAAUUAAUCAAUCUCUACAAAAAGUGAUUAAAAAGUGAAUUUUUUUAACAAAAAAAAAGAGUUCUUUUUUCUUUUUUUUCUUUGAGGUCUUAACUCUAUAACACUCGAUCUAAUUAAAACUAACAUGGAAAGAAUCCAAGUAAAUAGAGAUGGAUGUUUAUCAAAUUAAUAGAGACAAUCCAGACAUCAAGAUUGGCAUGCCAAGCAACCAUCGAGAUGCUACCUUCCAAGCCCUAUAACACAAACUCAUUUAAGAUAGUUUGAUUUUCUGACAUUUAAAAAAAAAAAUUCAAUGAGGGAACAUUUGGGAGGACUUUACAAUUUUACAUUUCAGUAACUUGUUUUUCAUUGGAAUUGGAAAAUUCCUAGUCACCCUGUUGAGGCAGUUCUUCCAAUUCUAAUGCUUGAUCCCUUAAACCUACAUAACACAAUACUCUGUUGGACUAAGACUGAAAGCUUGACCAAGUCAAAAACUGCAGUGUUGUCCUCUUGAUGCCGUGUCUUGGACAACUUCCAGGAAAAACCUACAUUAGAGAAAUUUUAGUAUUUUUUUUAACUAGUGUAUAGAAGUUUUCCUUCCAUUUGUGAGAAAUGUCAAUGGAGACCCAUAUUUUCUUCUCCAUCUUUUGUGCUUGGAUUUGUCUCUUUCCAUUGGAGUUUUGUAUUGCAGCUGAUUCGUGCCCAAUUGGUGUAUCAGCUGAUUCAUGUCCAGUUGGUGCUCCUUGAUUGAGGGAGUAAUCAACAAAAUUUAUAACCUAUUACACCAUGAACUAGGGUAGCAAAGACAAAGCUACUAUAGCAUAGUGGCUCUAGGAUCGUUCACUGGGAAGGGUUUUCAAUUCAUAAAUGAUACCAAUUCAAAGUGAAUUGGUGCUUUUUCAUUUCAAGGUUAGCUUAAGAAAUAAAACACAAACUUUGAUUGAAAAAGGUUUAGGUUUAAACUAACGGCAAAGGAAGUAAUGGAAAUUACUUAUGAAGAAAAACAUUCCUUGGAGGUUUAGGUUCACAGGGGAGGUUUCUCAUGCAAAAACAGAACUCCGGUCAUUUGGUUCAUUUCCUCUCAUUAGAGAAUUAACAUAUAGUCAAUUCUCUAAUCGGUGUUGUACAGAUGUAUCCUUUAAAUGGAUUUCAGCUCUAAUUCCCUCUCACUGAUGCAACUUGCAAUGGCUUGUGCCUCUCACUUAGCAUUUGCCAUUCAAGGUGAUCUUUAACUUUGGACUUCCCUUCUCAAGCUCGCAAGAGAUAACUAAUGGAUGUCUCCUUGGAGUCCAAAAGCUUACCAAGUGUUUUGGCAAUUCUAGAAAAUCCUACCUUCAAGUCACUUCCCAAAAGCUCACAAGAGGUAAACUAGUGCAUCUCCAUGGACGGAGAUCACUUGCCUUACCAAGUGUUGGCUCAAGUGAAUUGAAGGUGUUUUAAGUUAACUAAAAACAUAAAAAUCAUUAAAGGAUCACACUUUCUCUUCAAUAAUGGCUGAAACCACAAAGCUACUAAUUCUUGCACUUGGAACCUUUCCCAGCAACCUUAACUCUAAGGAACUAAAAGUCUAGCCACUUAUUCUCUGAGGAAACAUCCUCAGAGCUUGUUUGGCUAGUAAGAAAAUACAAUCAAAAUGAGAAGGUAAAGCAGAGCAAAGCUCUGUAUUUUUCUUCCUUUGAAAACUAUACAAAAGAUGCGUCCUCCCCUAUUUGAUCGAUAUAUGAUCGAUAUCUUAUGUAAAGGAAAUUACAAACUAUAUAUAAGAGGUUAUUCACCCUUUGUUCUUACUUAAUAACUAAGGAAUCCUAUAAUUGGUGGGUUACAAGGAGAGUUUGGGGAUUUAGACAUCAAAUAUCUAAAGCAAAAUAUCUCAAAAUGUCAGUUGGACAUAUCGGGAAGCUUCAAGAGAACACCGCGGCACUAUGCAGAAAAAUAUCUCAAAAUGUCGAUCGGACAUAUCAGGAAGCUUCAGGAGAACAUCGUGGCACUGUGCAAAAUGGUUGCGAAACUCUCCGGGUAAGCGCUAUCAGAGGAUUCGGAUAUGUCUGACCGGGGAAGUUGAAACGCCCUCCUCUCUCAUCCGGUGUCAACCGCCGGAUGUGAAACAUUCGGAUGGAAUGUCGGCGGAGAAGAAUUUCGGAUGUGAGACAUCCGGGUGGAAUGUCGGCGGAGCAGAAUUCCGGAUGUGAUACAUCCGGGUGGAAUGGCAGCGCGCUCCCCUAUCCGGACUCCCUUAGGGAGAAGCACACGGCACUCGCGAUCAUUACACCCUGGACGAUAGCAUAUCCUAUCAGGAUAUGUGGUCCGUAUCAUUGGCUAAAGUGCACAAGCCUUGCUACGUCAUUCCGAUAGCCUGCCACAGCUCACAUUCUGCCGCCCUCUGAUAGUGUGUCCGGACGCCCUGUCCGGACAUCUUUUGCCAUGGAUUUCAAAGAACUCUCCUCAAUCUCGGAUUGCUUUGGUGAUAAAAAAGCUAUCAAAACACCAAAACUUAACACAAUUUGAUUAGAAUUGAUUGCAAGGGUCCUUAAUAUGUUAAUUGGGUUAAAAUGUGAUAACUACUACUCAAAAGUGUUUAAAAGAGUUAAUUACAAGCUAUGAAAUAGCACUUUCUGAGUAGUAAUCAGCAGCUGAUUCCAUAAGGAUGGACGAAUCCAUAAGCCAUGGUGAGACUUUAGUUUCCUCAGGCCAAAGUUUUGAACUAGGCUUCUUCUCUUCUAGAAGCUCCAAAAACAGGUACUUGGGAAUAUGGUACAAGAAUACACCCCAAACAGUUGUAUGGGUUGCAAACAGAAACAACCCAAUUGUAGAUUCUUACGGAGUUUUAACCAUCAUCAACAAUGGCACACUUGUUCUUCUCAACCAGUCAAAGAGUGUAAUCUGGUCUCCCAAUUUGUCAAGGGUACUUGAAAAUCCAGUUGCACGGCUCCUAGAGACUGGAAAUCUUGUUCUCAGGGAUAAUAGUAAUGAAAGUUCUGAAAGCUAUAUAUGGCAGAACUUUGAUGAUCCAUCAGACACAAUGUUGCCAGGCAUGAAGGUGGGAUGGAACUUAAAGACUGGUCUACAACAAAAAUUGACAUCAGGGAGAAGUGCUGAUGACCCAUCCAUUGGAGACUUCUCUUACAGAAUUGAUAUUAAUGUGCUGCCUUACAUGGUUCUUGGUGUGGGAUCAAGCAAAAAAGUCCGUUUCGGGCCGUGGAAUGGACUUGAAUUCAAUGGUGUUCUUGUGUUGGACUACUUGGUUUACAAAGAAGUUUUUGUUAACAACGACGAUGAGGUAUAUACCCUCUGUGAGUCUAACAACAAUAAGAUCAUUUCAAGACUAACAUUGAACCAUUUAGGUUUCCUCCAGCGUCUGAUAUAAAAAAAAGGAAGCUCUGAAUGGGAUGAAUUGUACUCAAUUCCCAGUGAACUUUGUGAAAAUUAUGGCCAUUGUGGUGCUAAUGAUAUCUGUAGAAUUGGCAAGACGCGGAUUUGUGAGUGUUUGCCAGGUUUCACACCAAAUUCACAAAAAAGGGACAUGUUUAAUACAUCAAGCGGAUGCACACGAAGAAGGCAUUUGGAUUGCCAAAGUGAAGAGGGAUUUGUAAAGGUUACAGGGGUGAAAUUGCCCGACUUGAUAGAUUCUCAUGUGAUUAAUAGUGUGAGCCUUAGGGAGUGUGAGGUGUUGUGCUUGAGCGACUGUUCUUGUACAACAUAUGCCUAAUCAAAUGCAUAUGCUUACUCAAAUCCUAAUGGAAACAAUGGCUGUUUGAUGUGGUCUGGGGACCUGAUUGAUAUCAGAGAGUUAACUUCAGAAAAACAUGCGGAGGACAUCUAUAUCCGCAUGCACACUUCAGAGCUAGGUAAGACACUUGAUUUUCUGUAAAUCACUUUUUGAUUGUAAGCUAUUGGGGUUGUCUCCAAUAGCCUAAGCCCUAAGUUAUCCUGGUAAAUUAAGAUGCAGAAUUACUUAUUUUCCAAAAUCAGAGAUUCAAUUUGACAAGAAUAUUAUAAUCUAGUUAAAACUAAGACCCUAUAUUAUAUUCCAGAAGAACCAUAGCUGUUAGGAUUCAAGUUAAUUAAUGAUGAACUGACUUGUAAUAAUCCUAACAAACAGAAAGCAAAUAUCCAAUUCAUUUUCCGAAGAAACAGGAAAAUCUGAAGAAAUGGACAAAGCCUACUUCUGAAAGUACUAAUGAACAAAAGGAUUUAUAUGAAAAGUGGGAGCGCUCUAAUCGCAUGAGUCUAAUGAUUAUGAAAGGUUCAAUCACUCCUGCAAUUCAUGGAGCAAUCCCGAAUUCAGAUAAUGCAAUGAGCUAUAUUAAAUAAGUUGAAGAACAAUUCUUAGGAACUUCCAAGUCCUUGGCAAAGUACUCUUAUGAUCAAAAUGAUAACAAUGAAAUAUGAUGGUCAUAGUGGUGUACGUGAGCACAUCAUGAAGAUGAGUGACAUGACUUCUCAAUUAAAAGGAAUGAACAUGGCAAUUUUUGAAGGUUUUCUUGUUCACUUCAUAAUGACUUCCUUUCCUUCACAAUUUGGUCCUUUCAAAAUUAAUUAUAAUACUCAGAAGGAUAAGUGGAAAAUGAAUGAACUAAUUACCAUGUGUGUUCAAGAAAAAGAGAGGCUUAAAAUGGAAAAGCCCGAUAUGGCUCACUUCACUAUUGGUCCAAAUAAAAAAUCCUUCAAGAAAGGUAAAGGUAAGAAAAAGAAGCAAGGUAAUGAUGUAUCUCAUAAUGGGAAAAAGGACGAAAAUAAGAUACAAUGUCAUUUUUGCCACAAGAAAGGUCACAAAAGAAGAUAUUGUUUUGGCUUUAAGGCUUGGUUGGAAAAGAAAGGCAAAACUCAAUGCUUAGUGUCUUAUGAAUCUUAUUUAGUUUAUAUACCACCAAACUCUUGGUGGAUUGACACUAGUGCAAGGAUUCACAUAAUGAAUUCAUUGUAGGGAUACCUUACAAGCAAUAGACUAAGUAAAGGAGAGUGAACCAUUACUUUGGGAAAUGGAACGGAAGUGGAAAUUGAGGCUAUUGGCACUCUUCGUUUAAUUUUGGAUACUGGUUUCAUUAUGGAUUUAGUAGAUACAGUUUAUGUUCCUGUUUUUACUAGAAACCUAAUUUCAGUUCCAAGACUUGAUUCUUAUGGUUAUGAAUUAAAGUUUGGAAAUAAUGGAGUUUCCUUGUUCUAUAAUUCUUGUUUGGUUGUCUCUGGCACUUUACAUGGUAAUCUUUAUUCAUUGAAUUUAGAUUGCAAAUAUUCACAGUCUCUUUUAUCUUAUCAUGUGUAUGAAUCUCUAAAAAACGAAAUCGAGUGAAUGAAAAUUCAUCCAUAUUAUGGCAUAAGCGAUUGGGUCACAUUUCAAGAGAAAGGAUGGAACGUCUUAUUAAAGAUGAAAUUUUGACUUCACUUGAUUUUUAUAAUUUUACUAGUUGUGUUGAAUGCAUAAAGGGAAAAAUACACUAAGGUUAAGGAAAAGGGUGCCUCAAGGGUCACUGAAUUGUUAGAAUGUAUUCAUUCUGACAUUUGGGGACCUUAUUCAAUUCCAACUAUCAAUGGACAUAAGUACUUUAUUUGUUUUAUUGAUGACUUUUCAAGGUAUUCUUAUGUGUAUCUUAUUUGUGAAAAAUCUGAAGCAUUAGAUGUUUUUAAGAUUUAUAAAGCUAUGAUUGAAAAUCAACUCAAUCGGUGAAUUAAAAGUGUAAGAUCUGAUAGAGGUGGUGAAUAUUAUGGUAAGUUCACUGAAUCAGGUCAACAUCUUAGUACUUUUGCCUUAUUUUUAAGAGAGCAUGGUAUCAUUGCAAACUACACAAUGCUUGGAACACCAGAGCAAAAUGGUGUAGUAAAGCGACAGAAUCGUACUCUAAUUGACAUAGUGAGAAGUAUGAUGAGUAACUCAACCUUGCCUGAAUUGUUGUGGGGUGAAACAUUGAAAACUACUGUUCACAUUCUCAAUCGUGUUACUAGUAAGGUUGUACCUAAAACUCCUUAUGAGUUAUGGGUGGGUAGGAAACCAACUUUGAAUUAUUUACAUGUAUGGGGAUGUCCAGCUGAAGCUAAAUUUUUUAACCCACAAAUAAAGAAAUUAGAUUUUAAAACCAUAAGUUAAAAUUUCAUUGGCUAUCCUGAAAGAUCAAAAUGUUUUAGAUUUUAUUGUCAUGGCCAAUGCCCUAAAAUUGUUGAAACUAGACAUGCUGUGUUUUUGGAAAAUGAAUAUUUUAGUGGGAGAACUGAGCUUAAAAAGUUAACCUCUAAUGAAGUAUCAACACCAAUGAUGGAAUAUGGUGUGACUCAAGGGGUUUCUUGUAAUGAAAAUGAGAAUGUCCCAACUACUAAAGUAAUUUUACGUAGAUCACAAAGAGAGAAAAGACCUGCUAUAUCAAAUGACUACGAGGUUUAUCUUAAUGAGUGUGAUUAUGAUGUUGGCUUGGAAAGUGAUCCUACUUCUUAUGAUCAAGCCAUCAAUAGUGAAAAUUCAACUCUAUGGCUUUAUGCUAUGGAAGAAGAGUUGAAAUCAAUGAAAGAUAAUGAAGUUUGGGAUCUUGUAGAAUUGCCCAAAGGAAUUAAAACUAUUGGUUGAAAAUGGAUUUUUAAAACCAAAUAUGAUUCUAAGGGCAAUGUCGAAAGAUACAAGGCCAGGUUAGUUGCAAAAGGAUACACUAAAAAAGAAGGAAUCGACUACAAGUAAACAUUUUCUCCCAUUUCCAAGAAAGAUUCCUUAAGAAUAGUCAUGGCUUUAGUAGCUCAUUUUGACUUAGAGUGACAUCAAAUGGACAUUAAAACUGCCUUUUUGAAUGGUGACUUGCAUGAAGAGGUUUAUAUGGAUUAACCUGAGGGUUUUCAGGAUAAAGGCAAGGAACAUAUGGUAUGUAAACUUAAAAAGUCCAUAUAUGGUCUAAAACAGGCUUCUAGACAAUGGUAUCUUAAGUUCCAUGAAAUUCUCAUCACUUUUGGUUUCAAAGAGAAUCUAGUGGAUUAAUGUAUAUGCCUUAAGAUCAGUGAGAGCAAAAUUUGUAUUAUUGUAUUGUAUGUUGAUGAUAUGUUGCUUGCUAGCAACAAUAUGGGAAUGAUUUUUGAGACCAAACAAUUUUUAUCUAAGAAUUUUGAUAUGAAAGAUCUUGGUGAAGCAUCCUAUGUGAUAGGAAUUGAAAUUCAUCGAGAUAGGUCACGUGGAUUAUUAGGAUUAUCCCAAAAGAACUAUAUUGAAAAAGUUCUUAAAAGAUUCAAUAUGCAAAAUUGUUCUAGCAAUGUUGCUCUUGUUGUGAAAGGGGACAUAUUUUGUGAACUUCAAUGUCCUAAAAAUGAUCUUGAAAAGAAACAAAUGGACAAAAUUCCUUAUGCUUCUGCAGUAGGGAGUAUCAUGUAUGCUUAAGUAUGCACUCGACCAGAGAUAACUUAUGUGGUAGGCAUGCUUGGUCGAUACCAAAGUAAUCCAAGUAUUGAUCAUUGGAAAGUAGUUAAGAAAGUAUUACGUUAUUUACAAGGGACUAAGGACUACAUGCUUACAUGCAGAAUAACAGAUAAUCUAGAAAUUAUUGGUUAUUCUAAUUCUGAUUAUGUUGGCUAUAAGGAUACCAGAAAAUCUACAUCUGGGUAUAUUUUUAUGUUAUCAAAUGUACCUAUUUUAUGGAAGAGCCAUAAGCAAUCAUUGAUAGCUUCUUCUACAAUGGAGGCAGAAUAAGUAGCAUGUUAUGAAGCCACAUGUCAUGCAAUAUGGUUGAGAAACUUUGUAUCAGGGCUUCAUGUUAUUGAUUCGAUAAUGAGACCAUUGAGAAUAUAUAGUGAUAAUAGUGUUGUUGUUCGAUUCUCUAAAAAUAAUAAGACUACAGGAGGAUCAAAGCACAUUGAUAUUAAGUAUUUGGUUGUAAGGGAGAAAGUUCAAAAUGGAGUUGUCUCUAUUGAACAUAUUGAAAAUACACUCAUGUUGGUAGAUUCAUUGACAAAAGGUCUUCCACCUAAGCUUUUUAUGGAUUAUGUUGCGCACAUGGGCUUGGUGGCAAGUUUGUCAAUUUUAGAUUGAUUAAGAGUGUAAUGUAUGUGAUCACAUUAUAAUGAGAAUAAAGUUCUUGAUUAUGAUAUAUUGAUGAUUAUUAUGUUACUUUUAUACAUCAUUUUUGUGCACAAUCUAGAUGUUUAAAAGUUGAUGGGACCAUUAUGUGAAUGAAUUAGUAUUAUCACCUUAAUGUUGCUAAUGUCAUAAAAUUCAUUGAUUCAUGUUAAUGGAGGUGCUAGUACUAUAAUCCUUGAAGAAUAUUGGAUCAUUGUGUGAUCCAAUCAUUUCAAUGAUUUUGUGUUAGUGGUUCUAUGAAACAUAAUCUUAAUGUAAAGGAUGCCUAUUUUGAGAAAUUGUUAUGGCCAUAUUAUGUUUUAAUCUAUUCACUACUACAAAAAAACAAAACAAGGACGCUCUUAUCCUUGGCGUUUUUGAAAAAACGUCAUUAUUUAGUUAGAUAUACUAAAAUGUUGACGCUUGUUUACUACGACGCCUCUAUAAGCGUCAUUGAACUGUAAAAGUUUAAAGACGUUGGCGCUUAUUUUAAGCAUCAUUGUAUACACAUUUCAAUAGGCGUCCUUGGCGCUAAAAAGCGUCAUUUUCUUUCUUACAUAGUAUGUAAUAUAUUUCCCAUUACCUCCAUAUAAUUCGCUGCACCUGUCAAAAGACAAAUUUAGCACCCCGACAAGCCUUAGAAGACCAGUUGUGAGUAUCGAAACCCUUCGAAGACCUAAACCCUCAGAGCAUAAAAAACCCUAAGCCUUCACUCUCGUUGAAAACCCUAGGCUUUCACUCUCGUUGAAAACCCUAAGCUUUCUCUCUCUCUAUUGAAAAACCUUAACCUUUGGAAGAGUACUAUAUUCAGACUCUAAUCUACAACUAUUCUUAACUAGCUUGUUGGUAAUGGAAUCUCAUAGAUUUGAGUGGCAACGAAAUCAAAAGUGAGGUGGGAGACAAUAUUGGGGUGAUAUAUCACAUUGUGAAACAACGACGUGUAGUUGGUGAGUAGCCGAGUUGUUUGGGGGUUUUCAUUUUCAAGAUCCUACUCCGAUCUCCUCUGUGAAGCAACCAGAAAAUGUGAAGGUUUCUGUUCUUAGACCAACUCGAAUAUGAUCUACAUCUGGUUAGGAAGAUUUAUUUUGGGGGUCAAUGUAUGUAGUUCGAAUCAAAGGACCAUCCAGAUAGAGGAGUCCAUGGGUUGGAAGAAAAUGAAGCUUUAUGGAGAUGAUGGUCACUGGAGGUAGCAUAGGCAUGGAAAUUAGAAAUCUUAUUGUGGAAGGUAAAAUUUUUUAGCAAAAGUGAAAAUUUUUAAUUGGAAAGAUUUCAGAAAUUGGGACUCCGUGGAUUGUGAAUUUGUGACUUGAAGGGUUGGCUGUUUAAUAUGAGUUUUUGCAUUUUUGUGGAAACAAAGCUGCAAAUUUUCAUAUUUUUAUGGAUGAAUAAUCCUCUGCAUGUAUAAGAUCCUUGUAGGAUUUGAAAAUGUAUCAAAUUUCUGUCAUCACUAUAGUGGCAAUUCCUACUUGUAUCAUGAUUCUUGACUUGAAUUCCUAAGUUUCCAACUUAGUUGGAGGUGUGGCAGUUCUAUUGCUGAUUUAUCUUCUAUGUCAUUAAGUAAAAGGGAUGUUUGGUAAGUCUUGUAUGGUAUACGAUGGAGCAUUUUUUAUUGGUAAAUUCACAUGUUGUUUUUCCCAUUGAACUGCUGUUUUUCUUUCUUUAUUUUUUUAAAGCUAAUUUUGGUUGUAAUUUUGUGCAUAGUAUUUAGAACAGAGCCUCCUUGAGAGUUAUUCAUCUAGUUGAAGGCUUCCCUUUGUGGUAUUGCUACUUUAUGCUUGCUAGAAAUAUUUAAUCAUCAAUUAACUAUCUUGUGUUUAUCUCAAAAUAUGAUGGGCAGUUUGCUAUGAGGGAUUUUAUCUGCAUUACUAGUUGAUAAUCACACUUUGGAAGGUGAAAAGACCUUCAUUUAAUAGAGGAUCAUAUUUUUGAUCGGAUACCGAAUUUUGUUUACCACUUUGUCAGGCUAUGCACUUCAAUUUGGCAUUGGGUUAUCAUUUCUAAUUCAAAUUCCAUUCCAAUUGUUACCAUUUCCGAAUAGUGCAUAGCAAUGACACACAACGUUUGGAAAUUUCAAAAUCUUAUGUACAGGAUGCCAUGAAUUUAAACAAUGUACUAAUAUUUAUUAUGUAUUACCUAUCUUUCCGCCCUUGGAUUCAUGUUGUGGUUGUUCAAAAAUACCCCAUUAUGAUUCAAUUCAUACUGUGCAACAUGAAAGAAUAAUGAAACUUGAAGCUUCUGCCAAGGCAGGACAUGGAUCCUUUCUACUCUUGAUAGCCAGUUAUAAUAUUUGAAUCUAUAUUCUGUUAUUUAUAGUCAUUGGCAUUGGUGUUUAGUCCCUUGACUUCUAUAGUAGUCCAUGGUGACAUGAUGAAAAAGGAAAUGGAGGCAAGUGCUCUGCUGGGGUCCAUGGCUUUGCAGUGAAGCUUAAUGUGGUAAUACCAUUCAGAUCAAGAUUUUGUUUUCUAGUUUUCUUUCGUACUUCGUUUUACUGGGGUUAUGUGUUCACAUCCACUGUUGACAAUUUGGAGAAAUUUAUGAGGUUAUGCAUUUUAGACUACAUUUGAACAUAUGAAUUUCAAUAUUUUCAUCUGGGAAGUUAUUUUCCUUAGUCUCCAGUCUCCACUGUAGUUUCCAAUAAGAUGUUUUAUAUUUUGUGGUUUAUGGAUUAUUGCACUUGGAAAUAUUUUUUGCUUCUUGGAACCUAUCCACAUUGUAGUAGUUUUGGGUAGAUGAUUAUAUUAUGUGUUUGAUAUACUUCCUGUUUUUUGUUUCUAAAGAUAUAAGACAUAAGGUAAAUCCAUACUUUUCAUAUAAAAAUUAUGAUAUUUCAUGUUAAAGUUACUACAAUUUUUUAUUUAUUUUUAAAGAUAGAAGCUUACAUGUUAUCCUUGUAAUGUUGUUACUAUUUUUCAGUUUUAAUCUCUAGUAGUGUUUUUCUUGCUAUUUUGUAGUCUUACCAUUUGAUUUUUUUUUGCUCAAAAUCUCUCCAAAUUUCUUCUUGGUUGACUGAAAAACAUGAUGAGCCUAUGUUUUGCAACGAAUUUCCAUCUAUGGUCACUAUUUUCCUCACCUCCCUUGAAUCCAUUUCAGAAGUUUGUGCAUGUCCAUGGAAGAUUCCACAAAGACCCUUGAAAUUAAAUGUGAAUUUUUUUUAAUUUUUAAAAAAUAAAAGGUACAAAAAAAAUUUCCUUAUUGACUAAACAAGAAGAAAAUUAGCAUAACACACUUAAAAAUCUUCUUUGUCAUCCAUAUGUAGAGAUGUAAGAGAAAUUCAAGUGUUAUAAUAUCAUUAUUGGAAGUGAUUACAUCAGUUAAGAAAAAAAAAAAAAGAUGGAAGGAGCAGCAUUGGGUCAAAGGCUUACAAUAAGAAGAAAGCAUGAGCCUAUCUGUUAAGCAUUGGUAAGAUUUGUGUUGGGCCACUUGAAAGCUAAUGUUUGAGAUAAAAAAAACCUAUAGGUAUAGAGCUGAUUGGAAGGGAUUCACUUAUUAAUGUCAUUCAAAAUAUGAUUCUCUUUCUUGUGUUUAUCUAUUCUAAGCAGAAGAUUUUCUAGCAUUAAACUUUGCUCUGUGACAAAAGAAUGCCAUUCAACCAUACUAAUUAAACUAUCUUGAAAUUAGGAAUUUGUUAUUUAUAUAAAAACUGAAACAAUUGUUCUUUGAAUUAGGUGGCAAGAAAAAAAAAACACAAUUGUAAUGCUUUCUUAAAGAGGAAAACAUAAGCUAGGUGUUCCAGAAUGUGACAAAAAUCACAAGGUAAAAUUCCCAUUUCAAUGUUGAUUCCCAACACCUAAAAAAAUGCAUAAAACAGGAAACAUAAUGGAAUUCUUUCUAAUUUUCUUUUACUUGUUCUUUAUCUAGUCUCUUAUGGAUGGAUUUCUUUAGAUAUAUGAGAUUUGGGAUUAAGAGAUAGGUUGGAGCCCUAUUUAAGUUUCAGUUUUUUGAGAAACUAUCACAAUUUGGAGAUCUACAACCAUUUUGUCCUUACAUUUUUCUUGUUAAACAUUGCAAUAAUCUAUUUUGAAUUUUGCCAAAAGACCUAUAAUUGAUGUGAAUGUUUAUUAGAAUAUGUGUGGUGUUGUUGAGAUUGCUUCUAUUCUCUUUAUAUAUAUAAAAAAAUAAUUGGUAUUUUUUCUAUGGUGGUGAAGAAGCAUAAGAAUAAGGGGCUUGAAUCACUUGUAUCCUAUAAUAAAUAGUUUGGACUAAAUGAAGAAAAAUUCUGGUAUUUGACCCAUAGCCUCAUGCUGGUAUUUGACCUUUAGGAAAACACUUCAAUGAAUCCCAUUUAUCAAGCCCAAGAUGCAGAUAAAAAUUCUGGUAUUUGACCCAUAGCCUCAUGAUUCCAAUGCAUGGACCAUGCUCUAAUUAAACAUUUAUUGCCUUUGCCUCCUGUAGGUCUCAAGGUGUAUUAGGUUUUCUACUCCUUCAGUGGAGCUUAUGAAGUUCUAAGACUGCUGCAGAAGGCUUGAUCUCGAAUUCAGGUGAUGCACUCCCACUUCUCCAAUGUUAAUGAAGAUUAUAUCUAAAGUAUAAUAUAUGUGAGUGACCUUAUUAGUAUAUAUAGAUGGAAUCUUGUGAUGUGUUACCUUAUUGGUAGUGCUGAUUUUUCUAAUAGUAAACAAUGGUUGAUAUAGUUAUUUAAGAAUUUUGAUUUUCAAUCCUACUUGAUUUCUAGAAGGAAAUAGAAAUGUUAGAGCAAAGCUAGCAAGUUCAUCAUAAUCUUUAGAUCAUUCUUGCGAACACCAAUGCAAAGAGGCUUUUUGGAUUUUAUUUUAUAGAUCAUAUCCACCAACUUGUCUGUUUCCAAAGUACUAUAAUGAAAUGAAUUCUAAUAAGCCAUAGCAAAGGGUUAAAACUUAAUUGGGAAAUCAUAUUAUUUAAUUUAGAUAUGCUCAUUGAAAUUUUGGCUUAUUGUCAUAUGAUGAACUUCUCUACUGGCCUUAAUGAGCAUCCAAGUUCAAGUCAAUCUUCAAACCUUCUAGGUGCAACUUUUGUAACUUUUUGUGAUUAGUUUUUUCAUAUAUAAAUUAAAAAUGAAAUUCCCUAUCAUUCUUCCUUCUCCUAUUUUAUCCGAUGAGCUACACAAGCACUACCUAUUCUUUUUCUCUGAAUAAACACUACAUAUCCUAAAUUUCAUUAGGAAUUCUCUUGAAUCUUCCUGUUUUAGAAUUUUUGAUCCAAUGACCUAUACUUUCUACCCUACUCAAAAGGUCUUAGGCUCUCUUGCUACUAUUGUGGGUGAUUCUGAAAAGGAAGGGAAAUCGAAUCCAACUUAACUAUUUCUAUCUAAAAUGCAUCUCAUCCAAAACCAAUAACAGGAAAUCUCACCUAGUUGUUUACUUUGUUGCAUUUUAUGUUAGAUGCCAUUAAUGUAAUUUUUCUUGCUUAUAAAAAAAAAAAAAUUGCAAGCCACCCACCUCUCUCAAAUUCUUUAUUUCUAUAAUUGAUAUACUCCUUCACAACUAGGGCAUCAUCAAGAAUUUUUUCUACCUUCUCAAACAUUAUUCUGAGAUUCUAAGAUCAUCUCAUCAAUGACCCUUUUUAGCCUUUGAACAAUUUUGCCAUGAGUUUAUAAUGACCCCUUACCAAACUAUAUAUAUAUAUAUCAACAAAUUUUUAUGCUUAGAUUUAGUUCACAGAAAAUUUGAACCAAGUAUAAGGAGAAAAAAAACAUGAAAAUGAAAAUAAACAAAAAAAGAAAAAUAUAAUAAAAAUUUAAAUUAAAUUCUUAUUUUUCUACCACAAUCCUCCAAUUUUCUUCCUCUAAAAUUGUAUAAAUUCUCAAAAAAAAAAAAUUCUAUUUCAUUAAUUUUUCUUUAUAUCUUUGAAACCAACUAAACAGAAAAUCAAAUUGCCUUUGUGUUAUUUAUUCUCUUUUUCUUACUAUUUCUCAAGUUUCAUAUAAAAUCUCACAAAAACUAUUUAUUUAUUUAUUUAAAAUUAAGUUUUUUCCUAAAUAACCAAGUAAUUAUCCAACUAGGAGUCAUACUUUUCAUCACUUUCCCAACCAAGUAAGUGCCCAACUAGCUCAUUUGCAUUAACCUAAUAACUAUAAAUCGCAUUUACUUAAUUGGCCAAUCUUCUUUAAAGCUUUAAAUGUGUCUGGAUCCUUACAUUGUACUAAUCCAAAUCCUUUCUUAAAGCUUUCAUUCUUCAAACUUGUACUCUUAUGAGGUUCUUUAAGAGUUAUUGAGAAUAAUUUGCUCCUUGUUUCAACUUCUCUAAUCUCUAACACCAUUUUUUCUCAUUCCAAAUAUUAAGGUUGGUAAAAUCUAACUCCAAAUAAAAAGUAAGUUCUAUUGCCUUAGUUAUAAUAAUUUCAUAGUUAUAAUAUUAAGUAUGAUUAAACCCAACUUAAUGUUCAUAGCUAAUUGCUUUUCUUUCAAAUUUUAAAGUCAAAACUUGAGAUGUUUUUUUCUGAACAUCAUCAUGCUUGUGAAGAAGUUGAUUCAUUGUUGCUUUCAUAGUAUAAUAAAGGGUCACCAUUCUCAACCCAACUACCUUCUCCUUUUUCCUUGCUAAUUUUGCUUAGGUAAAUUUUCAUCUUGUUGAAUAUUUAUUUUGGGUUAGUUAAUGUUUAUGUCAUGUUUCAUUUAUCCUCUUAUUGUUUUGGGGUAUUAUGAUUUGUCACUUUUAAAUUUUGAUGUUAUAUCAUAUUUGGAAAUAUAUUACUCGUAAAGAAUUUUUUUUUUUUUUUACUAAUGAAGAAUUCAAAUUAAAUUUCCCUUAACUUUAACAAAUUGAUGUUUCUCUCUAUUUCUUAAUUUGGGGUUGCAACAAUUAUUUGGCUUGUUUUAAUGAUGUAGGAGAUGAAUGGGCCUUAAAGAUUCAAAAUACUAACUUAAAUUGUACCAACAGUAAUUUUGGCUUAGGAAUUUGACAGUGUUGGUGAUUGAUUUUCCAUGUUUUCUUUCUAUCUUGAAUUGUAAUUUUAGUUGAAUGUUAAUAGAAAUAUUAGACACCGUCACAACAUCUUAUCUCUCUUCUUCAUGUUUUCAUUUAUUAAUCAUAAUUUUUCUUUUUUAAUAUAUUUAUCUAUCUAUUUAUAGAUCACUCUCCUUUUCCUAGCUUGGAAGAGAGAGAGAGAAAGAAAUAGUGAAAGAUAGAAAGGGAUAGAGUGUUCUACUCUACCAUCUAAGUAUGUGAUGAAAAAUGAGUACAAUUGAACUCUUGUUACUAUUUUUAUUAUUUUUGAAAUUUCUACGGCUAUUCUCCUCGGAUUGAUUUAAUUCUAUUGCUCCUAAUUUACCAUCCCUCAAGGCUGAAUCACAGCCUAAAUCACAAUUUUUUUAUUUAUUUAAUUUCUCCUUAGAUCUAGAAUAAAUUUAUUAAAAUUGCAUGACUUCUCUAUCAUUUAUUUCAUAAAAACAUUCAACUACUUCUUGAACUUUUAGGUUGAAUAUAUAUUUCGUUAAUAUUUAGUAUUGUGAUUGGGUUUCUUAAUUAUUUUCAUUAUGUCAGUUGUAUUUUCCUUAUUGACUAUUAUAUUACAUAGUGUAGUUAGCUUAUUAAAAUUUAAAUGAGUCUAAAUCUCUUAAGCUGUUAUAACAUCAUAAUAGUAGUUGCUCCUCCAUUGCAUAUUAGUAGCCUCUAUAUAGAAGAGGUGCAUGUUAAGGUUUGACUUCUUAGUAUCCCUUGUUCUUGUUUUAUUUUUUGUAUUAAAUGUUAAUCAAAUUAUUGCCAAAAGUUACUCUAGAUGGCUUAUUAUUGACCACAACUAAUACCGGUAGGGAAAUACAAAAGUUUGACUAUUCUAUAGAUGGGUUCAUAAAUUUGUGUUCUCCUCAACAUGUUUGUAUUUUUCUAUCUUUUCUAAAAUAUUUGUUUAUAAUAUUAAUAAACAAGAGAUCCAACUUUCAAUAUUUUUCAAUAAUAUAUCUUCAUAUUGUUCAGUGCAAUUAGUUGCACUAAUUAGACAAAGUGGUCUUCUAUCAAGGAUAUAGAAAAAGAAUAAAAGAAAAAAAAAACAAGGCUAUCAUUCUAUAUGAGAACAAGAGUAGGAGGUAAUGAUUGUGACAACUAGGAGUAAGGGGUUAACUACUAAUAAGAUAGAAUUCUAUUUGUACUAUAACUUUAUAAUUUAAUUAUUUACUUUUAUAAUUAGAUAAAAUUUUGAUCAUAACAUAGUGAUAACAUGAUGGUUUUCAUCGUGUUUGGACCUUGAUAUUUUUUUUUUAUUGUGCAUUAUAAGACUUAUUCUUGUAUUCAAGAAUGCUUUAAGAGGUCACCAUUAAAUGUCCAUACAGAGCAACCCUAACUCAUAUAUACACUUUAUAAUAAGCAUUUAAUGCAUAUUUAUUCACUUAGAGUCUAUGAGUUUAUUAAAGAUUUAAUUUAACUGUUAAUUUAUACUAAAAAUACAAUAUUUUAUCUCAUAAAAACAAAAUUUAUUUCUUCUAUGUUGUUGAAUAAAAAAUUGAAGUACAUUUUUUUCCUUAUUUUGGGGAAAGCAUAAUAUGUUAGUUGAAAUUGUAGUUAAGGUAUUUUGUUGAUAGAGUACGAAUUUAUUUAUUUAGCUUCAACUCAUUGGUCUCCUUAAUGAAAUAUUUGUAUGUCUAGUUUUACUUUGAUGAAUUCUUUAUGAGGUCUUUUUCAAAGUAAUGCUCUAAAGGUGCAACAUAGAGAUGACAAUAGAGAGCUUUUUAUCUACAUUAGAAUAAUUUGUUAUAUUUUAUUUCGAAAACACUUCAUAAUAUAAUUUUUUUUCUUAUAAUGAAUUGAAAGGAGCACAAUCCAUGUAUCUAAGAGGCUAAUUCAUGUAAGCAAACUUGAUAACCUAAAUUAAUUUUGUGAAAGUUAUACUUUCAUUUAUGCUUAUUAUUUAUUGUAUGUAUAUAUAAUUUAGAUGUUUUCUACUCUUCCUUAUAUUUAUUUACAGGUUACAAAGGAAGUUUGCUAAAAGAAGAGAAGCCAUUAUGCUAAAGAAGGCGAAGUCAAAAACCAUGAAGAUUACAUCAGUGAACUCAUUAGGAGGUUGAACUAAGCUUUUAAAGAUUAUGGUUUAUUUUAGUAGUCUUGAUACCAAUGUUUGUUCUUAUGUUAGAAUUAGAAAUUCUUAUUGAAAUAUUUUGGUAUAAUUAAUAAGUUUAUGUGUAAUUAAUAUAUAUAGGUGGUUACAUUAACUGUUUAAACUAGGUUCAUGUAUAUCAAUAUUUGGAUAUAUUUUAAUUAAUAAAAUUUGAUUUUAUUUUAUAGGUUGUAAUUGUUUUUUAAAUUUAAUUAUAUAAGAAAUCAACUAUUUUAAUAAUGGAAUCAAAAUAUUAUUUUUUAAUAGAAAUUGUUCAAAGAUGAUGCUUUUAUAAGCGUCAUUGUUAACGUGAAACAAAGAAGACAUUUUUAAAAGUGUCAUUAAUAAAAUUAAAUCAAAGAUGGCGUUCACAUAAGUGUCAAGAAAGGUAAUUUUAUACAAAUUAUUUCAACAAAAAAUGUUCAAAGAUGACACAGGAGCAUAGAUGACGCUUCAGGGAAGCGUCAUCUUUUACCUUUCUUGACACUCAAAAAAUGUCAUUAUUUCACUUUUUUCUUGUAGUGAUUACAAAUAUAAUUAUGUAGGCCAAGUGAGAGAUUGUUAGCUUUUUUCCUAUAAUGUGUGGCCAUAUAUAAUUAUAUUUGUAUAAAUAUUAUUUAAGGCUAUCAAUUGAUAGGUAGGUGAAUAAAUUGAUUGGGCAUCCAAGAGUCUUAUGUAUGGAAGACUCAAAUUACAAAUGGGGAGUUAGAAAAUUUACUUUAUAUGAAUGUGGUGUCACAACUUUUGUAACCCCAUCAUUAUGAAAUUCAUGUUGUACAUUAUGUUUGAGUAAUGGAGGAAAAUGGAAAUGUAUAACUUAUGCAAUUAUAUAGAUGCAUUCAAGUUCAUAACCCACCAUUACCCAUUAAUUUGUACAUAAUGGGUGUAAAUAAUGAGUAUAACUCCCAUAUAGUCUUUGAUGGGAAGACUAAGAGAUGUACAACUCUUUAUAAAUUGAGGUCCCAAGCCACACUUUCAUUCUUAUGUCAUUUUUGUUGUUUAUUUUUAACAACAUACACCACACAAGUGACCCAUCCACUAUAUGAGAGUAGUGAGUUGAAGACCUUGACAAUACAAUUCACAAGGUGACUCAAUCUCACUUCAGGAUCAAGGUAAGAAUAUGAUCAUUAUUUUAGUAUUUACAUUUAUUUUGUUUUAUGCAUCUAAAAUUGUUUUUUAAAAUAAUUAUUUUCGCAUAAAGUUUGGUUAACAAGAAGAGAAAAAUAAUUGUGUCUUACACAUCAUAUUUUGCAGGGCAAUCUAUCUAGAGUAGCAGUAGCAGUGAAAAGAUGAAUUUAGCACAGGGUGUUCAAGAGUUCAAGAAUGAAGUUGUUUUGAUUGCGAAACUUCAGCACAAGAAUCUUGUCAGGCUUUUGGGUUGCUGCAUUCAAGGAGAAGAAAGAAUAUUACUCUAUGAAUAUAUGCCUAACAAAAGCUUGGAUUAUUUUAUUUUUGGUUUGACCUUCUUAUCCCUAUCUGUUAGGAUUAGUUUCACUUUUUGAUCACCCAUAUUAUGCUCAGUCGUGUUCAAUUCAAUUCACACAUCUAAGUAAUUAAUUAGGCCUAAUAAAAAAAUUUAUAAAGGCGGAUGUAUUGUGCAGAUCAAAACAGAAGAGCAUCAUUGGCAUGGGAUAAGUGCUGCAAGAUUGUUAUGGGGGUAGCACAAGGGCUUCUCUACCUCCAUCAAGACUCUAGAUUUCAAAUUAUUCACAGGGAUCUCAAGACAAGCAAUAUUUUACUGGAUGACAAUCUCAAUCCUAAAAUUUCAGACUUUGGCUUGGCAAGAAUUUUUGGAGAGAAUGAAAUGGAAAUGAGAACAAAGAGAAUUUUUGGGACUUAGUGAGUUAUAAACCUUUAUAAUCUUAUAAAAUGGAAUUUAUCCCUUCAAAUAACUUAUACUUGAAAAUGUUAGUGCAGUGGCUAUAUGUCCCCGGAGUAUGUGAUUGAUAGGCAUUUUUCUAUCAAAUUGGAUGUCUUUUAGCUUUGGUGUUCUUUUACUAGAGAUUGUGAGUGGUAAAAAGAACAGGGGGUUCUCUCAUCCAGAUCACCAUCAUAACCUUCUGGGACAUGUAAGUAGAAAGAAUGCAAUGGUGUUUACUCUCUCUCUCUCUCUCAAUUUGUCUCUACUCUCUAGCUUUUUCUGUCUUUUUUGAAAGAAAAUAAAUAUGAUUUUUGCUCUAGGCAUGGCUGCUGUGGGAACAAAACAAGGCCUUGGAAUUAAUGGAUGCAUGUUUGGAAGAUUCAUGUGUUGCAUCGCAAGUAUUACGAUGCAUACAAGUAGGUUUACUAUGUGUUCAAAACCGUUCAGUAGACAGACCAGCAAUGUCAUCAGUGAUUUUCAUGUUGGGCAAUGAGGGAGCAACAUUGCCUCAAGCUAAACAUCUUGGUUUCUUCACGGAAAGAAGUUCAGUGGAUACAGAUACAAUGUCAGGAAAGAUAGAGUUACAUUCAGAAAAUGAAGUAACCAUCUCAAAGCUAAAAGGUAGAUGAAGAAUUCAAACAUCCGCUAAGUGAAAUAGUUAUGCAGGUGCCAGCUUCUCUUGAUAAAACGGCUUGCAAAGGCUCCUCCGUUGCAGCUCAGGGCACUGUAAUAUGCAACUUAAGACUCACUAGUAGAAUUUCUAAAUUCAGAUUCCCUCUGGAUCAGGUUGGUAGUAAGCAGAAGAACAUGUAUUCUACAGUCACUUUAUUAGCUACUGUCUUUUUUUUUUUUCUCCUCAGGAUGCAUGGGGCUUGUAUGGUUGGUGAAGUGUAUGCCAAACUAUAAUUUGGUUCCAACCAUUUGCUUUCAAUUAUCUUGAUAAUUUUUGAAGUUCUAAAAUCAAUUAGGUAGUACACAGUGGGAGCGCCAUAAUGACACCCCUCUAACUUUAUGAGAGGGAGAACUGGGGAAAUAUUUGGUCCUUAUAUAACAAUUUAAGCAUGUUUCACCAAAGCCCAAGCCAAUCUGAAGGCUAGGUUGCUACUUGUGUUGCAAGGUAUUUGAGGCUAGGUUUGGGCCAAGCUUCCACUUGUUGUAGAAGCUCCAUAGGGGCUACAGCCGAACACCCAUUAAAAGCCCAAACCAAUUGAGCCUAGAGGAUGAGUACCAAAGCCCAAUGCAAUCUCAAGGCAAGGUGUUUGUACCUUUGAUCCACUGAGCUUUAAAAGCAAAGGUGAGGCCAUUGAGCUAUAUGUCAUGCUACAGUAAUAGCUUUGUAAAAUUAAAUACAUAGCAAGAUUAAUGGUUUUUCUUCAAAAAUUUUUUAUGUAAAUAUUAACUAAUCAUACUAGACAGUGGCAAAGAGCUUUCAAUUUUUUUGAAAGAUAUUAUCAUGGUUUGAAAUAUCGAUAAAUAUAGAUAUAUCAGUACUUAAAUUUUAAGGAUAUAUUGGAAAUAUUAGUGGAUAUUUUGACAAAAAUAUCGAUAAGAUGAAAAUUAUUCAAAAUUCAUAAAAAUAUUUAGAAAAACUUAAAAAAAAUGAUAAAAUAAAUAAAAAUACACAUAUUAAAGUUAUUUUUUAUAAUUGACAUAGAUAUGAUCAAAUAGAAAAAUAUCAAUUAAGAUAAAUCGAUAUUAAUAAUUUAUUGUUUAUCUAAUCAAAUUAAUUUUAAUUUGUAAAAUUUUAGAACUUCAUUAUUAUUAUUUUUUAUUUUAGUAUUUUUUGAAUAAAUUUAUAUUUUUAAUAUUUUAAAAUAAAAGCAUUCAAAUUAAAAUAAUAAAUAUAAAAAAUUUAAAAGUGAAGUGAUAAUAAUUUUUUAAAAUAGGAUUAAUGAAAUAAAUGAUUAUACAUUUAAUAUUAAAACUAUAAUUUAUUUAUUUCAAAUACAUUCGAUAAUAUAAAAUAAAUGACACAAUGCAUAUAUGAUUUUUUAAUAUUUAUAUUUUUUAUAUUUAAUUAUCAUAUAAAUGAUAUUAAAAAAUUGUUAAAAAAAUUAUAAUAAUGGUUUCAAUACAUUUAUUAAUUAAAUAAAUAAAUUUUAAAGUAAAAUAAAUAAAAUUAAUUAAUUAAUUUUUUAAUAAUGAAGUUUAACUAAUUUACUACCAACAUAUAUUAAUUGGUGUGAAAUUAGCUUAGUGGUAAUUUUGAAAGGGGGCAACAGCAGUGACAGGCAGAAACAUGAUUGGGCAGCAGCAGCCAAUAUAAUUAAAGGGUUGACCGAAGUUGACCACGGAAAAUAUCGGAAAAUUUCCCAAAAAAAUGAGCAAAAUUUGAGAGGGGUACAAGCAAGUACCUAAAUUCUUUUCAUGUUAGUCCUAAGCAUUUAUCGACAUUUUUGCCGAUUUUUUAAGAAAUUUCCCGAUAUUUUUUAUGGUCAACUCGAUCAACCCUUCAAUUACAUUGGCUGCUGAUGUGCAAUCACGUUGUUGCUUUAUGGAGAUGAAUGUAUAUCAAAUUAAUAGAGACAAACUAGACAUCAAAAUCGGUAUGCCAAGCAACCAUUGAGAUGCUAACUACUUCUAGGCCCUAUGAGGCAAACUCAAUUCAGAUAUUUUGCUCUUGCAACAUUUUUUUCCAAUUAAUUGAGGGAGCAUUAAAGAAGACACUACAAUUUUACAUCUUAGUAACUUGUUUUUCAUUGGAAUUAGAAAAUUCCAAGUUACCCUAUUCAGACAGUUCUUCCAAUUGAAAUGAUUGAGCCCUUAAACCUUGCAUAACACUCUACUCCGUUAGACUUUAACUGAAAGCCAAGUGUAUUCGAAGACUGCGACCUGAUCCACUUGAUGCUGUGUCAUGGUUCUAUUAACUAGCUGGUCAUGCUUGCGAGGAGCUAUCUCACAAAUACCAAGAAAAAUCUACAUUAGCAACUAUUUAAUUUUAAUUUUUUUUCCUAUGUCUAUAAGCAGAUAGCAUAGAGUCAACUAUUUAAUUUGGAAAAAUGGAAUCUGAAGCUACCCAGAAGCUAACCAGAAAAGACAUGUCUUUAUUGUUCUUUUAAAUAUCAAUUUUGCUUUGGGCAUGACCUAGGUUGGGGUACAAGGCUUAGAAAAGUCAUGGAAAGAGAUGUAUAUAGAAGGGAAUCUUAAUAUAUAAAAGUGGUAGAUCAUGUUCAUUCAUUGGCAUGAAAAGGACCAGGGUCGACUUCUUAGUGGUUCCUACCUACUAAGCGUGGAAAUUAGUGACGGCAAUUGUGGUUUCUUCUCCUGCCUAGGGAAGGUAAGACCAUUGCACUUGACUAUGAUCAUCUACCUCAUGUUCGUUUGAUGAUAAUGAUAACAAAGGUGGACAACUGUUUUAUCAGAUUGGAAGUAUAGAAUUCCAAGAAUAUUGAACAAAAAUCAAGCGAAAAGGAAAGAGAAGAUCAACAGAUGGAUUAUUACUCAGAAAUGAAACUAAAGGUGAAUCCUCCCAGACAACCAUACAGAAAUAGGUGAUGGGUGCUGCAGUCCCUGUUUCAAGGCAGCUGUAUCUCAUAUAGACAAUCAAUCUGUACAAAAAUUAAUGUUUUAUUGUUUAAGAGACUUUAAUUUUGUUCAAAUCUCUCACCAGUCUUAUGGUGUAUAAUCCUGUGAAAUUAUCACUGAAAAAAGUACUACCCACCAGAGUAUAAUAGUCAUUCGAUCUUAGACUAAGUAACAGAUGAUUCACAUAGGCUCAUUCCUUAGGACUAACAUGGAAAGAAUUUUCAGGUGAAUGGAGAUGAAUGUUUAUCAAAUUAACAGUGACAAACCAAACAUCAAGAUUGGCAUGCCAAGCAACCAUCGAGAUGCUAGCUACUUCCAGGCCCUAUGACACAAACUUAUUUCAGAUGGUAUGAUCUUCUGUAGCUUGUUUUUCAUUGGAAUUGGAAAAUUCCAAGUCACCCUGUUGAGGCAAUUCUUUCAAUUCAAAUGCGUUAACCCUUAAACCUACCCUGUUGGACUUAGACUGAAAGCCUGACCAAGUCAAAAACUGAAACCUUAUCCUCUUGAUGUUGCGUCUUGGACAAAUUCCAGGAAAAACCUACAUUAGAGAAAUUUUAGUAUUUUUUUAAACUUGUGUAUAGAAGUCUUCCUUUCAUCUGUGAGAAACGUCAAUGGAGACCCAUCUUUUCUUUGCCUUCUUUUGUGCCUGGAUUUGUCUAUCAAUUCCCUUGGAGUCCUGUAUUGCAGUUGAUUCCAUAAGGAUGGACCAAUCCAUAAGCGAUGGUGAGACUUUAGUUUCCUCAGGUCAAAGCUUCGAACUAGGCUUCUUCUCUCCCGGAAGCUCCAAAAACAGGUACUUAGGAAUAUGGUACAAGAAUACAACCCAGACAGUUGUAUGGGUUGCCAAUAGAAACAACCCGAUUGUAGAUUCUUAUGGAGUUUUAACCAUCUUCAACAAUGGCGCACUUGUUCUUCUUAAUCAAACAAAGAGUGUAAUCUAGUCUCUCAAUUUGUCAAAGGUACCAGAAAAUCCAAUUGCAUAGCUCACGAUCCAGAGUCAUUCUUCUUAUUUAUGACCCAGAGUCAUUCUUAGCAUUUAGAGCCCUGAGCGCAUGACCUAGAGUCGUUCUUCUUAUUUAUGACCCUGAGUAAUUCUUAGCAUUUAGAGCCCUAAACUCACGAUCUAGAGUCGUUCUUCUUAUUUAUGACCUAAAGUCAUUCUUAGCAUUUAGAGCCCUAAGCUUACGAUCCAAAGCCAUUUUCACCCUUUAGGCGUUCAGAGUCACCACUUUCUUUCAAGGGUGUUUAGAAUCGUAGGCCUUCAGAUCCAUUCCUCACUUAGACAUUCAGAGCCAUCUCUUUUAGUUUUAGGCAUUUAGAGCCAUUUCUCUUCCAGUUUUAGGCAUUCAGAGCCAUAUUUUCUAGUUUACGUGUUCAGAGCCACCUUCCUCAAUCAGGCGUUCAGUGCCACCUUGCUUAAUUAGGCGUUCAAUGCCACAUUGCUUAGUUUUUUUAGUGUUCAGAGCCAUCACUUUCUCUCAUAGGCUUUCAGAUCCACCUUGCUUAGUUUAAGCAUUCAAAGCCAUUUUUCUUACUUAAGCGUUCAGAGUCAUCUCUUCCAAUUUUAGGCAUUCAGAGCCAUAAUUUAGUUGUUCAAAAUCGUUCGUCUCAGUCUAGGCAUCUAGAGCCACAUUCUGGGCGUUCAGAGUUGUGAUGUUCCAGAGUUUGUCCUCCUCUAUUGUGUGUGAUAUAGCCCUUUGAGCUUAUAGCUUAUGUUUUGAUUGUAUCAUUGGUGCCCUUCACUUUGCGCUCUUGUAUGGUGCAUGUAUAUUUUUCCUUCUAUAUAUGUUCAUUCCUAUGUUCCUAGGUGGUUCGAAUGCCACUCAACUUUGACAUUAAUUUUCGAGUCACUUUUGGAGACAUCUUAGAGGGAGUCUGGAUCCAUAGUGCAGCUUUAGUUUUUAGGAUUUUAGAGCCCUUUUUGUUCAUUUGUGGGUUUGAGCCAGUUUGUGGUCUACUUGUGUACCUUUAGGGGGUUUUUUUUUCUUUGGUAGUGUGGACCCGCAUCUUUCACGUGCGCCCCCACUCGAUCGGCGAGACUCGCUUUUUAUUCGUGAAAAAUAACUUUUGGAAAAGUCGGAGUCGCCACUUAUUUUAUUUUUAUUUUAAAGGGAAAAUAAAACAAGAAAGAAAAACCCUAAAAUGUGACUCCAUAAUUUUUGGAAAAAGCAUGUCUUUGAAAAACCCGAGUCUAAGUCCGGGGAUCAGAUUACCUAUUGGGAAGGUACCUUUAAAAGGUAGCACCCCUCUAAGCCCUAUAAAGGUCUCUACUAACUAAGUUAAGGGGAAUGUGGCAAUUAACCGGUUAAUUAUGGAUACCUAAGUAGGCUAGAUGGUUCCAAAAAAUAGCAUGCCAAACAAGAUCAAAUCAUAAUAAAGGAAGGUUAGGAUGCGUACCUGGACCGCUUCUCAAGUGCUAUCAUAAAACAUCAAUGGUUAAUUUAAACAAUAUAUCAUCCAGCAUGUAUUUUAUUAGAAAUAAUCAAACAAUGAAACAUGUAUAUCAGAACACUCAAGCAUUAUUAGACAUAAGCAUUAUUUCACAAUGACAAGCAUAUUCACAGAAUUCAGAAAGUAGGUGAUAGAGGACAUACCUAGAUAGCAUAGAUAAUUUGUAACGUGCUUCCUCAAGUUGUAAGGGGUUAGAUAAAUAAUAAAAUAUAGAAAUCCUAGCAUGCUCGUUGUCUAAUUAGCAUAGUAGAAGUGAUCAAAGUAUACAAAAUCAUCAAUUAUCACAUACAUCUUGUAUAUAAUUCCUAAAAAAAAUAGAUAUGAUUUCAAUAAAUGGCAAGGGUGACAGUAAAGAUGAGUUUUAAAAAGAUGAUUUUAUGUAGGGGUUUCACCAAUUCCCCAAUUGAUAUACACAAAUAUAGCUUGGAAUUAAAUGUUAUCACUUUCAUAAAAAUAAAAAAUAAAAAAUAAAAAAUAAAAAAUAAAAAUUCAUGAGUAUUAAAAAAACAUUUUUUUGAUAGUUUUAAUGAAUUGUAUUUAUAAAAUAAAGUUUUGAUUUACUUAAAUAAGAAGGCUUUAAUUUCAUGCAAAGAAAAUAUUUUUUAAAAAAGUUUGUUCACAAGAAAAUAAAUGUUAUCACUUUUAUAAAGGAAAUGUUUCAUAAGUAUUAAUAAUAACAAUGAUAAUAAUAAUAAUCGAUUCCAUAGUUUUAAUGAAUUUUAUUUAUAAAAAGAAGCUUUAAUUUAUUAAAUAAAAAUACUUUAAUUCCAUGCAAAGAAAAUGUUUUUAAAAAGUUCAUUCACAAGAAAAUAAAUGUAAUCAUCACUUUUAUAAAGGAAAUAUUUCAUAAGUAUUAAUAAUAAUAAUAAUAAUAAUAAUGAUAAUUGAUUCCAUAGUUUUAAAAAAAGUUUUAAUUUAUUUAAAUAAAAAGACUUUAAUUCCAUGCAAGAAAAUAAAUGUAAUUAUCACUUUUAUCAAGGAAAUAUUUCAUGAGUAUAAUAAUAAUAGUAGUAAUAAUUGAGUCCAUAGUUUUAAUUAAUCUUAUAAAAGGAAGUUUCAAUUUACUUAAAUAAAAAAAGCUUUAAUUCCAUGCAAAGAAAAUGUUUUUUUAAAAGAAAGUUUAUUCACAAGAAAAUAAAUGUUAUCACUUUUAUAAAGGAAAUAUUUUAUGAGUAUUAAUAAUAACAAUAAUAAUAAUAAUAAUUGAUUCCAUAGUUUUAAUGAAUUUUAUAGAAGGAAGCUUCAAUUUAUUUAAAAAAAGACUUUAAUUCCAUGUGAAGAAAAUGCUUUCAAAAAAAUUCAUUUACAAAAAAAAGAGAAAGAAAAUUAAUUAAUUAAUAAUGGUAAUAAUAAUAAAACCUUAUAAAAAAUAUAUUUGAUGAUUUAAAAAUAUUUUUUUUUUAUGUAAGAAUAUCUUUUAUAAUUUAAAUUUUCCUUUAAUAAUUUUUUUUAACUUUAUUUUAUUUACAAGAGGAUGAUUUCCACAACUCUUUAUUUAGAAAGCACAAAAUUUUUUUUUAUUAUUUUUUUAAAACAUAAUAAAUUUUUUUUAAAUAAGAUAAACAAUUAUUUUAUAUUUUAAUCCAAGAGAACAAAAAAAAUGUUUAAAAUAAUUUAAAUAUUACAACUUUUUAUUUUUUAUUUUUGAACAAAGCUAUCAUAAAAAUUAUCAAAACACUUAAAAAUUCAAACUUUUUCAUCAUCAUAAGGAAUUAUCCCAAAACUAAAAAUUAAGCACAAUAUAAAUUUUCAUUAAUAUCCAAAUUAUUGAAAACUAAAAAAAACUUGCAAAAUAUUUCAACUUUUCAUUAACAUCACAAAAUUAUCCAAAACGAAUAAAACAUCUAAUUUUUAAAUUAUCAUCCCGAAUCAUCCAAGACAAAUGCCUACAAAAAGUAACAUGAGAUUAGCAAUAAUAAUAAUUAUAACUAAAAUAAAAUAAACAAAAUAAAUUCAAAAAACCAAAAAAAACUAAAAAUCCUAACUUGAUUUAUAUUUUAUUCAAACAAUCAUUAACACAUCUCAUAUAAAUACAUUAAAUCCAACAAAACACUCACCGAAAGACAUUAAAUCCUAUUAUAACCGUCCAUGAUUUCAUUCCCUUUUUUUUAACAAAUAAAUAAAAACAUGCCAAUAGCAUCAUUUACAUCAGGACUGACCAUAUAUUCACAUUCGUUUGCAUUUUAAAUCCAACAAAACGAAGUCAAAGAACACUAACCUUGCUUGCAGCUACCCUCUUUCACGAUUGUGUCACUUUUUCUUCUCAGUCUAGUUAUGUCUGCUUCUUCGAUCUGGCUCUUGUGUUCCUUCACCACAAAGAGUCCCCAAAUCAGCCUAUGCGUCCUUUAGAAGUUCCACCCGGAAAUGUGAUCUCCAUGUCUACAAUUUUCUUCUGAAUCUCAUUAAAAAAAAUCCACCAAAAUUCUUCCAGAACUCUUUUUUUUCUUUCUUCUCCCUCAGACGUCUCCCUCUAUUUUCAAGCUCUCCUCUCCAAAAAAUCCUCCUCUCUCUCCUCAAAUGUCUUUCUCAUAUUCCCCAAAAAAAAAACCUAAAUCCCCUUCAUCACGCCUCUUCUCCCUUUUUUGCAUGUGAGUUGACUUUUCUUUCCUUCUAUGAAUUCCCCCUGCUCUCUUUCUUGCAAAAUACAGUCUGUCUAUUCAAUAUGCCACCUCAAUUCUUCCUAAAAUAUAUCAUCUCUUUUCCUUUUCUGUUUAAAAUAUGCUUUAACCCAAAACACUACUGAAUCCUCCUUCCAUCAUCACAUGAUUCUUUUUCCAAAAGACAAAUUACAUUACCUUCUUUGCUGCUCAUCAUUUCUUUUUUCAUACAUAAGCUGAAUCUUCCCCAUAACAUGGCUCCAUUCAUUUUUUCCAUAUGUCUACUCUUGGAACCAAUAUGGUAGCUACCCACUCCAAGCUUCACAUCAUAGGCACUUUCUUAUCUUUCUAUUGGUGGACUUCCUACAAAAUUUCAAAGUUAAUAAAGUAAUAGUAAUAAUAAUAAUAAUAAUGAAAACGUUUAAACAAAAUUAUUAAAUUAAACUAAAUAAGUAAAGACAAGUAUUAUGGAAAAGUGAUAAAAUAAUAGGAAAAUAAAAUAAAUGAAGAAAUAUACAAAAUAAUAAAUAAAAUAAAAUAAACAAAAAUAUAAAGGUAAAAAAAAAGUCAAGCAAUGUGAUUUUACAAAAACGAGUCUUGCAAGUCAUACAAGCCAUGCAACCACGCAAGCCAUGCCCAUGCAAAAAAUGAUCUAAAUGGGCCUAAGGUGCCUAAAUGGGCCUAGAAUGCCUAAAUUGGCCUAAGGUGCCUAAAUGGGCCUAAGGUGCCUAAAUGGGCCUAGGGUGCCUAAAUGGGCCUAAGGUGCCUAAAUGGGCCUAUGGUGCCUAAAUUGACUUAAGGUGCCUAAGUGGGCCUAAAGUGCCUAAAUCGUCCUAGGGUGCCUAAGUGGACUUAGGGUGGUGCUUAAGUAGGUCUAAGGUGCCUAGGGUGUAUCUAAGUGAACCUAAAGUGCCUAAGUGGGCUUAGGGUGACGCCAAAUGGGCUAGGUGCGUCUAAUGGGCUUAGGGUGUACUAAGUGGGCCUAGGGUGCCUAAAUGGGCCUAAAGUGAUCUAAGUGGGCCUAAAGCGUCUAAAUGGGCCUAGGGUUACCUAAAUGGGCCUAGGGUGCCUAAGUGGGCCUAAUGUCACAGGAUGCUUCAAAUGACCCUCCCCAUGGGCUUAUAUAGGCGGAGGGAAGCUUCUGGAGACUCCUGGAGCCAUCUACACUAAGCCAUUGGUGGGAAGAGUGUGGAAGGUUCUAGAAAUGCCUAGAGAUGUCCACACAUCUCUACACUAUGGUGGAAGGCAUGAGAGGAGUCCAAGGCUUUCUAGAGACUUCUAGGAAUCUCUUGUAUAUUCUUGUACAUAGGGAUGUACAUAGAAUAGGGUAGGAUGUUCUAGAAUAUUCUUGAUUUGUAAGGGAACCCUCCAAGGUUCUAGAGAGUUCCCUUGGUGCUUAUAAAUAGGUGAGGGCCUCAUUUGGCCAAGGCACCACCCAAAUCACUUCCUAAUCAAGCAAGUGAGCAUCCAAGCACUUGUAAAGGCUUCUUGAGUUAAUAGAGCUUCCAUUCUUUCAAGAGUUGCCUACCAAGCUUCUUAAGCUUUUGAGUCGCAAGUGUCUUAGCCGAGCAAGCUAAGCAUUGGGGAGCAAGGCUGACUUAGCAAGAUCAAGCGUCUUGGCUUGUCUAAGUGCCGCACGAGCUUAGUGAACGACUAAGUCCGUGACACUAAGGUGCCUAAAAGCUAUCCUAAAAAAAACAAGAAAAGCCUAAGUCUAAGUUAGGGCUGCCAAGGGUCACAAUAAGAGGUCAGAUAAUCCCUCAACCAAAGUCUCCGAGGUGACUUAAAAAAGAUAGGCUACACGAGUAUUAAUGGGCCACCAGGGAAUUGCUAUAAACGACAUGUGCGAGGAAGACAAAAUGGAGGGUCUACAGGUAGAGUUCACUUCAUUCCACUCACUAUUCACACUUUCUUUUCACUCUAGUGUUCAUAUUCCUUACACUUGUGAACUCUACCGAAGAGGGGCAUAUUUGUAAACCCCUCUUGGACUAGGGGAUUUUUUUCUCACUCAGAGGAGCUAGUUGAACAUUUCAUUUGGAGUGGGGGACGACUUCCAGGUGAGUUGCAUGCAUAAGAUGUGUGGCAAGGAUGUGACCACCUUGCCAUGGUGGUGGUUGAAGUAGUAGAGUUGGUGGUGAAGUCUUCGCUGAACCAGGAGCAGUGAGAGUGGGUAGAGGCUUGGACUGGAAGCUAAAGAAAUAAGGGGAAGAAAACUAGCUCAAGGGGGGACAGGAAAAGGAGGACAGAGAGUUGGGAACCUGGGAGAGUUUAAAAUAGAGAGUUGGGUACCUGAGAGAGAAAAAACGAGAGGGUGAGUGAGGAAGAAGAAAAAUUUUCAGCAGUGGAGUUUUCAGAGGAAUGAGCUAGGCAUAGGGGGACGGGGAUUGAGAGAGAACAAAUUUUUUUAAAAUGGGACGUUUUGAGAGAAAAACAAGGGAGCUUUUUGGCAACCCCUCCACCAGCAACUCCAUCAUUGGCUACUCCGCCACCAGCAACCCCUCCAUUGGCUCCUCUUGCCUCUCCAUAGUAGCGAUUCCAACGUAAGCUCCAAGCACGAAGGUGAAAUCUUUGGCCUUGGCUCCAUCGCCACUUACGAACAGUCCACUGGCACCACCAGUGGAGGCGUCUGGACUGAUCUCAGGCGGAAACUCACCAGGCCAGAUGCGAACGAUGUGAAUGGAGUGGAAAGGUUAUGGUUGAUGAAGAAGGUGGUCGAGAGCUUGGCAUUUGGACUAGCAUUGAGCUUGAUGAUUUGAAAGAGAAAAAACAUCGAGAGAAAGAGAGAGAAGUCUUCCAAGUGAGAGAUUUUCUCUUCUUAUAUCUACUUCUAGAUGUUAGUUUUUCUGCUAAAAAUUCAUAAUGGGUAAGAGGAAGGUUCACGUCAACAUUGUCGUCAUUGGCCAUGUCGACCAUGGCAAGUUGACCACCACUGGUAAUUUGAUUUACAAGCUUGGAGGUAUUGACAAACGUGUUAUUGAGUUGUUUGAAAAAAAAGCCGCUGAAAUGAAUAAAAGAUCAUUCACGUAUGCUUGGGUCUUAGAUAAGCUCAAGGCUAAGCGUGAACAUGGAAUUACCAUUGAUAUUGCUUUCUGGAAGUUUGGGACCACAAAGUACUACUGCACUGUUAUUGAGGCUCAUGGUCAUUGGGAUUUCAUCAAGAACAUGGUUACUAGCAGCUCACAGGUAGGCUGUCUUGUUCUCAUUAUUAAUUCCACCACUGGUUGAGCAUGCACUACUUGCUUCCAUCCUUGGUGUGAAGCACAUGAUUUGCUGUUGUAACAAGAUGGAUGCCACACAUCCUCUUAAUCCUUCAUCUCUUGGUGUCAAAAAAAAAAUAUAUAUAUAUAUAUAUAUAUAUAUAUAUAUAUAUAUAUAUAUUAAAAAAAAUCCAUUUUCAAGUAAUUUUUCGAAAUUUCCUUUUAUAAAAUUUAAUUUGUAAAAAUUCCAUUUUCAAAAUCCCACUUUUCAAAUUUAAUUUACUAAACUUAAUUUUUUCCAAACAACUUUUCAAAAUCCCAAUUUUCAAAUUUAAUUUUCAAAACUUUCAUUUUCGAAUAAUUCUUCAAAAUUCCAAUUUUGAAAUUUAAUUUUCAAAACUUCCAUUUUCAAAUAAUUUUCCAAAAUUCCAAUUUUCAAAUAUUUUUCCAAAAUUCCAAUUUUCAAAUAAUUUUUCAAAAUUGCAAUUUUCAAAACUUCCAUUUUCAUUUUUUUUUAAAUUCCAAUUUUUAAAUUUAAUUUUUAAGAUUUCAAUUUUCAAAUAAUUUUCAAAAAUCUAGUUUUCUUUCAAAUAAUUUUAAUUCCACUCCAGUUUUCAAAUAUUUUUAAUUCUAUAACUUUUCAUCCUUUAUUAGGGUUUUAGGUAAAAAAAAAAAAUCUUGUUUUUUAAUAAACUUGCUAUCUUUCCCUUCAGGUAAGCACUUUCACAAAUUUUCUUUGAUUUUCAAAUAAUCUUUUGUUUCUCUUGAUUUUAAAUAAGUAUGAAUAUGAUUUCCAUAAUUCCAAAACAAUGGAAUUUGUGGGAUUAAUUCAUGCAAAAUCAAUUGGGCUUUGGUGAGGGCCCUAUAUAUGAGUUUUCUCUACUGAUUGUCAACUGUUAUACUUAAUGAAUAUUGUUUGAUCUUUGUCUUGCUCUUUGAUAUGCAUGUGAUGAUUUUAUACUUUAGCUAACCUUGUUUCCAUGAUAACAUACUAUUACUUGUUGCUAAGGUACGAUUUCACUCCCACUUUGCUUAUUCUUACGCAUGAUUUGUUUUAUUAUCUGAUCAUUCCAUUGAUUUCCUAAUGAAUUGUCAUGUUUACUUCACCUUAUUUAGUAUAAACCCAUUUUUUAGGGCUUAGAGGGGUGUUGCGGUCUUUACCGUACCUUCCCAAUAAGUAACCUGAUCCCCGAACCCAGGUUUGGUUUUUCACAUACCGUUUUUUCCAAAUAAGGAGUUACACUUAGGGUUUUCUUUUUUUAUUUUGUUUUCCAUUUAAAAAUAAAACAAAAAUAAGUGGCGACUCCAAGUCUUUUUCAAAAAAUCAAAUUUUCACCAAAUAAAUAAAAAAACGAGUUUCACUAUCGAGUGGGAACGCAUCAAGCGAAAUGCGGGGUCCACACAUACAUACUUUAGCAAAUAAAAUUAUUUUCUUUUCUCUUUGAAGCUAGAAUAAAUUCAUAAAUAAUCAAAUCAAUUGGUUCAAUGAAUGAAAUGAUAAUUCCUUUCCCUUCAUUUAAAAUAAGCUUGUAGUUUAAAUUAAAAAAACAAAACAAAAAAAAAAAACUAUUUUAACUAGCCAAAAUUAUUAUUAUUAGAGCUAUCACUAUCACACUUAUCGCCUUUUCUUUAUUUUAUUUUAUUUUUUUAUUUUAAUUAAAAUUGACAUGUUUAAUUAAGAUAUGUGCCCUUGGUUCUUCAAUUUUCUAAAUAAACUUCAACAAAAAGAUUGAUUCAUUUGAAAAUUUUACUCAAUAGAUUUGCUAAUAAAAUGAUGGUAUCACCAUUUUCAAUUAAAUUGAUUUAAAUUAUUGCUUGGGUUAAAAUGAAUCUGACCAAUUCCAAAAUUAACUUGACAAUUAUUCCAAAAUUUUUUUUGUUGUUGUUGUUUUAUUUUUUAUUUAUUUUAUUUUUUAAAAUCAAAGGUAACAUAUUAUCUUAUUUGAUUAAGUAGUUUCGAGAUAAAUUUUCAACUUAUGAGUAUUUUUCGAGAAAAUGAUCUUUUUCAAUUAUUUGAGAAGGAUCAACUUUAAAGAAUUUUCUUUUUAUUACUUCAUAAAUAUUUUUCCCAUUCAAAUAGCUUUCAAAUCAAGAUUGUUUUGACUUCAAUUAAAACAAUUAAUCUACUUAGUACUCUUGCCCUUAAGUAUCCCAAAACUCAUUUAAUAUUUCAAAUAAAUAAUAACAUGAUUAUUUUGCAAUCCAAAUAUAAGCAAUCAAUUAAAUUAAUGGAGACAUCAUAUCCCUUCACCAAGCAUUCCCUUAAUUCUAUUGGUUCAACAACAAUGUCUAAGUUGUUGAAAUCAUAAUUCGACUUAAAGUCAAAUUAGAAUAAGUUUAGGAAUUGGAUAAAUAUUAGGAAUUGUAAUUUAUUUAGCCUUCCUAUGUUAAUUAGGACUUUUAGUCUAAUAGGAAUUGAAGUUUUAUUACAAGUAUGAUUAGUUUAUUAUAAAUAGGCUUGUUAUUAUGUUGAAAAUUAGAAUGCAAUAAAUUUAUUUUUUUAGUAAAGUAUUAUCAAUACCCAAUUGUGUGGGUUUCAACAAUUGGUAUCAAAGCCAGAAGAUCAGACAAGGUGAAAUGCCAUAUCAGAGCUAGAAUACCAAGGAAUGUGCAUAAUUACAAGAAAGUUCCAAUCUUGUUGAUGAAAUUAUAGCUACGAAUAAUAACUCAAUUCAUCUUCAACUCCUAAAAUCCACAGGUAAAAUUUUUUACUAUUGGUGUAUUCAAAUGCAUGUCUUAUUUAGAUUUCAAGAUUUAUGGGAUCUAGUGAAUAUUAGUUACAAUGAAGUGACGGAUUCAAAAGAAGUCGAGGCACUAUCAAAGGAGCAGAAAAAUUAUUUGAAAGAUUCUUGAAAGAAAGAUCAAAAAGCACUUUAUGCCAAUAUUCCAAGUAGUGGAUGAAUCCAUAUUUGAGAAGAUCUUAGAGACGGAAACAAAAAAAGAGGCAUGUGUUACUUUACAAAAGUUAUACAAAUGUGAUGAACAUGUCAAGCGAAUGAAGUUGCAAACAUUAAGAGGUGACUUUGAGUCUCUUCGCAUGAAUGACUCUGAAUUUAUCUCAGAUUAUUUUGAUCGGGUACAAACUAUUGUUAACCAGGUGCGGGUUAAUGGUGAGAAGCUUGAUGAUCAACGAAUAGUAGAGAAAAUUAUGCACUUUUUUAAGUGCAAGAUUCGACUAUGUUGUUGUUGCAAUUGAAGAAGAAAAGAAUAUUUUCACUCUCACUGUUGAAGGGUUGAUGAGUUCAUUGUGUUCACAUGAACAACGAAUGAAUUACAAAAUCAACUCUACAAAUUUAGAGCAAGCCUUGUAGAGUAUAGCAUAUACUGGAGGUCAUGGUGGCCAACUAGGUGACUGAGGCCGUGGUCGUGGCAGAGGUAGAGGAGGAUAUAACAACUUCAACAAUAAAUAUGGAGAUGGUGAUACAAAUUCUUCUAAAGGAAUGGGAAGCACUUUUAAACCUAAAGUUAAGUCACACAUACAAUGUUUUAGGUGCAAAAAGUAUGGACAUUAUAAGUCAGAAUGUCAAACAAAAUUGUAAAAUGAAAUAGAUGAGCAUGUAAACAUCGUCGAGGUAGAAUAGAAUUUGGUGUUGGCUUGCAAUGUGGCAACCAGGGAUUGAAAAAUCGGAAAAUGUCGCCGAUAUUUCGAAGAAAUAUCGGAUAUCGGACGGCGUCGAAACGAUAAUCGUCACCGAUUAUCGAUCAACGGAAAAAUCGACAAAAAAUCGGCAAAAUCGCCGAUAUAUCGGCGAAAUAUCGGCGAAAUACCGAUUUAUCGGGAAAUUUCCCGAUAUUUUCCUACCAGUCCAGCCCGCGCACAGGAUACAAAAUCUGGCUCAAAAAUCGUGGAUUUAGGGUUCGUGAAAUUUAAAUCCAAUGGCACAACAACAAAGAGACCCUUAAAACAGAUCCAGAAAACACAGGGAGCAAAAGAAAAGCAAAUUUUUUGGUUUUCUUUGGGGGUUUUGAAUGGAUGGAUUUUCUCGGAAAUCAAACGAGAAUGAAUUUUCCCGGAAAUCAAAUGGGGGAUGGAUUUUCUUGGGAAUCAAACGGGGGUUGCAAAAAAAAUAAUAUGAACGUGAUUAGAUUAGUACCUGCGAGGAUUGAGAGUGGCAGAGGAAGAUAGGUCUUUUUAGGAAGAGGAACUCUUGGCUGGAGGGCAGCUUCAGAAAAGGGGAAAGGGGAAUUCUCUCGGCUGGAGGGCAACUUCAGACGUGGGUGGCCCUUUUAAUUUUUAGAUUUAGUAGAGGUAAAAAAAAAAAAAAAAAAAAAUCAUGAGAGCAAUUUUCCUCUACCCAUAUAAAUAAUUAUAAAUUAUUGAAUUUUAUUUUGAUUAUUAAAUAAAUUAAUAUUAAUAAAAAAAAGUUGUUACUAUAUGUUUUUAAUAAAAUUUUAAAAAUUAAAUCUCAAAUAAAAUAUUUAUAUAAAUUAAUUUAAUUUUCAUUUAAAAUAUAAUAAAACAUGUUUUAAUAAAAAUAUUUUAAAAUUUUUUAAAUAAACAUUAUCUUCAGCAAAUUGGGUCAUCUUCAUCUAACAAUAUAAUGAAAUCACAUCGAUCUCUUCCUUAAUAUAAGGACUAUUGUAAUAUCAUAUGUAUUAUAUUUAUGUAUAAAUUAUUUUUAUUCAAUAAAAUCAAAUAUUUUUUAAUUUAAUUCUAACUCUAUAUACUUUCAAAAUUCAUAUAUAUUAUUUUUAAAAUUCAAAUAUCGAAUCUAUCAAUAUAUCUUUAUUUAAAAUAUCUUCUUAAUUAUAUAUAUGUCAAUUACACUUACAAGAUAACUUUAAAAUGUGUAUUUUUACUUAUUUUAUCAUUUUUUUAAGUUUUUUCAAACAUUUCUAUUAAUUUUAAAUAAUUUUCACUUUAUUGAUAUUUGUGAAAAAAUAUCCACGAUAUUUCUCCGAUAUUUCUCCGAUAUUUCCGAUAUAUCCGUAAAAUCGAAGUACCGAUAUAUCCGUAAAAACCGAUAUUUCAAUCCUUGGUGGCAACAUCAAAUGCAGAUCGACAAGAUGUUUAGUAUCUUGAAAUAGGAAAUUGUCAACAGAUGUUUGAAGAUUUUAGGGAGACAAUGAAACAACAAUUUGAAAUGAUAGAUUUAGGAUUAAUGUCCUAUUUUCUUAGAAUUGAAGUCCAACAAACAAAUGAUGGUAUCUUUAUCUCACAAAAGAAAUAUGCUUUAGACAUUCUAAAGCAUUUCAAGAUGGAAAUCAUCAUCAACAAUCCAUACUCCUAUUGCAGAGCGACUAGAGAUGAAAAAGGAAGACACUAGAGAAUUAGUAAAUCCCACAUAUUUCAAGGGCAUAGUAGGAAGUCUUCGUUAUUUAACUUCUACUAGACCGGAUAUUGUUUAUGGAGUCGGAAUUAUUAGUUGAUUUAUGGAAAAACCAUAUUAAUCACAAUUGCAAGCGACAAAGCGAAUUUUCAGGUAUGUAAAUGGUACUUGUGAUCAUGGAAUCUUCUACUCCUACUCAAACAACUUCAAUUUAGUGGGCUACACAGAUAGUGAUUGGGGAGGUGAUGUAGAGACUAGAAAGAGUACUGUUGGAUAUGUUCUUUUUUAUCUUGGAACAAGAGCAUUCUCAUGGUCAUCAAAGAAGCAACAAGUUGUAGCAUUAUCAACUACAGAAGUUGAAUAUAUGGCAGUUACUUCCACAUCAUGUCAAGUAGUUUGUCUUCGUAGGAUGCUUAGUGAAUUGAAGUAUGAAUAGAAGGGUCCUACAAAGAUUUUGUGUGAUAAUAAGUUUGCUAUUGCAUUGACAGAAUCUGAAGUUUCAUGGUAGAAACAAACACAUAAGCAUCAAAUUUUAUUAUAUUAGGGAACUUCUGAAAAAUCAAGAGAUUGAAAUUAAGUUUUGUAGAUUAGAAGAUCAAGUUGCAGAAAUUUUUACCAAGCCAUUAAAAAUGGACAUGUUUGAGAAGUUUAAGAUGAUGCUUGGUGUGAUUGACUUUACAAUUCGGAUUAAGGGAGACUGUUGAAAUCAUAAUCCGAAUUAAAUUCAAAUUAGAAUAAGUUUAGGAAUUGGAUAAAUAUUAGGAAUUGUUAUUUAUUUAAGCUUCAUAUGUUAAUUAGGACUUUUAGUCUAAUUGGAAUUAAAGUCCCAUUACAAGUAUGAUUAGUUUAUUAUAAAUAGGCUUAUUAUUAUGUUAAAAAGUAUAAUGCAAUAAAUUUAUUUUUUUAGUAAAAUAUUAUCAAUAUCGAAAUGUGUGGGUUCCAACAUAAGUCUGAGAACUUAAACAAAACUAAUCAAGCCUAAAAUAGAAAAAAUAGUAAAUUUAACUAAAAAAACUAGAACCCAAACUUGUUUGAUAAAAGGGAAAAGCACUUACUAGGCAAGAUGGGCAUUGGGCACCUAAAAUGUGAAAUGCACUCUUACCACCAGGCACUGAUGGACACUCAGAGAAUAAAUAGUAGAAUUUGAUUCGAACCCAAACCUUCUUUAAAAAAAAAAAGAAUGUAAAGAUGAUUAUGAAAAAUUAGGUGUUGGCAUUUUUUUUUCCUAAUUUUUAUUUAUUUAUAGAAAAUAGCUUAUUUUUAGAUUUCAGAUAGUUUAUUUUUGUACUUUUUGUUAAUAUAUAACUUAUUUCUUAAAUUUUUUAUUUAAAAGAAAAAAAUCAAAAUAUUUUACUUUUUCUGAUUACUAAAAUUAAUUUAUAGCCUUUUCUUUAAUUCUUAAAUACUUAAUAAAAAUAAAAUAUGAAAAAAAACAAAUAACUUAAUAUUUAACACUAUUAAAUACUAUUUAGUUUUAAGUUCCGAAUAAAAUUAAGUCAAAAAAGUAACACCACCUUAGAAUUAAAUUUGGUUGAAAAAAUAAAACUCUUAUAAUUUACCUUCUACCCAUAAGUGACUUUGUGUCAGCAUACAAAGAAGAAAUGUGGGCCUAAUGGGGGAUUUUUGAUAUUUUCCUUUUUUUUUUGUAAUACAAUAUUUGUAAAAAAAAAAAAUGUAGUUAUAUAAAUAAUUUUAAACAAUGUUGUUUCCCAAGGGGACCUCAUUCGGUACAAAAAAUGCAUGUGGUAUUCUUCCAAUUAUUAAAUUGUAUCGAGCGAAAAGGUCCAACGCAUAUUUGAAAAAGGGAGAAUUCCCAUUUAGAGUAGGCUGCUAGUGAUAAUGAUUAUUAAAUUGUAUCUAGCAAAGGUCCAACAUGUAUUUGAAUAAGGGAGAAUUCCCAUUUAGAGUAGGCUACCAGUGAUAAUGACCUAAAAGGAUCAUCAUAUUUGCAAAUUCUUAUCAAGUCCUUUGAAAAAUUAAUCAUUUCAAAAUCCCAGUUAUACAUUUUUUUUUUGUCCUUUUCUUCUUUUUCUCAUUUAAUUUUACCUUUUUAUUGUUUUUCUUUUAUACUUUUUUACACAUUAUUAUUAACUAUUAAUAUUAUUAUUUAUAAUAUUAAUGUUUUGAAUUAUUCAUGUUACUUAUUAAAAUCAUUCUUAUUAAUAUUAUCUAUUUUUAUGAUUAUUAUUCAUAUUUUUAAAAUAAUAAUUAGAAGAAAAAAUAAAACAAAGAAAAGACAAAAUAGAAAAAAGAUAAAGUAAGGAUAUGUUUAACUUUAAAGCGAAAGGUAUAUUUGAAUUUUUUUAUUUUGAGAUACUUUGAAGAAUUAUCAAAGUUGAUGACCCUUUAGGAUCAUUAUCAUUCAUAGCCCACCCUAUAUGAUAAUUUUCCCUUAAAACAACUCUUCUGUGUCAUACCUCUAAUGACCACAAGUGAGAUUGUGAUCAAUCAAGACAAUUACAAUAAAAUUUAACAACUAAUCACUUUCAAUUUUUUUAUAAUAUUUAUUUUAUUGAUUAAGAAUUAUAAUUUAAUAAAAAAGGAGGUUGUUAUUCACAACAUCCCUUUUGCUAAACGUAACACUUUUUUGUCAUAUUUUUUUUCUACAUAUGCCCUUUUAAAUAAAGAACUCUCUCUAACCUCCUCUCAACAUAUUGAACCUAAAUUCUAAUUGGUUAAGGCUAUGAAUCACAUACGAAAUACAAUGAAUGAUGAAAUUCAAUCAUUUGAUGACAAUUUUUAGGUAAGAUUUAUAACUUUCAUUUGUUUUUAUAAAGAAAUAUAUAUAUUUAUCAAAAAAUAAAAAUAAAAAUCGGCAACUUGGGUGGGGCUCUAGCGUCCUGGGAGGCGACAAUGACCACAGUGGUUAUGGUUUGGAGUAGGGAUGGAAGUCAGUGACCAUCGGCAACGGUGGUUGGGCUAAAUUUUUUGUUUAUAAUAAUUAUAAAAAUCGAAUUUUUUAUUAUUAUUUAUAAUAGUUACUAAAUUACUUUUCGUUUAUAAUAGUUAGAAAAUUCUUCAUGACAUAAAUUUUUGCUUAUAAUAAUUAUAAAAUUCUAAUUCUUUUAUUUGUUUAUAAUAUUUACUAAAUUACUAAUUUUUUUCUAAGAAAACAUUAUAGUAGCCACAUAAAUUAUUAAUUUAAACAAGAUUUGUUUUUGCCAAUUUUCACCAAUUUUACUAAUUUCAAUGUUUUAAUUUCUUUUUUUGAAAAUUUUAACUAAUUGCUUCAUGUUUUAAUUUUUUAAAAACUGUCAUGUACAUUCUCAUAUAAUUUGGAUAAUGUUAUUGUCUUCAUGAUAUAAAUAGAAUUUUUUAUCUAUUUUGUAGGAUGAAUAUUUUGUGGAGGAAUUUCCAUCACAAUUGAUAGAUUAUGGCAAACAUUUCACUAUACAUAAAAGAGUCAAAGACCGAGAAGAGUUUAUUGAAGAGGUUAAACAAAUUGGAGAACAACAAAAUAUAUUUGUGAUUAUUUGUCGUUCCACUAAAGCUGAUGGUUCAGGAAGUGGCAAAGUAUGGAUAGGUUGCGAGAUAUUCGAAGGUUAUAGACCGUAAUAGAACAGAAAAACUGAUGUGGUGCCUAGAAAUUGAACUAGGACGAAGAAGUGUCGUUGUCCCUUUAUGUUGAAGGGUAUUGAACAGGAUGAUGGAUAUUGGACAUUAGUCAUCAUUAAUGGCAACCACAAUCACUACCUUGGAAAGUAUCCUCACGAUCAUUCAUCGGUUGGUAAAUUAAAGGAAAUAGAGUUCAAGAUAGUAGCUACAAUGACCGAAAGUCAUGUUAAGCCACAACUUAUUUUAAAUCACGUCAAAUGGGAGAAUCCAAGCAACUUGAGUUGUGGGAAACAUGUCUACAAUGCCAGACAAAAGCUUAAAGAUCAGAAAAAGAAUGGUUGUUCAGUGAUGCAACAACUACUAAAAUUGCUAAUUGAUCAUGGUUAUAUCACCACUGGUAUAGAGAAGUGAUAAGGUUAAUUUUGAGGAAGAGAAGGUAGAAGAGAAGAAGAGGACGGAGAAGGAUUUUUGGAUUUUUCUGCUAUGCUUUAUUGAUCAUAAUACCGACUAUUUAUAAUAGUCUUACAACUGGGAAAUAAAAAACAAUGCUAUAACUUAGGAAAGAACUAAGGCUAGUCCACUUGGCAAAACAAAUAAAACAACACGUUGAAGACUAUCUCCGACCAGCUUAUUAAGUGGAGAAUAGUUAACAGACUACUGACUAAGUCUUGUAAGGCUCACGUAUCAUGCCUCCCCCUCCUUAAGGAUCCUUGUCCUCAAGGAUAAAAAUCUAGAUAGGACCUAUUGAAGCGUCAUUCGUUCUCCCAGGUUGCAUCUUCCCUUGGUGCUCCCUUCCACUUGAUUUAAACUUUAGACCUUGGACGGUAUUUCCCUUUUUGAAUAACUCGUCGAUCAAGUACAACUUCAGGUUGUGGUAGUAUAACAAAAUCUUCUGAGACUAGAGGAAGUUGAUUCUGAACUAGAGUAUGUACUGGACCCAAAUGUUUCCGCAACAUGCUAACAUGAAAUACAUUGUGAAUUUGAGUCCUCAGAGGGAGAACUAACUGAUAAGCCACUGGAUCUACUUUUCCCAUAAUUAGAUAAAGGCUAAAGAAACGUGGAGCAAGCUUCAUUGAAGCUCGAAAGGCCACAAAAGUUUGGCGAUAUGGUUGGAGCUUCAGAUAGACAUAAUCACCAAUAUCAAAGAAGACUUCUCAUCGUUUCUGAUAUGCUUGACAUUUCAUUCGUUGACUAGCUUGUGAAAGGUUGUGGCGUAGCACACUUAAGAUGGUGUCACAGUCACGAAGGUAUUCAUCAAUUGCUUGAAUGCGAGAAGUACCUGGAACAUAAGUUAGAAUGCUUGGUGGAGGAAUUCCAUAGACGACUUCAAAUGGUGUCAUUUUGGUUGAGGAAUGUAUGAAAGUAUUAUAGCUAAACUUAGCCCAGGGAAUCCACUCAAGCCAUUUUCGUGGUUGAUCACCUGCAAAACAUCGCAAGUUUUGUUCCAAAGUGCGGUUUACUACCUCGGUCUGACCGUCAGUUUGUGGGUGGUAACUUGAGCUCAUGCGAAGCUUGGUUCCUUGUAGCUAGAAUAGUGUUUGCCAAAAAGAACUGAUAAACACUUUAUCUCGAUCACUCACUAUGGAUGUCAGAACACCGUGGAGGCGAACCACGUUGGCUAUAAAUGAUUUAGCAAUAGUGGCUGCGGUAUAUGGAUGUCUUAAGGCAACAAAAUGAGCAUAUUUUUUUAAGCGAUCAACAAUUACCAUGAUGACUAUGUGUCCAUUUGACGGUAGUAAUCCUUCGAUAAAAUCCAUUGAUACUUCAGUCCACAUCCAAGUAGGAAUGGGUAAUGGUUGAAGUAAGCCAGCUAGUUUCAUGCAAUCGGUUUUGUACCUUUGAAAUACACUGCAUUGUUAUAGAAACUCCUUCACUACUCGACGCAUACUAGGCCAUCUGAAGCUGAGCUUGAUGCGAGAAAGUGUUUUAUGGAAUCCACAAUGCCCCCUAGUUGGUGAUGAGUGGCAAUCUUCAAUUAUUUGGUGAAUUAAAAUUGAAGUGGGACUUAAGUAGACUUUGUUGUUUUUGAACCAAACUUCAUCUCGAAGUGUUAGCUGGUAAGGAGAUUGUGUUUGGCUCAACUUCUUAUAAAAAGGAUCUUUUUGUACUUCCUCUUAAAAUUUUGGCUACCAAUUUGCAUGUGGCAUAGAAAUGGAUAAGAACUGAAAUUCAACUACAAGAGAAAGGGAGUCAACAACUUGAUUUUCAGGCCCACGCUUGUACUCAAUUUCAUAGUCAUAUCCAAGGAUCUUUGGGAGCCACCGGGUUUGUGCUGGUAUGGUAAUUCGUUGCUCAAGUAAAUAUUUGAGGCUCCUUUGGUCGGUGGGCAUCGUAAAUGGUUUGCCCAGAAGAUAUGGACGCCACUUUUGAAUUGACUUGACAAUGGCCAACAUUUCUUUCUCAUAUGUAGAUAACAAGGCUGACCUCUUCAGAGCUUCACUAAAGUAAGCUAUGGGUCGAUUAUUUUGAGAAAGGAUUGCUCCGAUUCCAAUCCCACUAGUGUCGCAUUCAAUUACGAAUAUUUGAGAAAAAUCUAGAAGGCCUAGGACUGGUGGAGAUGUGAGUGUUUUCUUUAGUCUUCGAAAAGCAAGUUCCGCUGCAUCGUUCCAUUUAAAUCCUUCUUUGGACAAAAGUUGCGUUAAUAGAGCCGCUAUACCUUCAAAAUGACGAAUAAAUUUGCGGUAAUACCCUGCAGCCCGAGAAACCCACGCACUCCUUUUGUUGUGGAAGGUGUUGGCCAUUCAAGAACAACUUGUAUUUUUGUUAGGUCUACUGCCACUCCAUGUUCGGAAAUGAUGUGUCCCAAAUAGUCCACCUAAGAAACACCAAACCUGCAAUUGGUUGCCUUAGCAAACAAGUGAUUAGAUUUUAAAAUAUUAAGGACGGUCCGGAGAUGUGAGAGAUGGUCAUCCCAUGUCUUUGAAUAAACUAGAAUGUCAUCAAAGAAUACCAAGAUAAAUUUUCUGAGAUAUGUGCGGAAAAUUUCAUUCAUGAGGCUUUGGAAGGUGGAGGGUACAUUGGUAAGGCCAAACGACAUUACAAUGAACUCAUAGUGCCCUUCAUGUGUUCGAAAAACUGUUUUUGAAAUAUCUUCUUCAUAUACCCGAAUCUGAUGGUAUCCAACCUUCAAAUCUAACUUGAAGAAGAAUUUGGCUCCGUGAAGUUCAUCAAGGAGUUCAUCAAUUACUAGAAUUGGAUAUUUAUCCUUGACUAUGAUGAGGUUCAGUGCUCGAUAGUCAAUGUUGAUGUCUUGCGUCCCAGGGAUCCACGUUGCUGCCAGGUGGACGCACGCUUUCAACCAAGAUUGAAUUCUGGCUCAAUCGAUCUUGCAAAAGAUGUCCGGACAGGAUGUCUGGACACACCUUUCGAUGGUUUUGUUAGCCAUGGCUCCAGAGAUUAAGUUGUCGGCCUUUUUCAGGGAUAGCAAGCUUACCUUCUUCCUUGUAUGAAGGCCCUUUUAUAUAGUGUCAGAAGCUCUGCCUCCCUCUUUAAUGGUGGGAAGACUUUUUAGCUCGUCAUGAUGUCCUCAAGGUGGUGGUAGGGUCAUCAUCACCCUGCAGGCGGCUGUCAAAGAUCGUGAGAGGCAACUUGCCAUCGCUUCUGUCCUUUCGCUCUACAGGCGGCGGAAUGUGGGUUGUGGCAGGCUGUCGGGGAUGACUCAACAAGGCUUGCUCGCUACAGUCAAUGAUCCGGACAAUAGGUCCAGAUAGGAUAGAGCAUCGCCCGGGUAUGAUAUUUGAGAGUGUUGUGUGCCCCCUUGGGGGACCCGGAUAGGGGUGUGCACCAUGUGUCCUCUUGGGGAGUACAGAUAGAAUUACUCCGGAUAGCGAUGCGCGCCACGUGUCAUCGGGGGGAGGGAUUCCUACAAUGCCUCCCUUUUAACUUGUCGAUUUUGCCCGGGCAAAAUGGGUGGGUUAAAAGUGAUUGUUUUUACAACUUAGGUUACUUUUUUGCGCUCAUUGGGCCACGUGGCGCGCGUAGGUGAAAAGGAAGAAGAGCAUUUAUGACGAGUCGUCGUCCUUGGGAAUUCCCAGGCAGCGUGUCUUUUCAAUAACGGCACGGCUGGGCGUUUGGAAUACCGAGGGGCUGUUUCUCUUUAAAUAGCAGGCCGAGCCCCCUACGCCUGCAUUUUUUCCUUCUGCAUUUCUGCUGAUAGUGUUUUCUCUUCGACUUUUUGCGUAUCUUCGGCUAUAAGUGAAGUUCUAGGGUUUCUGCUAGCGAUAUUCGUGUUGUGAGGGUGACUGCAUCGCGGGCUUCAUCUUCGUUUCGCCAGUUUGUGCUAGGUAUGUUCCCUAUUCUUGCCUUUUCUUCGUUGUGUUUGUUUUUUUUAUUGUUUCUAGCUUGUUGGGUAAGCUACUUGUGAUUGAGGGUCGGUACUGGGGUUCAGGGGUUUUUCGAGGGGUUUUUGGUUUCGUUUUGGGUGCGUUAGGGUUCCUGUUGCACCCCUGCACCUUUUGCGAGUUACCGAUCCUGCUUUGGGGUAGAGCCAAGGGUUAGGAUGGGGAUGUUGGGUAUUUUAGGUUUUUUGGGCGUUUUUGUUAUUAGGGUUGUGGGGUCGGGUCAUUGUUUUUUACUGUUGGCAUCCUGCCAUGCAGGUUCCAUUUCGGCCCCACUCUUUAAAAUGCCUGCGAAAAAGGACAUAGCUUGGUCCAGUGUGGUCGGGUAGAGCGACAAGGAUGCGUCCGGGGUGGUCUAUGCGGAAAGGUUUGUUGACAAGCUGAACGUGAGGCAGUUCUGUGAACGCUUCUGCAUUCCGAAUGGCGUGUCCAUUUAGCUUGUGGAUGAAGAGGUCGUAUCCAUUGAGAAAUCUGCGGACAACGCUAUCUACUUCACCAAGGAGCAAUUCAAUGCGGGGCUCCGGUUCCCUCUCCCAUCCUUGUUCAAAGAAUUUCUUCACUUCACCUAGAUCCCUCCGGCCUACAUCCAUCCCAACAUAGUCCGGGUGCUGAUGAGGUGCAGCAUUCUGAGCAUGCUGUUUAACUUGGAUCUUUCGCUGCUAGAGGUCUUUUUCAUCUAUUCCAUCAAGAAGGGGAAGACUGACCUCUUCAGCCUGGCUGCCUAUAUGUCUUCCCUCUAAUUGGUGACUCAUCUUUCGGAUUCGACGAAGGAGGGAUCCAAGGGGCAUGUACUAGUCAGGGGUGUCUGGGCUGGGCUGUCAGAGCAUCCGGAGAGAGCGUUUUCCCCAAACCGUUCGCUGGUGCUCCCAGGUAGGGCAACUUGUGGGGUUUGUCUAGCGUUUGCCUGUUGUUCUCUUAUUUUAGUGUUAUCAGAUGGCUAACAUUUUUGGUUGUUUGACAACGCAGGUACGGACAGGAGGGGUCGCGUGGUCGAGUGGGUGGAAAAAGUGUUUUUCGACCGCUUGAACAAGUUAUUCGAGAUCACCAUAGCUAAAAGGCAUCAUCAGACGCUGCUCACUGCUCGAAACUUGUUGACGGUUGUCCGGGAGCCUCAGCCAUACGUCACCAACAUUCUCCCUAGGUGGUUGCCAAAACGAGUAGUGCCUGGGGAGCAUUUUGUAUUGAAAGACUUGCCCUUUUACGAGAGGGCUCGCAAGGCUGACGUAAAGGCGCGCCAAGAGCGCAUUGACCAGCUAGAGGAGAAGAGGCAAGAGGGGACGAUAAGGAAAGCACCUAGUGAAAAGGGGCGCUACUCUCCUCCAGCGGCUCGUCCUCCGGCCACAAAGGAAAAAAAGAAAAAGAAGAAGACGAAGAAGACGAAGAAGACACUUGCACAGGUGCUCCAGAUUGCAGCCCCCACUCUUGAGGCUUCGUUUUCCUCUUGUAGGUCCGGACCUAGCCGGUCGGACCACACUAUUCCAGAGUCUGAGGAGGUUGAGGAAUCUGAGGCUACUUCCAGCUCCCUUCAGCUUGUAGUCUUCCACCAGGGUCCUAGCUCUCCCCAGCCUGAUCCGGAGUCUGCUGGCUUGCAAGUCGCAAAUGAGCCAGAAGAGAUGAGAAGCAUAAGUGAGCUUAGGGAGAGGCUGAUGCAAAGACAUGGCAAAAGGCUGCAUAUCCCCAUCGACCUGGGGCCUCCCCCAGCUAAGAAAGUUUGCUUGGAUCGGGGUGGGGAGGACCCGACGCUCUAGGUUCCGGUUCCAGCUGCGACCCGUCCGGAUGGGAAUGGUGCGAGCACGAGUGCCCCGGUCCCUCCGAAUGCCGCAGGGUCUAGCACGGUGGCUAUGGCUCCGAUCGACGCUCCAGGGCGUAGCUCUCCUACUAUGGUGAGGACCCCUAUGCCAGAGGGGGUUCCGGAGGCACCGAACAGUGAGGAGGCUCCGGUCGAGAGGAGUAGUUAUACUGCAGCAGUUCCUCCAAGCUGGGAGGAACUGAUGGAUAUGCUGAAGGGGGUGUCUUGCUUCACAGACGCAAAAGCGUGGCACCCUUUUGGUAUUUCUGAGUUCGCUGUGCCUUGCGUUCAGCACCUACAGGAAUGGACAAUGCCAGAGGCUGUAGAAAUGGUAAAUAUUUCUUUGUUGUUUUUCUCUUGUUUGUUAGCAGUUAUCGCUUUUCCAUGUAACUUUGUCUGCUAUUUUGUUGUCGUUUUGCCCAGGUUAUAUCCGGCAUCCGCUACAUGUUGUGCACACGCGAGCAACUUUUCCAGCGGCUGAGGGUGGCGAAGGCCAUGCGUGCCUUUAUCUCCCAGCAUCCGGGUGGCGUUGAGGGGUUGCGCGCCCAAUUGGAGAAGGUUGAAGCGGAACUGGCCUCCGCGCGGAAAGCGGUGUCAGAUGGGGCGGAGCAGCUGAGCCAGGUUGAGGGGGAGAAGGAGGCUAUCCGGGCGGGGGUUGAUACUUUAAAGAAAGAAAAAGAAGCCUUGGAGGGCCAAGUCAAUGAAGCUGGGCAGGAAAACCUCCAAUUGAAAAGAGAGACGGAGGAACUUCGGGCUAGCCUCGCCGCCCAGAAAAAGGAGUCUGAGGAUUUGCGGGCUAGUCUGGCGGCUCAAAAGGAGGAAAUGGAGGCUAGGUUCGCCGCACAGAAGAAGGAGAUGGAGGAGAAAUACCAACAGCAGGCGGACGAGAUGUACUUCUUCGGCUACCGCUGCUGUAUGAAGAAGCAUGGAAUUAUGCAUGAUACUCCUUCUUUCCAUUCUGAUGAGGAGGAUUCGGUGCCUGGGGUUCCGUCCAGCUGAGAUUUCUUUUGGUGCAGACUUUACAAUUUUUCCUUUGUUUUGCUGCGUAUGGGGCAGCUAUAUUUGUAAAGACACUUUGUUCUUUAUUUUACAAAUACACUACAUUUUCUCUAUCUCUUUUGCUUACUCUUUAUUUCCUUUCAUUGAUAAUACUGCUUAAGAUUGGAUACAUUCCAUGGACGAAGCAGCGGGGUUCCGUCUAGUUUCUAUAGAUGAUAGGCUUCGUUUUCACUUGUCUUGGAUACUAUGUAGGGGUCUUCCCAAUUGGCUUGAAACUUUCCUGCUCCUGUCUCAGCAAUGUUUUUGAAUAUCUUCCUAAGGACCAUCCUUCCACUUUUGAAGCUCCUGGGUCUUGCCUUGCGGUUAUAGUGAGCGGCUGCCCUUUGUUAAUAGUCGGUCAUCCAGAUGGAUGCGCUCUCUCUUACUUCGUCUACCUAGUCCAAAUUUCUUCCUAGUUCCGCAUUUGCAUCAUCCUAUCAUCCUACCUCGGUUCGGAUAGUGGGUAGCCCUAUUUCUGUGGGAAUGACUGCGUCCAUACCAUAUGCGAGGGCGAAGGGAGUAUUUCCUGUCGGUCAUCCGGGUGUGGUCCGAUAAGCCCACAGGACGCUGGGUAGCUCCUCUACCCACUUCCCUUUGGCUUGCUCGAGCCUCUUCUUUAAGGCAGUUAUUAGGGUUUUGUUAGUGGCCUCUGCUUGUCCAUUGCUUUGAGGAUAACGCGGUGUAAAGUAUAAAUUCCAAAUGUUUAGUUCCAAACAGAAAUUCCGGAAAGUGAUGCUAUCAAACUGUGGGCCGUUGUCAGCUAUAAUGGUUUGAGGGAUUCCAAAGCAGUAGAUGAUGUUCUUCCAUACAAACUUGGUGACAUCUUUGUCCUUGAUGCUAGCGUAUGCUUCAGCUUCCACCCAUUUGCUGAAGUAAUCCGUGGCGAAAAGCAGGAAUUUCUUCUGGGCAGCUGCGGCUGGUAGGGGUCCUACUAUGUCCAUGCCCCACUACGCGAAGGGCCAGGGGCCAAAAAUUGGUUUUAACGUCUUCAACGGCACAUGCGAUAUGGGGACAUGCCUUUGACAUUUGUCACACUUUUUGACAUAGGCUGCCACAUCUUUUUUCAUCGUGGGCCAAUAAUAUCCUUGCGAGUGGGCCCGGUGCGCUAAAGAUCGACCUUCGGAAUGAUUCCCACACACCCCUUCAUGUAACUCAGUCAACACAUACAGGGCUUCUGAGUGGUCUAGGCACCUGAGGUAGGGGCCUAUAAAGGACCGCUUGUACAAGUGCCCCCCGAUCAGGGUGAAACGGGCGGCUUGUAUCCGGGUCUUAUGUGCCUGCUUGGGCUCUUCGGGCAAAGUGCCUGUCCGGAGAUACUCUAUGAUGUCUUCCGUCUAGUCUUGGCCGUAUGCUUGGUUUGCCUCAAUGGUAUUGCAAGUGGAGGCUCCUGCGACGGAGGGGUUAGUUUGCACAUGUAUAGGCAAUAAUAUGGCUUCUUUGAUGGGGAGGGAAGCGGCUAUGCCUGCCAGGGCGUCGGCACGUCCAUUUUCAGUUCGUUUAAUUUUUUUCGAUCGUCCAUUCGGUGAACCGUUGUAAAGUGUCUCUUACUUUAGUCAGAUAUCGCGCCAUGCGCUCAUCCUUAGCUUAGUAUUAUUUCUGAACGUGUCUUACCACAAGUUGGGAAUCACUAUAGACCUGUAACCUGGAGACAAACAGGGUGAGGUCCAACCCAGAUAGGAUGGCUUCAUACUCGGCUUCAUUGUUAGACGCGGGGAAUCCCAGUUGGAUAACUUGCUAUAACUGUUCUCCUGUUAGGGACUGUAGCAGGAGCCCUACCCCGGACCCUAAUGACCGGGAGGCUCCAUCAACUUGCAAAGUCCACCAUUCUUCCCCGCAUGGUUCUUUGUGUUGGGCAGGCCUUUGGGAGUAUUCCAGCACAAAGUCAGCCAUUGCCUGCUCUUUCAUGGACAACCUGGGUUGGAAUUCAAUUCCAUACUCGCUCAACUCUAUGACCCAUUGAACCAUUCUUCCGGUCAGGUCUGGCUUGUGCAGGAUGUAGUGAAGGGGUUGAUCGGUCAGUACGACCACCGGGUAGGCUUGGAAGUAAGGGCGAAGCUUCUGGGCGGCACUUCGAAGGGCCAAAGUCGUCAGCUCCAUCUUUGAAUACCUUGUUUCUACGUCCGCCAACGCUCUGCCGACGUAAUAAAUAGGUUUCUGCUCCUUGUGCGAGGGGUAGCGGAAUAGAACAGCGUUGAUUGCCCACUCUGAUACAGUCAGAUACAUAUACAAUUUUUCUCCAGGGAGGGGGCUGGUUAAAAUGGGUGGUUGCCUAAGGUAGUGUUUGAUUUUUUUGAAAGCGCUCUAGCAGCUGUCCGUUUACCCGUUCGUGCCGGCUUUUCGUAUUGCGAGGAAGAAGAGUCGUAAUUCAUCAGUGAAGCGGGCUAUAAAGCGUUCUAGCGCGACGAGCUUGCCUGUGAGGCGCUGUAAUUCCUUUUUGCUCCUGGGGGGUGGUGUUUCCAUGACUGCCUUAACCUGAUCUGGGCUAACCUCUAUCCCCCUUUGGCUGACCAUAAAUCCCAGGAAUUUUCCAGCACUUACGCCAAAAGCGCAUUUGGACUAAUUCAAUUCCAUGUCAUACUUCCUUAAGAGGUGGAAGACUUCUUGCAAGUGGAGGGCAUGUUCCCCUCAGGUUUUGAUUUUAACCACGAUAUCAUCGAUGUAUACUUCCACUGCGCGACCGACUAGAGGUUUGAAGAUUUUCGUCAUCAAUCUCUGAUAGGUGGCGCCAACCUUUUUGAGUCCAAAUGGCAUGACUUUGUAGCAAUAAAGUCCAUGUGGCGUUAUAAAGGCUGUAUUUUCUUCGUCGGGUGGGGCCAUGGGGAUUUGGUGGUAUUCGGAGAAGGCAUCCAAGAAGGAGAGCAUUCCUUGUCCGACGGUGGAGUCUACAAUUUGGUCUAUCCGCGGUAGAGGGAAACUGUCUUUUGGGCAUGCAUUAUUGAGGUUGGUGUAAUCGACGCACACCCGCCACUUGCCUUCCUUCUUGGGAACCACUACCACAUUUUCUAACCAUUCCGGAUAUUCCACCUCUCUAAUGAAUCCAGCUUCCAGCAAUUUGUCAAUCUCAUCCCUGAUAAUCUUUUGCCUGUUUGGGUGGAAACGUUUGAUCCUCUGUCAGACGGGUCUUGCUAUUGGCAAGACGUUAAGCCUAUGAGAGACGAUGGAGGGGUGAAUUCCUUUCAUAUCAGAAUGCGCCCAUGCAAAAACGUCAUGGCUUUGUUGGAGGGCAUCUUGGAUUCCGGUGUUAAGAGGAAACUGAUAUGUGUGAGGCGAGUACUUUCUUCCGAAAUUUGAAUCGUUCGCAAGGGAUCCGCUGCCGGUGGAUCUUUGUCCGCCGGACUCAGUAAUUGCUAUUGGCCAAGUGCGUGGGUGGGCUUAGGAAGGAGUCUAUCCUCCUGGUUGGUCCCUACUUCUCGCGCUAUCUGAUAGCAUUGGCGAGCGGCUAACUGGCUGCCGUAUAGGUCGAUUUGCCCGUCUUCAGUGAGAAAGCUUACCAUUUGAUGGUACGUAGAGGGGAUGGCUUUCAUGUAGUGCAUCCAUGUGCGCCCCAAAAUAGCAUUGAAGGGUGAUAAAUCUUGUACCACAUAAAAUUGUAUGUUGAGAGUGAUUGGGCUUGCUUGGACCGGCAACACAAUAUCUCCCAAUGAGGUAGUCGCAGCUCUGUUGAAUCCGGACAAGAUUCUCCUAGGGUUUUCGAGGCCGGACAGAUCGCGUCCCAUGUGGCUAAUUACCAACUCUUGCAAAAGAUCGGUCGAACUGCUUGGGUCAAUUAGGAUGCGUCUCACGUCGAAGUCUCCCAUCCCUAGGGAUAGGAUGAGGGCGUUGCGGUGAGGCUGUAAUAUCCGUGUGGGGUCUACUAAAGGGAAAAUGAUUGUCCCAUCUAUGGGCUGGGGGCCCCCACCAGCUAUCCCAGGUCGUAUGGAGUUGACGCACUCACGUACCGAUGCUGCCCGCAACAGCCUCUGUCUCUUUCGUUUGGAGUCGUAUUCCUCAUCCAGUGGACUUCCGUGAAUACAGUUUAUAAUGACUUUGGGGGCGGCUGGGAUCCUGGGGGUUCCUAAGUUGUGACUUCGGGAAGUGUCUCUAACUCUGGCGUCUGAGCGGAGGUAUUGCUUCAAAUGUCCCACCUUUAUGAGUCUUUCCACCAAAUAAUGGAGGCUCCUGCAUGCCUCCGUAGUGUGGCCGUGCUCCUUAUGGUAGGCACACUUCUUACUAUGAUCCCUUUGGGCUAGGUCCGCUCUGAGGGGUCCGGGCCACCUGAAGUCGGACAGGUCCUGGAUCAUAGGGAGGAGCUUCUCAUAGGAUAUGGAAAGGGGUGUGAGGGGUGGUCGUUCUGGGCGGCUUUGUUCUUCUUGUCUUCAACCGGACGGCCUUGGCCAGUCCGGAGGUUUGGCACUUCUUUCCACACCACUUCUGGAUGUUUGGCCGGCGACCAAGAUUUGCUGGGUGGUUGCUCGCACAUCAUCCUCCAACAUUGAGUAUUUGCUCGCGCGCCGGAACAAGUCAUCCAUUGUCGUAGGAGGCUUCUUAGCGGCGAUUCAAAGAAUGGAGUGUAGACACUCUAUUUUGUCUUCCUCACACAUGUCGUUUAUAGCAAUUCCCUGGUGGCCCAUGAAUACUCGUGUAGCCCAUCUUUUCUAAGCCACCUUGGGGACUUUGGUUGAGGGGUUCAUUUAACCCCGUUGUGACUCUUGGCAGCCCUAAUUUAGACUUAGGCUCACAUAGCCACCUUAGGCACCUUGGGCCCAUUUAGGCACCACACUUGGCCCAUUAGGCAUCACCCUAGGCCCAUUUAGACACCUUAGGUUCACUUAGUGCACCUUAGGCCCAUUAGGCAUCACCCUAGGCCCAUUAAACGCACUUGGCCCAUUAGGCACCGCCUUAGGCCCACUUAAACACUUUUCAAGGUUUAGUUUCACUUAGAUUUGUUUUCUUGUUUUUAUUUAUUUAUUUAUUUUAUUGAUUGCUUUUAGGAUUAAGUGAGUUUUGAUAUAUUUAUAUUAUUUCAUCAUUAUUAUUAUUUGUAUUUUUUUGUUUAUUUAUUUUAUUUUAUAAUUGCAUGAAAUGAGUUUUUAUUAUUAUUAUUAUUAUUAUUAUUAUUAUUAUUAUUAUUAUUAUUGGUGGCUUGGGUUUGACACUUCGACUAUUAUUAUAUGUUGCAUUAGUUUAAUCCUUUUUAUUAUUAUUAUUAAAUAUAUCUAACAUUUAUUUAUUUAUUUAAUUAUUUAUUUUUAGGUAUGUAUCCUCUUAUCUAUGUAUUGAUAUUUUCCUAUUUGGGAUUUAAGGACUUCUUGAAAUUUUAAUGAAAGAUAUGUUGACUUUGAAUGACGGGAAUGGUUUUGACUUCAUGGAUUCUUGCUUUCUUUUUUGGAAUUUUUUUUUAUUAUUAUUGUUAUUUUUCCAUGUAGGUGGAGUCAAUGGGAAGGUGUGCAGAAGAUGCUCAUGGAAAGGGACCACACUGUUUUUUGGAAAGGUGGAUUGGGGCGUGGAAGCGGAAUAUAAAUAAUGGAUGAAUGAGGAUGUUUUUUUGGGGAAGAUACAAAGAAGGAUCAGAAUUUUUUAGAAAUGAAGGAGAAUGACACACGGGUUGAUGGAUGAAUGAAGCCGGUUGUAGGAAAAAUUACCAAAGUGGUUUUGGCAAGUGAAAAGGAAAAAGAAAAGACUUAGCAUGUACGUGGACGGAAUGAGGGCUAGGACUAAAAAAACAAAAGAAAAUUCUGAACGUGCAUGGAAAGGGUAUGGGGAAGGCUGGCUUUUGGAAGGUGAGGCUAUGCAGGAAAAGAUAGCAGAUUGGGUGAUGAAGUGGGCUGGUUUUGGAGAGAAUAAGGGAGGAUUGAGAGCACGGAAAAUGGGACGAUUGAAAAAGAAAGUGAUUUUCUGGAGGGAAGCGGCAGCCGCACCGUGAAAGAAAAGAAAUUUUUUUGCAUUCAAGAGGAAGGAAAAUGAUCGGCCGAAGGAUUUUCUGGAAGGAAGUGGCAACCGCACCGUGAAAGAAAAGAAAUUUUUGCAUUCAAGAGGAAGGAAAAAGGGAUCAACUGAAGGGAUUCUGGGGGAAAGUGGAGAAGGUGCAGUCGCACCAUUCAGAGAUCCAGAGGAAGGUGAAGGAAACGGGAAAUAAGAGAGGAGAAAAGAAAGCUGGGUUUCGGAGACAAUUUCCAGUUUCUCUCAUCAGAGACACCACAGUCGCACCAGAAUUUUAAGGGGAGAGUCUUCUGUCCAGACAGCUAUAGAUCGGGUUCUGAAACGUGAUCCUCCACUGCUUAUGUUGCCGCAACACCUUGUGCCAUACUCAUGCAUCUCCGGUAACACCCUACUACCAUUGGAGAUCCACACCAGCUUGUCAAUCCCGCUACCUGAACACCACAAGCGCACCAGAAUUUUAAGGGAAAGGCUUCCACCACUCUACAGAUCUUCACGACUUCAUCUUCAAGAGCACAAGUGUGCACGCUAUCAAAGGAAAUUCCUCUCCAUUAACGUGCAGUGCAUUUGGGAUUGUGCAGAAGCCAUCAUGCCAUGCAUUCUUGGCACUAUUUUAAAAAAUCCUACUAUCACUUUUGGUGGAAAACGACCCAUGCUUUAUUGGAAAAGGUAAGCUAAAGGUAAGCUAGAACUCUUUGUUUAAUUUUUGAUGUGUGAAUCUUAAUUUGGUAGUGGUUUUAGAAUUUUAGUUUUUUUUUUAAUUUAAUUAAUUCCAUGAUGAUAUAUUCAUCUAUGUGCUUUAGACUUUAUUUUUUAUGUUUUUAUUUCUUUUUUAAUGUUAAUGUGAAUAAAAAAAUAAAAAUUUGUUUAGAAAUGUUUAGAUAAUUAAUUUAGUGAAUCUCAUAUUGGUGUUUGUGUAUUUCCGAAUUCGUUAAUUUUGAUUUUAAUCCAUUAAUAUUCAAUUGUGUACUUGAUUAUAAUUUUAGUUAGUUAAUUUAGUUAAUCACGUGUUAUCGUUUUCGUGUUUUAAGUUUAUUAAUUUUAAUUUUGAUCCGUUAAUAUUUAGUUUGAGUAUUUUAGAGUUUUAGUCAAUUAAUUUAGUCAAUUACAUGUUAUUAUUUUCGUGUUUUAAGUUUAGUAAUUUUAAUUUAGAUCUAUUACUUAAAGGUUAGAACCGUGUUUAAAUUUAGUUUUGAUGUAUCAUUUUAAAUUAAAAAAGAAAUAAAAUUGAUUUCAUAUAGUUUUAGCUUUGAUUCAUUAUAUUAGAAAAAAAGAAUGAUUUGAUCUCUAUUUAAUUUAAUUUUGAUUCAUUGCAUUAGAUUGAAAGCAUUUGAGUUUUAUUUAUUUAUUUAUUUAUGUAUUUUCUACUCAUUUAAUUACUUGUUAUUCAUUUAUGUAUUUAUUAAUAAGAUUGAUUCUAUAGGUUAGACAUAUAGUUUUAAAAUUUGUUUUGGUUAGUUUUUAAAUGAUUUUAGGUGCAAGUGUUUUAUAAAAUUUUAGUUCGUUAAAUAAUUGAUCAUAUGUGUUAAGGAUUUGAUUUUUAGAUUUGCCUUAUGUUUAAUUCAUUCACCUAUUCAGUUUAGGUAUUUUCUAUAAUAUUAGUUCUUUAAUAAAAUUAAUUCUAUGAUUGGAAAUUCAUUUUGAUUGUUACUCUUAAUUGACGUGUUUCUUGAAAAUUAGUUAUUAAUUCUUGGUGAGUACCUCGUUAGCUUAUUUGACCUAAGUUUGAAUAAUUUAUUUUGGUAGUCUCUGGUAAAAUCUACUUUUCGGAGGCCAUCGGAAAAUAGUGAAGAUUGACCUCCAUUCUCAUCACUUCAAUUUUCUCAGUUGUCAAAAAUUCUACUUUGUGAUUUUGUUCUUUUUGUUUAGCUUGGUAUUUUGAUUCAUAUAUUUUAUUGUUUUCAAAUUAAUUUCUUUCAUUUUUUAAAACAUAACAUUGUUCUCAAAAAAUCGCUUUAAAAAUCCAUUUCAAAAAUUCAUUUAGAGUUCUUAGAAUCAAAAUCUCAUUUUCCUUAAAAAUUCAUUUCAAAAAUUCAUUUAGAGUUUCUUAGAGUCAAAAGAUCCCCUUAACAAUCCAUUUCAAAAAUUCAUUUAGAGUUUUUAGAAUCAAAAUCUCAUUUUUUAAAAUAAUGUGCAACCAUGUUUUGAUCGGUUCAUAUCUUUCAAAUAAAAUUACAGUUUUGAAUAAAACACGAAUCAAAGCUUGUGGUCCCAAAUAAAUGAGAUAAUUCUAGGCUAAAUUCGUGUAUAUCAAUUGGGGAAUUGGUGAAACCCCUACAUAAGAAAAUCUUUUCAAAAAUUAUUUUUGUUGCCACUUUUGUCACUUGUUGAAAUUAUGUCUAUCUUUUUUUAGGAAUUGUAUACAAGAUGAGUGUGAUAAUUAGUGUUUUCAUAUACUUUGAUAAUUUCUACUAUGCUAAUUAGAUAACGAGCAUGCUAGGAUUUCUAUAUUUUAUUAUUUAUUAUCUAACCCCUCAUGUCUUAUGGAAGCGCGUUGUAAGUUAUCUAUGUUAUCCAGGUAUGUCCCCUAUCACCUACUUUCUAAAUUUUGUAAAUAAUCAUGUCACUGUGAAAUAUGCAUAUGAUUGAUAAUCCUUAGGUGCUUAGAUGUAUGCUAGAUUCGCUAUGAUUAAAUACAUGUUCUGUGUUAUACUUCUAUACUAACUUUGAUGUCUUGUGAUAGCGCUUAAGAAGCAGUCCAAGUACGUACCCUAAAUCUUCUUCAUGAUUGUGAUUGGUUUUCCUGCUAAGCAUGCUAUUUUUCGAAAUCACCUAGCCUACUUAGGUAUCCAUGAUUAAUCGGUUAAUUGCUAUAUUCCCCUUAACUUAGUUAGUAGAGACCUUUAUAGGGCUUAGAGGGGUGCUACCUUUUAAAGGUACCUUCCCAAUAGGCAACUUGAUCCCCGGAUCUAGACUCGGGUUUUUUCAAAGACAUGCCUUUUUCCAAAAAUUAUGGAGUCAUUUUUUAGGGUUUUUCUUUCUUGUUUUAUUUUCUCUUUAAAAUAAAAAUAAAAUAAGUGGCGACUCCAACUUUUUUUCCAAAAAUUAAUUUUUUCACAAAUAAAUAAAAAACGAGUCUCGCCGAUCGAGUGGGGGCGCAGGUGAAAAAUGCGGGUCCACAUGGAGUACCUGGACAGAUGCUUCUCUUGAAGAUCUGAAGGACAACAUCCAUGUUGUAAGCCUCUACUUGUAACACAACCUGACCAAACCGCUUCACGAACUCUCUUAAAGACUCAUUCUCCUGCAUUUUUAUGUUUUGCAGGGUGCUAAUGUUCUGUUUAUGCUGAGCUGAGCAUAAGUAUUGUCCCACAAAAGCUUUCGACAGAUCCCUGAAAUUAUCAACAAAGUUAGGGGGUAGAUGGUGAAACCAUGAGAGAGUCUGCCCUUGUAGGCUGGCGGGGAAUACUUUCCAUAGCAGUGCGUCGUUCCCUAUAUCGAGAGUCAUGAGUUGUCGAUAAUGUAUGAUAUGGUCGAAGGGGUCACUGGACCCAUCGUACGUGGAAAAUUUAGGCACGAGAAAUCCCCUUGGGGGGUCGUAAUGAAUAAUAUGCAAGCAAAAAGGUGUGGAGAGCAUGUCGUCCAGCCUUUUGCUGAUGGAGCCAGUAGGUGGCUCGUUUGGGAGGUUUCUCCCAGCUUGUCGUACCGCUUAGUGCAGGAGGACAUUCUUCACCAUGGGUGUGACUAGGGGGUCAGGGUGCGUUCCCCAGGUUGUGGCUACUGGCGGCCUUGUCUUCCCGGGUCCCUGUGGGCCUAGCCUCACGAGCAUCGCGUCCGAAAAUUAGGGUCUUUUGUCACGUUGUCUCUUUGAUGAGAGACGAGUAGAGUCUGAGCUUUCCUCCUGGGGAGCUUGGUGCAUGGGCGUGUGUCGUUCUUGUGGUCUAACAUUGCCCGUCUCGGGGAUGACCCCCGCAGUCCCAGGGUAUAUUGACUCGGGGUCAGGCCUUGAGUUCGCUCCCUGGCCUCUUGAGCGUUGACCAUGAGGGGUCCUGUUGAUGAAGCCUGGAUGCGUAACACAGCGUUUUCUUCUCUGUCUUGCUGUUUCCUGGAGGAGAGCCUGCAUUUGUCACUUGCUUUCCAACUGUCUUCUCUCGAUGGCUUCGCGCCAUUCGAAAUAAUCUUUGUCUCCCUUAGCCGACGAGCGGCUUCUGGAAGGUGUGGACAUUUUUGUCGUCGACUGAAUCAGAGCGUUCCCACAGACGGCGCCAAUGUUUGAGUUUUUAUAUUUUGAAGCAUAUGAAAGAUUAUCAAGUUGAUGACUCAUUAUCAAUCAGAGCCCACCAUCUUUGGUAAUUGUCCUUUUGAAAAAUGAUAAAUGAACAAACGGGUCAAACAUUAGUAGUAUGGAGCCCACCAUCUUUGCUAAUUCUCCCUUUGAAAAAUGAUAAAUGAACAAACGGGUCAAACAUUAAUAGUAUGGUACCGAAAAUAACUCUUCCGUGUCAUACCUCUACAAUGACCACAAGUGAGAAUGUAAAUCAGUCAAGACAAUUAUAAUAAAGUAGCAUCCGUAUUUAUUUUAUUGAAUUAGAAUUAUAAUUUGAUUAAAAUGAUAAGAAUUAUAACAACCAAUUCUAUUAUUUAAAGAUAAAUUGUCUAAAUAAGAUUAAAAAUUAAAAAUUAAUCCAUCUAACAACAUAGUUAAAAUGGAUUUAUAUAUCAUAAAAAAUCAUCACCGAAGAAACCAAUAACCAUAAAAAUAAAAGUUGAAAAUCACCUAUAAACAAAUCAAAAAAGAAAAAAGAGAAAAUAAUUUUUUUAUAUUUGAUUAACUCUAUGAGUUGGAUAUCUUCCACGACAGCUGUGAUGAUGAAUGUAAUUAAAGAGAGAAUGGAAGAGGAGAGACAAAAUGAAGUAUAUAUAUUUUCAAUUUUAAGAUGCAUGGUGAAGAUCUCGUCUUGCACAUCCAUUGGCGCAAGAUAUUCUUCAAUUGCUACCACACAGUGCUGUAGAAUUUUCCUAGAAGAUAUAUUGAAAGGGAAGUCAGUGGAAAGGAGAUUUCGACUCACCAGUCGCUGGGCCACAGGUCUGCCACUGCCUGUUUUGGAUGGCAAUAAGAUUAUUGAUGGGCUGCUUAAACGCUGCUUAUGAGUUAUGGGUAACAUGAAAAUUUCAACCAGAAGGUGGUCUGCUAAUCUCGUUUUCUUGCUUAUUUCUUCAGGUUUUCACUUGCAAUUUGUUGAUGCAUUUACAGAUACAAUCUUACAAGGUCAAUCACUCAUAACCUCUCAGACCAUCAUAUCUGCUGGUGGUAACUUUGAAUUAGGAUUCUUUUCUCCUGGAAAGUCCACAAAAUAUUAUGUGGGGAUAUGGUACAAGAAAAUCUCAGAGCAAACCAUUGUGUGGGUAGCUAACCGAGACUAUCCAUUCACAAAUCCGUCCGUGGUUCUUACUGUCAGCACAGAUGGCAACCUCGAGAUUUUGGAGGGGAAGUUUUCGUACAAGGUGACAAGCAUAUCAUCAAGCAGCAACACUAGUGCCACCCUGUUGGAUUCUGGAAAUCUUGUUUUGAGAAAUAAGAGGUCAGAUGUCUUAUGGGAGAGCUUUGACUAUCCAUCGGACACGCUCCUGCCCGGAAUGAAACUUGGAUAUGACAAAAGGGCUGGAAAAACAUGGUCAAUGGUGUCAUGGAAGAGCGCAGAAGAUCCCAGUCCAGGAGAUUUCUCCGUGCAGGUCGACCCUAAUGGAACUAGCCAGUUUUUUAGCCAGCAAGGACCCAACAGGUAUUGGACUAGUGGGGUGUGGGAUGGGCAGAUUUUCGGCCAGGUUCCUGAGAUGCGUUUCUUCUAUAUGUAUAAGUACAAUACAUCCUUUAAUGAGAAUGAAAGCUAUUUUACUUACUCUCUUAAUAAUCCCUCCAUUCUGAGCAGAGUGGUGCUAGAUGUGUCGGGCCAGAUUAGGCAUCUGAAUUGUCAAGAAGGCACACAUGAAUGGGAUUUAUCUUGGCUUCAUCCAAGAACACAGUGUGAGGUUUAUGUCUAUUGUGGGCCUUUCGGAAUCUGCACUGGGGAUUCUGUUGAAUUUUGUGAAUGCUUGCCAGGUUUUGAACCUCGCUUCCUUGAAGACUGGAAUCUGCAAGACAGAUCUGGAGGGUGUGUGAGGAAAGCAGAUUUGGAGUGUGUCAAUGAAAGCCAUGCUAAUGGGGAGCGAGACCAGUUUCUUUUGGUGUCUAACGUGAGACUGCCCAAGUAUCCAGUAACAAUACAAGCAAGGAGUGCUAUGGAGUGCGAAUCAAUUUGCCUGAAUAGCUGCCCUUGCUCCGCUUAUGCUUAUGAGGGAGAUGAGUGUAGAAUAUGGGGUGGAGAUCUUGUAAACGUGGAGCAGCUACCAGAUGGUGACAGUAAUGCUAGAAGUUUCUAUAUCAAACUUGCUGCCUCUGAGCUAAAUAAGAGAGGUAAGAAAAAAGAGUCAUAGUUGUUAUUGUAGGAGGACAUAAAGCAUCUGGGUCUUGUUUUGUUUUCAAAAUAAAAUGGCCAUCGAUUCAGCUAAAUUUAAUAUGAUAUAUUUCCUUCUACAGUUUCAAGCAGCAAGUGGAAGGUAUGGUUAAUUGUUACACUGGCCGUAUCUUUAACUUCAGUCUUUGUCAAUUAUGGGAUAUGGCGAAGGUUCCGAAGAAAAGGUCAGUAUUUCUCAUGGACAGAAGGAUAGCCAAGCAGUUCAACAGUUUUUAGGUUUCAUCUGCAAAUACAAAACCAGUUCUUUUUUUAAAUGAGUUCAUUACCACUGUUAUUGAAUAAUUGAGGUAACAUUAGGAUUUCAAUGUUCUGAUUACAUGUGAGUGUGUAUGUGGAAUCCAAUGUGAGAAAUAAUUUAUUCCCGUGCCAGAAUUCCUACAUUCUUAUGAUAUUUAAUGUCUGUUUGUUCUUUACCAAGCAGGGGAAGAUUUGUUAGUAUUUGAUUUCGGUAACAGCUCAGAAGAUACCAGCUAUGAGCUUGGCGAGACAAAUAGACUUUGGAGGGGUGAGAAGAAGGAAGUUGAUUUGCCCAGGUUCAGUUUUGCGAGUGCAUCUGCUUCUACAAAUAACUUCUCUAUUGAAAAUAAACUAGGAGAGGGCGGUUUUGGAUCUGUUUACAAGGUGAGAUUACAACCCCUGACAAUAAUGUUCUACAAUCUGUCCUGGAAUGUAAAGGCCCACUUGAUAUACAUCAAAUUUUUUUUACCUGGUGUAAUUGUAGUCACUUGAAAUUCUCAUGACAGGGAAAGUCACAAAGAGGAUAUGAGGUAGCUGUGAAAAGGCUCUCAAAAAGAUCUAAACAGGGAUGGGAGGAGUUAAAAAAUGAAGUCAUGCUUAUAGCCAAGCUGCAACACAAGAAUCUUGUGAGAGUUUUGGGAUACUGCACCGAGCGGGAUGAGAAGAUAUUGAUUUAUGAGUAUAUGUCCAACAAAAGCUUGGAUUUCUUCCUCUUUGGUUUGUAACUUCCACAUACAUAUACUUCCAGCUACUGUACAUUCAAUGAGAAAACUUUACACAUUCAUCAUUCUUCACCACUUAUUUGCUAACAUCUAUUUAUUUGGUGUAAAAUGGAGGUAGAUCCUACAAAACAUGGGAUUCUGAAUUGGAAGACACGGGUUCACAUCAUUGAAGGGGUUGCUCAGGGACUUCUUUAUCUGCAUCAGUACUCCAGAUUGAGGAUUAUUCAUCGAGAUUUGAAGGCUAGCAACAUUCUUCUGGAUAAGGAUAUGAAUCCUAAAAUAUCAGAUUUUGGAAUGGCAAGAAUAUUUGGAGGCAAUGAAUCAAAAGCAACAAAUCAUAUAGUUGGGACUUAGUAAGUGAAACCUGACAAAUUAUAAAAUAUGUGAAUGUUCAUACAACAUUUGAAAUCAUGCAGCUACUGAAUGAUUUUUCUCAUUAAUAAUCAAAUCCAGCGGCUAUAUGUCCCCUGAGUAUGCUUUGGAAGGUCUUUUCUCCACUAAAUCUGAUGUCUUUAGCUUUGGGGUCUUGUUAUUGGAGAUUUUGAGUGGCAAGAAGAAUACUGGAUUUUACCAAACCGACUCGCUCAAUCUUCUUGGAUAUGUGAGUAACACAAUAUUUAUUCACUUACAUAACUAUUUAUGAUGUUUUGAUAUGCUAAUUCCUAGUUUUCAAUUCCCUUGUUAUAUUACCUAUCCGGUUGUCUUGGGAUACUAGUAAAUUUUCACAUUAUGUCUACCACUCAGUUUCAAGGCUUAUUUUAUAUUGUUGGCUGAUAUAUAAAGGACUUUAUUAUCUUUUACUUUUCGGGAAUUUGCAUCAAUGGAUAAUUUUCUUCAUUUAGGUAUGGGAUCUGUGGAAAGAUAGCAGGGGGCAGGAGUUGAUGGAUCCAGGAUUGGAAGAGACAUUGCCAACACACAUUCUGUUGAGGUACAUCAAUGUAGGCCUUCUUUGUGUUCAAGAAAGUGCAGAUGACAGGCCUACCAUGUCUGAUGUUGUCUCAAUGCUUGGCAAUGAAAGUGUACGUUUACCUUCUCCAAAACAACCGGCAUUUUCAAAUCUGAGAAGUGGGGUGGAACCACAUAUAUCCCAAAACAGGCCUGAAGUUUGUUCCUUAAAUGGUGUGACACUUUCAGUUAUGGAAGCACGAUAGUGGUUCUGAACUUAAUUAAUAAUAUGCUUAAAUUUGAGCAUAUUGUCUUGUAUUGUUCUUGGUGAAUUCAUAGCUCAUAUACUAAAAUGGACAAGUGACCUUAUGUGUGUAUUUUUCUUCCAAAACAGUUUAAUAAUCAUCUUGUACUCAAUCCCCCUAUGGAUUCAGACCUGUGUCUUAGCUUCCUAUUUGAAAUUGCUACUAAAUCUGACUUUAUCUGGUCAAAUUUGGAUUUAGUUUGAAAAUGAUCUGUUCCAUUGUCGAUCCAAAGAGUAAAAUACAACUUUUUUCAUUGCUAAUUAGUAGCUAACAAAAGGUGCCUCUAGGGCCAAUCCAGCUAUAGAGAAUCAACCACCCACCUUCCACUUCCUCUCUUAUGGAUGUUUUUGAAUGCCUUGGCAUAUGUAUAUCAUGUACAUAUACACCACCAAUUUGGCCUGGGAUCAGUUUCAUCAAGUAUUUCAGGAGACAACAUAAAACAAGUCAAAAAGUAUAUAAUUACGAACUAAUUGGCCAUCCAGCACAGAAAAUCCAUCUCCCAAUGGGGCCUUAAAGCACUUGAAUUUACUGUUCUUUCCAUCAUUAUUUUCAUUCUGGGCAUGGCCUAGAUUGAAGAAAGGUCCGACACAAAUUGGAAAAGUCAUAGAAGGAAAUAUAUCUAGAAGGGAAUCCUAACAAAAGGUCUUUCAAAACUGCUACACCUUGCUUUGAAUGGUACCUGGUAUCUACAUUGAAUGAGUGUUUUUCCUAUGUCCCACCAUUAAAAUGAAUGGGAGUCUUGCAAAUUACAUAGAUUUUUUUUUUAUAAUGUAUUAUUUUAUAAAUUUCAUAGAAUUAUUAAUUUAGUAUUUUAGCCCCAAAGUCCCUAAAAAACAUUAUUUGCUUGAGGGGUUCAUAUUAUCAUGCAUUAAUUUAUUGAAAUUCUACUAUUUUUUCCUUAAUUAAAAAGUGAAUUUUUUAUUUUAUUAUUUUAUUUUUCUUUAACAAAAAAAGUCACUUUUUCUCUUUUUUCUUUGAAGUCCUCUAACUUCAUAACACUCGAACUCAUUUUCUCAUACAAAAUAAAAUUAAUCAAAUUCAAAUUUGAAACAUUGAAAAUUAAUCAAUAACAUAAAAAUCAAUUUAUAUAAUCAAAAACCUUAAUUAUUAUCAAAUUACUAACUUUCUAACUAUUUACAUGAUUAAUCAUUAUAAGAUUUUUAUUAUGACAAUAGAUUUUGGUACUGAUGAUCUACAACCCUGAUCUGUAGACACACAAGUCCCUGUCAUCAAACCCUGAUCUAGAACAGUAUUUGACAUCAUGGAAAUGCACUGAUGAUCCAUCCACUAGAAACUUCACUUGGAGAUUAGAUAUUCCCAGGCUGCCUCAACUGGCUGUUGGAAUGGGAUCAGUCAAAAAGUACCGCACAGGGCCAUGGAAUGGAGUUUGAUUUAAUGGUUUACCAGUGUUUCCCAAUGAGGAGGUCUAUUUACCAUUAAUGAUUUUUAAUGAGGAGAAUGUAUAUUACUUGCCUCAGGCUGGCAACUACUCUGCUAAUCUGAGAGUCACCAUCAAUCAUUUAGGCUUGCUGCAAUGGAAUAUAUUGAAUGAAAGCAAUGAUGAGUGAACUACUAUGUACACUGUACCAUAUGACCUAUGUGACAACUAUGGACAGUGUGGUAUGCUCUAUGUGACAACUAUGGACAGUGUGGUGCUAAUGGCAUUUGCAGGCUUUCCAGCAUGCCAGUCUGUGAGUGUUUGAAGGGGUUCACCCCCAACUCAAAAGGAGAAUGGGAAAUGUUUGAUUGGUCUAGUGGAUGUGAAAGGGCAGGACCUUGGAUUGCAAGAGCAAAGAUGACCUUAUGAAGGUCUUAGGGAUGAAAUUGCCUGACUUGUUGGAGUUUCGGUUGAACAAGAGCAUGAGCCUCAAGGAAUGUGAGGUAGAGUGCUUGAAGAACUGCUCCUGUGUGGCAUUUGCGAAUUCAAACAUUAAAGGUGGAAGCAGUGGAUGUUUGACCUGGUAUGGAGAUCUGAUUGAUAUUAAAGGGUUCACAGAUGGGAAAAGUGGGCAAGACCUUUAUAUCAGAUGUCCAGCUGGGGAACUAGGUAAGAGUAUUUGACACUCUUUUCACUUCCAAGCUCUUUUAUUGUUCAUCCAUGAAGGUUUAACAUGCAUUGCAAUCCGGAUUGCAUGGUUGAUUAUUUUCUCUAGGUGAGUUAGGAUCUUUUUCAUUUUUGGGAUAUGAAAGAAAGUUAGGAUUGUUUGUCAUAUAUCCUCAGUAAUGGUUUCUAUCUUUUAACUAAAGGCACAGAAACAAUUGAUGGCCAACUCUCUCUGCAGUAAGGUGCAGACAAAACUGAAGCGAGGAUUUGAUAACAAAAGUUUUUAGCAAAAUGAUUAAAUUUCUUCCCAUCUCCUGCUUCAGGGUCAAUCCAUGGUUCAAAUAAGAAGAAAUAACUGGUUGCUGUCCUAGUUGCAUCGACCAUUUCUGGAAUGCUAAUCUUGGGCUUGGUGUUCUGGUGCAUAAAAAGGAAAAAAAAAAAAGAGGUAAUCCUAAUUAUUGGUCCAUUCAUUGUUUCAACUUUCAUCAUUGAAAAUCUAUAUCAUACAACUGGAUCCUGAGUACAGUAAUGAAGUAGGCACUAUCUCAUCAAUAGGCCUGGAAAGUGAGAUGGAAGAUUUAGAGUUACCUUUGUUUGAAUUGGCUACCAUUAAUACUGCUACUAACAACUUCUGUGUCAUAAAUAGAACUGGCACAGGCAGCUUUGGUCCUGUUUUCAAGGUAACAUUUGAUUGUAAGAAAAAGUGUGUUUCCUAUGAGACAAUAUGCAGGGCAGUUUGUCAAUAGGACAAGAAGUAGCAGUGAAGAGGUUGUCAAAGAAUUCAGGACAGGGUCUUCAAGAGUUUAAGAAUGAGAUCUUUUUAAUUGCCAAACUCCAACGCAAGAAUCUUGUAAAGCUUUUAGGCUGCUGCAUUCAGGGACAAGAAAGGAUAUUACUCUAUGAAUAUAUGCCCAACAAGAGUUUGGAUUAUUUUAGUUCCGUUUGAAAUUCUCAACCCUUUAGAUCUCUUUGGACUGGUUUGGGUACAUGAUCAUCCAUACCAUGCUCAUGCAUCUAUAGAGUACAAAUAGUUAUAAUCGCAAAAUUUACAAGGGUUGAAAUGAUGUGCAGAUCAAAACAGAAGAGCGUUAUUGCCAUGGAAAAAGCGCUUUGACAUUGUUAUGGGGAUCGUGCAAGGACUUGUUUAUCUCCACCAAGAUUCUAGACUUCAAAUCAUUCAUAGGGAUCUCAAGGCAAGCAAUAUACUGACAGAUGAAAACCAGAACCCCAAAAUUUCAGACUGGCUUGGCAAUAAUUUUUGGAGGGGGAUGAAAUGGAAGCAAAAACAGAGUGAUUGGAACAUAGUAAGUUCUGUACUUCGACUUUAGAAAUGAUGUGCUUUUCCUUGAAAUAACUUAUAUUUGAAAUCUUCAUGCAGUGACUGCACGUCCCCAGAGUAAGUGAUUGAUUGCAAAUUUUCUGUUAAAUUUGAUAUCUUUAGUUUUGGUGUGCUUCUGCUGGAGAUUGUGGCUGGUAUAAAGAACAGGGGGUUCUAUCAUUCAAACUACCACCAUAAUCUUCUGGGACAUGCAAGUAGAAAGAAAGAAAAUCCACCUCUGUCACACACACACAUCAAAGACGCAUGCCCUCUCUUGCUUUUCUGACAAAGUAUAUGGCUUCCAAUUGCUUUAGACAUGGUUGCUUUGGAAACAAGACAAGGCCUUGGAUGUAAUGGCUGCAUGUUUGGAGGACUCAUGUAUUGAAUCCCAGCUACUAAGAUGCAUACAAGUCGGUUUAUUAUGUGUUGAAAACCUCCCAGCAGAUAGACCAGCUAUGUCAUCUGUGAUUUUCACGUUGGGUACUGAGGGAGCAACACUACCUUAACCUAAACAUCCUGCUUUCUUCACAGAAAUAAGUACGAUUGAUACAGAUGCAACAACAGGACGUGAAGAGUUACCUUCAGAAAAUGUAGUAACCAUCUCAGUGCCAGAAGGUAGAUAAAGGAUUCAAGCACUGUGUCAACAUGUGCAGGGUGCAUCCAAGGUUUUAUUCAUGUAGGAUAUAGCACUAGGCUCUUCAAUGGAUGGGCACCAAUUUCCUUAAGGUUGCAAAACUAGAUACAGCUUGGCCCCAAGGAGGCCAAGGUAUUGGAUUUACUGCACUAGAACCAUAUCUGCUGGGCUUCAUAAUCCUCUAAAUGUAUGAAUAAAAUGUGCUGGAGUGUGUCCUCUAUGGCAGCUCAGGGCAGUGUGAUUUGUAACUUAAAACUCACUAGUACAACUUUUGAAAUUCAUAUUUUCACAGGAUCAAGUUGGGUAUAUGCACAAGAAUGUGGAUUCUGCAGUCAACUUGGCUGCUUCACUUUCUUUUCCUCAGAGUUCACAUUUAUAGGGCUUAUAUAGAUGCUGAGCUAUACAAAAAUCUUGAUUUGAAAUCUCAAGAAUUUCUAGAGGUGUUCAAAAUCCUUUGAAAUGUCCUUGGGAAGUGCAAUGAGCUUGCAACAAAUUGGAGUGAAUGGAGAUAAACAAAUUGAAAAUCAAAUGAGAGGAUUUGAAGCUUAAACAAAUAAACACCUUCACAGAAUAAGGUGUGAAUCUCUACUGUCUCUCUCAAGUUAGACAUCUUUUAACUUCUUUUCAUCUUCCCAGAAGCUUCAAAAUUUUUUGCAAAACAUUAACUUGAAUACUAUACAGUGGCAAACCUUAGUGGGAGCUUUCAAAUUAUUUAGGAGAAAGAAUUCAAGAACUAUGUAACAGAUGAUUCACAUAGAUUCUUUCCUUAGGACUAACAUGGAAAGAAUUCAGGUAAAUAGAGAUGAAUGUUUAUCAAAUUAACAGAGACAAACCUGCCAAGCAACCAUUGAGAUGCUGCAAGCUCAAUUCAGAUCGUUUGAUCUUGCAAUAUUUUUUUCCAAUUAAUUGAGGGGGCAUAAGAGAAGACACUGAUUUUACAUCUUAGUAACUUGUUUUUCAUUGGAAUUGGAAAUUUCCAAGUUACCCUGUUUAGACAGUUCUUCCAAUUGAAAUGAUUGAGCCCUUAAACUUGCAUAGCACGGUACUCUGUUAAGAUUCUGGAGUCUUUGAAGACUGCAACCUGAUCCACUUGAUGCUGUGUCAUGGUUCAAUUAACUAGCUAGUCAUGCUUGAGAGGACCUGUCUGACAAACACCAGGAAAAAUCUACAUUAGCAACUAUUUUAUUUUAAUUUUCUUCCUAUGUCUAUAAGUAGAUAGCAUAGAGUGAUUUGUGGUAUAUCCUCUAUGGCAUCAUGUUUUUCCAUAAACACAUUGAUGAUGAAUAAGCUUUCAUAAAUUAGAUAGGGCAUGAGCUCUCCAUGUGGCACUAUUUUUUUUUUGUGGAAAAUAAUUUAGUAUUUUAAGUUUACUACAACCCAUAAAACUUUCCCUUCAUUUGGAAAAAACGAAUCUGAAGCUACCCAGAAGCUGACCUGAAAAGACAUGUCUUAAUUGUUCUUUUAAUUAUUAAUUUUAUUGUGGGCAUGGCCUAGGUUGAGAAAGGUCCAAUAAGGCUUAGAAAAGUCAUGGAAAGAGAUAUAUAUAUAGAAGUGAUAGGUCAAGUUCAUUCAUCCGCAUGAAAAGGACCAGGGUCGACUUCUUAAUGGUUCGUACUUACUAACGUAGAAAUUAGGGAAGAAAUCGCGGCAGGUGCUGCUACCUAGGGAAGGUAACACCAUUGCACUUGACUAUGAUCCUCUACCUCAUGUUCAUGUGAUGAUUAUGACGUAGGUGACAACUGUUUUAUCAGAUUGGAAGUAUAGAAUUCCAAGAAUAUUGAAGACAAAUCAAGCGCAAAUGAAGGCGAAGAUUAACAGAUGGAUUAUUACUCACAAAGGAAACUAAGGGUGAAUCUUCCCAGACAACGAUACAGAAAUGAGUGAUGGGUGCUGCAGUCCCUGUUUCAAGGCUGCUGUAUCGCCUACAGUUAAUCAAUCUCUACAAAAAGUGAUUAAAAAGUUAAUUUUUUUAACAAAAAAAAAAAAGUCCCUUUUUCUCUUUUUUCUUUGAGGUCUUAACUCUAUAACACUCGAUCUAGUUAAAACUAACAUGGAAAGAAUCCAGGUAAAUAGAGAUAGAUGUUUAUCAAAUUAAUAGAGACAAUCCAGACAUCAAGAUUGGCAUGCCAAGCAACCAUCGAGAUGCUACCUUCCAGGCCCUAUAACACAAACUCAUUUCAGAUAGUAUGAUCUUCUGACAUUUUUUUAAACAAAAUUCAAUUAGGGAACAUUUGGGAGGACUCUACAAUUUUACAUUUCAGUAACUUGAUUUUCAUUGGAAUUGGAAAAUUCAUAGUCACCCUGUUGAGGCAGUUCUUCCAAUUCUAAUGCUUGAGCCCUUAAACCUACAUAACACGGUACUCUGUUGGACUAAGACUGAAAGCCUGGCCAAGUCAAAAACUGCAGCGUUGUCCUCUUGAUGCUGUGUCUUGGACAAAUUCCAGGAAAAACCUACAUCAGAGAAAUUUUAGUAUUUUUUUAAACUAGUGUAUAGAAGUCUUCCUUCCAUCUGUGAGAAACGUCAAUGGAGACCCAUCUUUUCUUCGCCAUCUUUUGUGCUUGGAUUUGUCUCUCAGUUCCCUUGGAGUUCUGUAUUGCAGCUGAUUCCAUAAGGAUGGACCAAUCCAUAAGCCAUGGUGAGACUUUAGUUUCCUCAGGCCAAAGUUUUGAACUAGGCUUCUUCUCUCCUGGAAGCUCCAAAAACAGGUACUUGGGAAUAUGGUACAAGAAUACACCCCAGACAGUUGUAUGGGUUGCAAACAGAAACAACCCAAUUGCAGAUUCUUACGGAGUUUUAACCAUCAUCAACAAUGGCGCACUUGUUCUUCUCAACCAGUCAAAGAGUGUAAUCUGGUCUCCCAAUUUGUCAAGGGUACCUGAAAAUCCAGUUGCACGGCUCCUAGAGACUGGAAAUCUUGUUCUCAGGGACAGUAGUAAUGAAAGUUCUGAAAGCUAUAUAUGGCAGAGCUUUGAUGAUCCAUCAGACACAAUGUUGCCACGCAUGAAGGUGGGAUGGAACUUAAAGACUGGUCUACAACAAAAAUUGACAUCAUGGAGAAGUGCUGAUGACCCAUCCCUUGGAGACUUCUCUUACAGAAUUGAUAUUAAUGUGCUGCCUUACGUGGUUCUUGGUGUGGGAUCAAGCAAAAAAGUCCGUUCCGGGCCGUGGAAUGGACUUGAAUUCAAUGGUGUUCUUGUGUUGGACUACUUGGUUUACAAAGCAGUUUUUGUUAACAACGACGAUGAGGUAUAUACCCUCUGUGAGUCUAACAACAAUAAGAUCAUUUCAAGACUAACAUUGAACCAUUCAGGUUUCCUCCAGAGUCUGGUAUCAAAAAAAGGAAGCUCUGACUGGGAUGAUUUGUACUCAAUUCCCAGUGAACUUUGUGUAAAUUAUGGCCAUUGUGGUGCUAAUGGUAUCUGCAGAAUUGGCAAGGCGCGGAUUUGUGAGUGUUUGCCAGGUUUCACACCAAAUUCACAAAAAGAAUGGGACAUGUUUAAUACAUCAAGUGGAUGCAUCGAAGAAGGCCUUUGGAUUGCCAAAGUGAAGAGGGAUUUGUAAAGGUUACAGGGGUGAAAUUGCCCGACUUGAUAGAUUCUCAUGUGAUUAAUAGUGUGAGCCUUAGGGAGUGUGAGGUGUCAUGCUUGAACGACUGUUCUUGUACAGCAUAUGCCUACUCAAAUGCAUAUGCUUACUCAAAUCCUAAUGGAAACGGUGGCUGUUUGAUGUGGUCUGGGGACCUGAUUGAUAUCAGAGAGUUAACUUCAGAAAAACAUGCGGAGGACAUCUAUAUCCGCAUGCACACUUCAGAGCUAGGUAAGACACUUGAUUUUCUGUAAAUCACGUUUUGAUUGUAAGCUAUUGGGGUUGUCUCCAAUAGCCUAAGCCCUAAGUUUUCCUGGUAAAUCAAGAUGCAGAAUUACUUAUUUUCCAAAAUCAGAGAUUCAAUUUGACAAGAAGAUUAUAAUCUAGUUAAAACUAAGACCCUAUAUUAUAUUCCAGAAGAACCAUAGCUGUUAGGAUUCAGGUUAACUAAUGAUGAACUGACUUGUAAUAAUCCUAACAAGCAGAAAGCAAAUAUCCAAUUCAUUUUCUGAAGAAACAGGGAAAUCCGGGGAAAUGGUUACUUCAUUCUUGUUACUGUCUGUUCCAGGGUUAAACACUUAUCAGAAGAAAAAACUAGUGAUCAUCCUUGUUAUAUCUACCUUUUCUGGAAUCCUCACCUUGGGCUUAGCAGUCUGGUUUCUAUUUCAGAAGAAGAGAACAAUGGGAGCAGGUAUGCAUACUUAUCCACCUUGAUGAUUUUAUUGAAAGAAAACCACGUGGUUGUGCUUUAAAAGUAGCUUCUAAAUUAUUAUCCCUUUUAACAGACCAGGAAAGCAAGGAGAACUUAGAGUUACCUUUGUUUGACUUGCCUACCAUUGCAACUGCUACUAACAACUUCUCCAACACCAAUAUGAUUGGAGCAGGUGGCUUUGGGUAUGUGUACAAGGUAAUAUACGCCAUCUUAUGCAUCAGGAUAACCCAAAAAUGAUUUCAAAAGAAAGAAGUGUUAGCUUUUUUCCUAUAAUGUGUGGCCAUAUAUAAUUAUAUUUAUAUAAAUAUUAUUUAAGGCUAUCAAUUGAUAGGUAGGUGAAUCAAUUAAUUGGGCAUCCAAGAGUUUUAUGUAUGGAAGACUCAAAUUACAAAUGGGGAGUUAGAAAAUUUACUUUAUAUGAAUAUGGUGUCACAACUUUUGUAACCCCAUCAUUAUGAAAUUCAUUUUGUACAUUAUGUUUGAGUAAUAGAGGAAAAUGAAAAUGUAUAACUUAUGCAAUUAUAUAGAUGCAUUCAAGUUCAUAACCCACCAUUACCUAUUAAUUUGUACAUAAUGGGUGUAAAUAAUGAGUAUAACUCCCAUAUAGUCUUUGAUGGGAAGACUAAGAGAUGUACAACUUUUUAUAAAUUGAGGUCCCAAGUCACACUCUCAUUCUUAUGUCAUUUUUGUUGUUUAUUUUUAACAACAUACACCACACAAGUGACCCAUCCAUUAUAUGAGAGUAGUGAGUUGAAGAUCUUGAAAAUACAAUUCACAAGGUGACUCAAUCUCACUUCAUGGAUCAAGGUAAGAAUAUGAUCAUUAUUUUAGUAUUUACAUUUAUUUUGUUUUAUGCAUCAAAAUUUUUUUUUAAAAAUAAUUAUUUUCGUAUAAAGUUUAUAAAAGUUUGGUUAAUAAUUGGUAUCAGAGCCAACCAAUUUUGGAUCAUAAAACAUAUUUUUUCAUUUUUUGAUUAUUGUUUGAUCUUAUGGACAACUAAAAUAUAUAUGAUGUGAUGCAUAUGAAUGAUGUAGUAACACACAUUUUCAAUGUUUCAUGAUUUCAAUCAUAUCUAUUGCAUGAUUUUAUGAAAGUUGCAAAAAUAUGAUUAGUAAUUUAAAUGUGUGAUUAUGGAAAUCUCAAGAAAUAGCUUUUCUAGUAUGCAUGUUUAUUUACUUGUUUGUUUGAAGAUGAUCAUAUAUAUAUGUGUGAUCAACCUAACGAAGGAUCAUCACCAUGUUUGAUUAUAUGACAAGAGUUUAAUAAUAAAAGGUUGAUGAAGUUUUUACCCAACGGUAUUAAACUUCUUUACGUUUCAAUACUUUUAUUUUAAUAAUUAUGUCAUAUCUAUAUGAUUUAUGAAUUAUUAUAAUUCAACCCAAUGGAGGGAUUAUAAUAAUGUACUUUUGUGUUAUAUGAUUGUAGUUCGGUCCAACGAAAGAACGAUGAUAUGAUCUCUAAUGUUUAUGAUUAAUGUGAUAUCUAACUUAAUUUUUGUUGUAGUUAUAUAUUAUUGUAAAGUGUGGUGUUAAAUAUUGUCAUGACAUAAAAUAAUUUUCCUUUUUGAAUUAAAUUUUAUUUUCCAGCAAUGAAUCCUACUGCUAUUACAGGCUAUUUGUCUGGUAUUGAAUGAUUAAGUGGGGCAAAUUUUAAAAAAUGGAAGGAACAAAUUGGAAUUGUUCUUGGUUGCAUGGAUUUGGACUAUGCCUUAAGAGAGCCUACACCCACAAAGCCUACUUCUGAAAGUACUAAUGAACAAAAGGCUUUAUAUGAAAAGUGGGAGCGCUCUAAUCGCAUGAGUCUAAUGAUUAUGAAAGGUUCAAUCACUCCUGCAAUUCAUGGAGCAAUCCCGAAUUCAGAUAAUGCAAUGACCUAUAUUAAAUAAGUUGAAGAACAAUUCUUAGGAACUUCCAAGUCAUUGGCAAGUACUCUUAUGAUCAAAAUGAUAACAAUGAAAUAUGAUGGUCAUAGUGGUGUACGUGAGCACAUCAUGAAGAUGAGUGAUAUGGCUUCUCAAUUAAAAGGAAUGAACAUGACAAUUUUUGAAGGUUUUCUUGUUCACUUCAUAAUGACUUCCCGUCCUUCACAAUUUGGUCCUUUCAAAAUUAAUUAUAAUACUCAGAAGGAUAAGUGGAAAAUGAGUGAACUAAUUGCAAUGUGUGUUUAAGAAAAAGAGAGGCUUAAAGUGGAAAAGCCCGAUAUGGCUCACCUCACUAUUGGUCCAAAUAAAAAAUCCUUCAAGAAAGGUAAAGGUAAGAAAAAGAAGCAAGGUAAUGAUGUAUCUCAUAAUGGGAAAAAGGACGAAAAUAAGAUACAAUGUCAUUUUUGCCAUAAGAAAGGUCACAAAAAAAUAUAUUGUUUUGGCUUUAAGGCUUGGUUGGAAAAGAAAGGUAAAACUCAAUGCUUAGUGUCUUAUGAAUCUUAUUUAGUUGAUAUACCACCAAACUCUUGGUGGAUUGACACUGGUGCAAGCAUUCACAUAACAAAUUCAUUGUAGGGAUACCUUAUAAGCAAGAGACUAAGUAAAGGAGAGCGAACCAUUACUUUGGGAAAUGGAACGAAAGUGGAAAUUGAGGCUAUUGGCAUUCUUCGUUUAAUUUUGGAUAUUGGUUUCAUUAUGGAUUUAGUAGAUACAGUUUAUGUUCCUGUUUUUACUAGAAACCUAAUUUCAGUUCCAAGACUUGAUUCUUAUGGUUAUGAAUUAAAGUUUGGAAAUAAUGGAGUUUCCUUGUUCUAUAAUUCUUGUUUGGUUUGCUCUGGCACUUUACAUGGUAAUCUUUAUUCAUUGAAUUUAGAUUGCAAAUAUUCAUAGUCUCUUUUAUCUUAUCAUGUGUAUGAAGUCUCUAAAAAAUGAAAUCGAGUGAAUGAAAAUUCAUCCAUAUUAUGGCAUAAGCGACUGGGUCACAUUUCAAGAGAAAGGAUGGAACGUCUUAUUAAAGAUGAAAUUUUGACUUCACUUAAUUUUUCUAAUUUUACUAGUUGUGUUGAAUGCAUAAAGGGAAAGAUACACUAAGGUUAAGAAAAAGGGUGCCUCAAGGGCCACUGAAUUGUUAGAAUGUAUUCAUUCUGACAUUUGGGGACCUUAUUCAAUUCCAACUAUCAAUGGACAUAAGUACUUUAUUAGUUUUAUUGAUGACUUUUCAAGGUAUUCUUAUGUGUAUCUUAUUCGUGAAAAAUAUGAAGCAUUAGAUGUUUUUAAGAUUUAUAAAGUUGUGGUUGAAAAUCAACUCAAUCGGUGAAUUAAAAGUGUAAGAUCUGAUAGAGGUAGUGAAUAUUAUGGUAGGUUCACUGAAUCAGGUCAACUUCUUAGUACUUUUGCCUUAUUUUUAAGAGAGCAUGGUAUCAUUGCAAACUACACAAUGUCUGGAACACCAGAGCAAAAUGGUGUAGUAGAGCGACGGAAUCGUACUCUAAUUGACAUGGUGAGAAGUAUGAUGAGUAACUCAACCUUGCCUGAAUUUUUGUGGGGUGAAGCAUUGAAAACUACUGUUCACAUUCUCAAUCAUGUUACUAGUAAGGUUGUACCCAAAACUCCUUAUGAGUUAUGGGUGGGUAGGAAACCGACUUUGAAUUAUUUACAUGUAUGGGGAUGUCCAGCUGAAGCUAAAUUUUUUAACCCACAAAUAAAGAAAUUAGAUUCUAAAACCAUAAGUUGCAAUUUCAUUGCCUAUCCUGAAAUAUCGAAAUGUUUUAGAUUUUAUUAUCAUGGCCAGGGCCCUAAAAUUGUUGAAACUAGACAUGCUGCGUUUUUGGAAAAUGAAUAUUUUAAUGGGAGAACUGAGCUUAAAAAGUUAACCUCUAAUGAAGUAUCAACACCAAUGAUGGAAUAUGGUGUGACUCAAGAGGUUUCUAGUAAUGAAAAUGAGAAUGUCCCAACUACAGAAGUAUUUUUACGUAGAUCACAAAGAGAGAAAAUACAUGCUAUAUCAAAUGACUACGAAGUUUAUCUUAAUGAGUGUGAUUAUGAUGUUGGCUUGGAAAGUGAUCCUACUUCUUAUGAUCAAGCCAUCAAUAGUGAAAAUUCAACUCUAUGGCUUUAUGCUAUGGAAGAAAAGUUGAAAUCAAUGAAAGAUAAUGAAGUUUGGGAUCUUGUAGAAUUGCCCAAAGGAAUUAAAACUAUUGGUUGCAAAUGGAUUUUAAAAACCAAAUAUGAUUCUAAGGGCAACGUCGAAAGAUACAAGGCCAGGUUAGUUGCAAAAGGAUACACUCAAAAAGAAGGAAUCGCCUACAAGUAAACAUUUUCUCCUAUUUCCAAGAAAGAUUCUUUAAGAAUAGUCAUGGCUUUAGUAGCUCAUUUUGACUUAGAGUGACAUCAAAUAGACGUUAAAACUGCCUUUUUGAAUGGUGACUUGCAUGAAGAGGUUUAUAUGGAUUAACCUGAGGGUUUUCAGGAUAAAGGCAAGGAAUAUAUGGUAUGUAAACUUAAAAAGUCCAUAUAUGGUCUAAAGCAGGCUUCUAGACAAUGGUAUCUUAAGUUCCAUGAAAUUCUCAUCACUUUUGGUUUCAAAGAGAAUCUAGUGGAUCAAUGUAUAUACCUUAAGAUCAGUGGGAGCAAAAUUUGUAUUAUUGUUUUGUAUGUUGAUGGUAUGUUGCUUGCUAGCAACAAUAUGGGGAUGAUUUUUGAGACCAAACAAUUUUUAUCUAAGAAUUUUGAUAUGAAAGAUCUUGGUGAAGCAUCCUAUGUGAUAGGAAUUGAAAUUCAUCGAGAUAGGUCACGUGGAUUAUUAGGAUUAUCCCAAAAGAACUAUAUUGAAAAAGUUCUUAAAAGAUUCAACAUGCAAAAUUGUUCUAGCAAUGUUGCUCCUGUUGUGAAAGGGGACAUAUUUUGUGAACUUCAAUGUCCCAAAAAUGAUCUUGAAAAGAAACAAAUGGACAAAAUUCCUUAUGCUUCUGCAAUAGGGAGUAUCAUGUAUGCUUAAGUAUGCACUCGACCAAAGAUAGCUUAUGUGGUAGGCAUGCUUGGUCGAUACAUAAGUAAUCCAAGUAUUGAUAAUUGGAAAGCAGUUAAGAAAGUAUUGCGUUAUUUACAAGGGACUAAGGACUACAUGCUUACAUAUAAAAGAACAGAUAAUCUAAAGAUUAUUGGUUAUUCUAAUUCUGAUUAUGUUGGUUGUAAGGAUACCGGAAAAUCUACAUCUGGGUAUAUUUUUAUGUUAUCAAAUGGACCUAUUUUAUGGAAGAGCCAUAAGCAAUCAUUGAUAGCUUUUUCUACAAUGGAGGCAGAAUAUGUAGCAUGUUAUGAAGCCACAUGUCAUGUAAUAUGGUUGAGAAACUUUGUAUCAGGGCUUCAUGUUAUUGAUUCGAUAAUGAGACCAUUGAGAAUAUAUUGUGAUAAUAGUGUUAUUGUUCGAUUCUCUAAAAAUAAUAAGACUACAGGAGGAUCAAAGCACAUUGAUAUUAAGUAUUUGGUUAUAAGGGAGAAAGUUCAAAAUGGAGUUGUCUCUAUUGAACAUAUUGAAAAUACACUCAUGUUGGCAGAUCCAUUGGCAAAAGGUCUUCCACCUAAGCUUUUUAUGGAUUAUGUUGCGCACAUGGGCUUGGUGGUAAGUUUGUCAAUUUUAGAUUGAUUAAGAGUGUAAUGUAUGUGAUCACAUUAUAAUGAGAAUAAAGUUCUUGAUUAUGAUAUAUUGAUGAUUAUUAUGUUACUUUUAUACAUCAUUUUUGUGCACAAUCUAGAUGUUUAAAAGUUGAUGGGACCAUUAUGUGAAUGAAUUAGUAUUAUCACCUUAAUCUUUCUAAUGUCAUAAAAGUCAUUGAUUCAUGUUAAUGGAGGUGCUAGUACUAUAAUCCUUGAAGAAUAUUGGAUCAUUGUGUGAUCCAAUCAUUUCAAUGAUUUGGUGUUAGUGGUUCUAUGAAACAUAAUCUUAAUGUAAAGGAUGCCUAUUUUGAGAAAUUGUUAUGGUCAUAUUAUGUUUUAAUCUAUUACAAAUAUAAUUAUGUAGGCCAAGUGAGAGAUUGUUAGCUUUUUUCCUAUAAUGUGUGGUCAUAUAUAAUUAUAUUUGUAUAAAUAUUAUUUAAGGCUAUCAAUUGAUAGGUAGGUGAAUCAAUUGAUUGGGUAUCCAAGAGUCUUAUGUAGGGAAGACUCAAAUUACAAAUGGGGAGUUAGAAAAUUUACUUUAUAUGAAUGAGGUGUCACAACUUUUGUAACCCCAUUAUUAUGAAAUUCAUUUUGUACAUUAUGUUUGAGUACGUAAUGGAGGAAAAUGGAUAUGUAUAACUUAUGCAAUUAUAUAGAUGCAUUCAAGUUCAAAACCCACCAUUACCCAUUAAUUUGUACAUAAUGGGUGUAAAUAAUGAGUAUAACUCCCAUAUAGUCUUUGAUGGAAAGACUAAGAGAUGUACAACUUUUUAUAAAUUGAGGUCCCAAGCCACACUCUCAUUCUUAUGUCAUUUUUGUUGUUUAUUUUUAACAACAUACACCACACAAGUGACCCAUCCACUAUAUGAGAGUAGUGAGUUGAACACCUUGACAAUACAAUUCACAAGGUGACUCAAUCUCACUUUAUGGAUCAAGGUAAGAAUAUGAUCAUUAUUUUAGUAUUUACAUUUAUUUUGUUUUAUGCAUCCAAAUUUUUUUUUAAAAUAAUUAUUUCCGCAUAAAGUUUAUAAAAGUUUGGUUAACAAGAAGAGAAAAAUAAUUGUGUCUUACACAUCAUAUUUUGUAGGGCAAUCUAUCUGAAGUAGCAGUAGCAAUGAAGAGAUUGUCCAAGAAUUCAGCACAGGGUGUUCAAGAGUUCAAGAAUGAAGUUGUUUUGAUUGCGAAACUUCAGCACAAGAAUCUUGUUAGGCUUUUGGGCUGCUGCAUUCAAGGAGAAGAAAGAAUAUUACUCUAUGAUUAUAUGCCUAACAAAAGCUUGGAUUAUUUUAUUUUUGGUUUGACCUUCUUAUCCCUAUCUGUUAGGAUUAGUUUCACUUUUUGAUCACCUAUAUUAUGCUCAGUCGUGUUCAAUUCAAUUCACACAUCUAAGUAAUUAAUUAAGCCUAAUAAAAAAAUUUAUAAAGGCAGAUGUAUUGUGCAGAUCAAAACAAAAGAGCAUCAUUGGCAGGGGAUAAGCGCUGCAAGAUUAUUAUAGCGAUAGCACGAGGGCUUCUCUACCUCCAUCAAGACUCUAGAUUUCAAAUUAUUCACAGGGAUCUCAAGAUAAGCAAUAUUUUACUGGAUGACAAUCUCAAUCCUAAAAUUUCAAAUAAAGAAUUCUCUCUAACCUCCUCUCAACAUAUUGAACAUAAAUUCUAGUUGGUUAAGGCUGCGAAUCACAUACGAAAUACAAUGAAUGAUGAAAUUCAAUCAUCUGAUGACAAUUUUUAGGUAAGAUUUAUAACUUUCAUUUGUUUCUAUAAAGAAAUAUAUAUAUUUAUCAAAAAAUAAAAAUAAAAAUCGGCAACUUGGGUGGGGCUUUGGCGUCCUGGGAGGCAGUAACCACGACAGUGGUUAUGGUUUGGAGUAGGGAUGAAAGUCGGUGACCAUCAACAACGAUGGUUGGGCAAAAUUUUUGCUUAUAAUAAUUAUAAAAAUCAAAUUUUUUAUUAUUAUUUAUAAUAGUUAAUAAAUUACUUUUCGUUUAUAAUAGUUAGAAAAUUCUUCAUGACAUAAAUUUUUGCUUAUAAUAAUUAUAAAAUUCUAAUUCUUUUAUUUGUUUAUAAUAUUUACUAAAUUACUAAUUUUUUGUAAGAAAACAUUAUAGUAGCCACAUAAAUUAUUAAUUUAAACAAGAUUUGUUUUUGCCAAUUUUACUAAUUUAAAUGUUUUAAUUUCUUUUUUUGAAAAUUUUAACUAAUUGCUUCAUGUUUUAAUUUUUUAAAUGCUUUAACUUUGUCAUGUACAUUCUCAUAUAAUUUGUAUAAUGUUAUUGUCUUCAUGAUAUAAAUAGAAUUUUUUAUCUAUUUUGUAAGAUGAAUAUUUUGUGGAGGAAUUUCCAUCACAAUUGAUAGAUUAUGGCAAACAUUUCACUAUACAUAAAAGAUUCAAAGAUCGAGAAGAGUUUAUUAAAGAGGUUAAACAAAUUGGAGAACAACAAAAUAUAUUUGUGAUUAUUUGUCGUUCCACUAAAGCUGAUGGUUUAGGAAGUGGCAAAGUAUGGAUAGGCUGCGAGAUAUUCGAAGGCUAUAGACCGUAACAGAACAUAAAAACCGAUGUGGUGCCUAGAAAUCGAACUAGGACGAAGAAGUGUCAUUGUCCCUUUAUGUUGAAGGGUAUUGAACAUGAUGAUGGAGGACUUUAGUCAUCAUUAAUGGCAACCACAAUCACUACCUUGGAAAGUAUCCUCACGGUCAUUCAUCGGUUGGUAAAUUAAAGGAAAUAGAGUUCAAGAUAGUAGCUACAAUGACCAAAAGUCAUGUUAAGCCACAACUUAUCUUAAAUCACGUCAAACGGGAGAAUCCAAGCAACUUGAGUUGUGGGAAACAUGUCUACAAUGCCAAGCAAAACCUUAAAGAUCAGAAAAAGAAAGGUUGUUCAGUGAUGCAACAACUACUAAAAUUGCUAAUUGAUCAUGGUUAUAUCACCACUGGUAUAGAGAAGUGAUAAGGUUAAUUUUGAGGAAGAGAAGGUAGAAAAGAAGAAGAGGACGGAGAAGGAUUUUUGGAUUUUCUGCUAUGCUUUAUUGAUCAUAAUACCGACUAUUUAUAAUAGUCUUACAGCUGGGAAAUAACAAACAAUGCUAUAACUUAGGAAAGAACUAAGGCCAGUCCACCUGGUAAAACAAAUAAAACAACACAAUGAAGACUAGCUCCGACCAGCUUAUUAAGUGGAGACUAGUUAACAGACUACUGACUAAGUCUAGUAAGGCUCACGUAUCAUGCCUCCCCUCCCUCAAGGAUCCUUGUCCUCAAGGAUAAAAAUCUGGAUAGGACCUGUUGAAGCGUCAUUCGUUCUCCUAGGUUGCAUCUUCCCUUGGAGCUCCCUUCCACUUGAUUAAAACUUUAGACCUUGGACGGUAUUUCCCUUUUUGAAUAACUCGUCGAUCAAGUACAACUUCAGGUUGUGGUAGUAUAACCAAAUCUUCUGAAACUAGAGGAAGUUGAUUCUGAACUAGAGUAUGUACUGGACCCAAAUGUUUCCGCAACAUGCUAACAUGAAAUACACUGUGAAUUUGAGUUCCCGGAGGGAGAGCUAACCAAUAAGCCACUGGAUCUACUUUUCCCAUAAUCAGAUAAGGGCCAAAGAAACGUGGAGCAAGCUUCAUUGAAGCUCGAAAUGCCACAGAAGUUUGGCGAUAUGGUUGGAGCUUCAGAUAGACAUAAUCACCAAUAUCAAAAGAGACUUCUCAUCGUUUCUGAUAUUCUUGACAUUUCAUUCGCUGACUAGCUAGUGAAAGGUUGUGGCGUAGCACACUUAAGAUGGUGUCACGGUCACGAAGGUAUUCAUCAACUACUUGAAUGUGAGAAGUACCUAGAACAUAAGUUAGAAUGCUUGGUGGAGGAAUUCCAUAGACGGCUUCAAAUGGUGUCAUUUUGGUUGAGGAAUGGAUGAAAGUAUUAUAGCUAAACUCAGCCCAGGGAAUCCACUCGAGUCAUUUUCGCGGUUGAUCACCUGCAAAACAUCGCAAGUUUUGUUCCAAAGUGCGGUUUACUACCUCGGUCUGACCAUCAGUUUGUGGGUGGUAACUUGAGCUCAUGCGAAGCUUGGUUCCUUGUAGCUGGAAUAGUGUUUGCCAAAAAGAACUGAUAAACACUUUAUCUCGAUCACUCACUAUGGAUGUCAGAACACCAUGGAGGUGAACCACGUUGGCUAUAAAUGAUUUAGCAAUAGUGACUGCGGUAUAUGGAUGUCUUAAGGCAACAAAAUGAGCAUAUUUUGUUAAGCGAUCAACAAUUACCAUGAUGACUGUGUGUCCAUUUGACGGUGAUAAUCCUUCGAUAAAAUCCAUUGAUACUUCAGUCCACAUCUAGGUAGGAAUGGGUAAUUGUUGAAGUAAGCCAGCUAGUUUCAUGCAGUCGGUUUUGUACCUUUGACAUACACUGCAUUGUUGUAGAAACUCUUUCACUACUCGACGCAUUGCUAAGGCAUGCGAGAAAGUGUUUUAUGGAAUCCAAAAUGCCCCCUAGUUGGUGAUGAGUGGCAAUCUGCAAUUAUUUGGUGAAUUAAAACUGCAGUGGGACUCAAGUAGACUUUGUUGUUUUUGAACCAAACUUCAUCUCGAAGUGUUAGCUGGUAAGGAGAUUGUGUUUGGCUCAACUUCUUAUAAAAAUGAUCUUUUUGUACUUUCUCUUAUAAUUUUGGCCACCAAUCUGCACGUGGCAUAGAAAUGGAUAAGAACUGAAAUUCAACCACACAAGAAAGGAAGUCAACAGCUUGAUUUUCAGGCCCACGCUUGUACCCAAUUUCAUAGUCAUAUCCAAGGAUCUUUGGGAGCCACCGGGUUUGUGCUGGUGUGGUAAUUCGCUGCUCAAGUAAAUAUUUGAGGCUCCUUUGGUCGGUGCGCACCGUAAAUGGUUUGCCCAGAAGAUAUGGACGCCACUUUUGAAUUGACUUGACAAUUGCAACAUUUCUUUCUCAUAUGUAGAUAACAACAAGGCUGACAUCUUCAAAGCUUCACUAAAGUAAGCUAUGGGCCGAUUAUUUUGAGAAAGGACUGCUCCGAUUCCAAUCCCACUAGCGUCGCAUUCAAUUACGAAUAUUUGAGAAAAAUCUAGAAGGCCUAGGACUGGUGGAGAUGUGAGUGUUUUCUUUAGUCUUCGAAAAGCAAGUUCCGCUGCAUCGUUCCAUUUAAAUCCUUCUUUAGACAAGAGUUGCGUUAAUGGAGCCGCUAUACCUUCAAAAUGACGGAUAAAUUUGAGGUAAUACCCUGCUAGCCCGAGAAACCCAUGCACUCCUUUUGUUGUGGAAGGUGUUGGCCAUUCAAGAACAACUUGUAUUUUUGUUGGGUCUACUACCACUCCAUGUUCGGAAAUGAUGUGUCCCAAAUAGUCCACCUGAGAAACACCAAACCUGUAGUUGGUUGCCUUAGCAAACAAGUGAUUAGUUUUUAAAAUCUUAAGAAUGGUCCGGAGAUGUGAGAGAUGGUCAUCCCAUGUCUUUGAAUAAACUAGAAUGUCAUCAAAGAAUACCAAGAUAAAUUUUCUGAGAUACGUGCGGAAGAGGUCAUUCAUAAGGCUUUGGAAGGUGGAUGGUACAUUGGUAAGGCCAAACGACAUUACAAUGAACUCAUAGUGCCCUUCAUGUGUUCGAAAAACUGUUUUUGAAAUAUAUUCUUCAUAUACCCGAAUCUAAUGGUAUCCGGCCUUCAAAUCUAACUUGAAGAAGAAUUUGGCUCUGUGAAGUUCAUCAAGGAGUUCAUCAAUUACUGGAAUUGGAUAUUUAUCCUUGACUGUGAUGCAGUUCAGUGCUCGAUAGUCAACACAAAAUCGCCAAUCACCAUCCGCCUUCUUGACUAACAAGACAAGUGAUGAAAAUGGACUUUUACUAGGCCUUAUCAAUCCUGAUUGUAGUAGUUCUCGCACCAAUUUCUCAAUUUCUGUUUUCUGGUAGUAUGGGUAACGGCAGGGUCGCACACUCACUGGUUCAAUGUUUGGCUGUAAUGGGAUGCGGUGGUCAUGUGGUCUUUUUGGGGGUAAGCUGGUGGGUAGUUCAAAUACUUUAGAGAAUUCGGUUAAGAGAUGGGUUAUGUUAGGUGACAGAAGACUUGGUUGGGGUACAUUGGAAGAGAGUAAAAUUUGGAAGAGGAAUCCAGUACCUUGAAAAGAAUUAAAUUCUUUAUCAGAUAAGGCUUCUAGAGCAGCAUGCUUCAGACCUUGGAAGAUGCAGGAUUUUUCUCCAAUUUUAUAGGUCAUGGUCAGUUUUUUGUAGUCCAUCUCUAUUGGCCCAAGGGUCUCCAACCAUUGCACACCUAGGACCAAUUGGCAAGCUGAAACAGGAAGCACAUAAUAGUCAGCGGUGAUCGAUUUACCUUGGAUGGAAAUGGUGACAGUUGGACACAAUCCCACGCAUUCUAUUUUUUCUUAGUUGGCAACCAUGACUUGAAAUUUCUUUGCUGGAAUGAUGGGUAAUCCAUGCUUGGUGACUAUGGCCUGAUCAAUAAAAUUGUGGGUGCUCCCACCAUCUAUGAGCACAGUUACAUUUUUGUUUUUGAGUUUGCCUAAUACUUUUAAGGUGAUUGGUUCCAGCGAUUGCAUGAAAGGAGAUUUCAGGCAAGGUUUCUUGGUUAUCAGGUUCUAUUUGGGGUUGUUCAUCCUUGUCAACGUUUGAUUGAUCCAAAUCCUCCAUCAUGAAUAUUUGUGGACGUUCACAUCGAUUACCCGGAACAAACUUAUCAUCACAAUAGUAGCAUAGUCUUUUUUCACGACGCUCUCUCGCCUCUUGGUUAGUUAUUCGUCGGAAGGUGUUUGGGUUAACAUUUGCACUUUGACUUCCACGCUGAUUAGGAGGAGGGCUUAGGACUCCGGAAGUAGAGUUGGGACCUGCUCUUGAUGUUGAAAUCACUGGUUGAGGUCGACUUGGGUAAUUCAGUUUCCUCUGAAGUUGAUUUCCCUCUUCUAUCAGUCGAGCAACUCCUAUAGCGUACGCCAGCACCUUUGGUUGUUUAAUUUUUACAUCUAGGCGAAUGUAGUCUCGAAGACCUGUAAUAAAACAACCAACAAGGAAUGCCUCAGGUAAGCCAUCAACUUGAUGAGACAGUUUUUCAAAAGUUUCAUGAUAGGCUGCCACAGUCGAAGUCUGUCGGAGUCAUGUGAGAGCUUCAGAAGGGUCCUCAUAAUCAGUUGGUCCAAAGCGAAGAAGGACGACUUUGGUGACUUCAUCCUAAUCUUGUGGUCCACGGAAUUUCAUGAACCAUCAGUGCCACUGUAGAGCUAUGCCUUCUAAAUGGAAGGAGGCUAGCUGAACUCGUUGGUCCGUACUGAUGUUUUUAAAUUCAAAAUAUUGCCCUGCUUUGUAAAUCCACCCGAUUGGGUCUUCUCCAUUGAAUUUUGGGAAGUGUAGCUUGAGGUAGGGGUGAGGGUCGUUUGGGGUAUAGGGUUUCACAGUGCUUGAGGGAUGUGAUGUGUCUCCUUGGUAAAAGGGGUUAAUUUCAGGUGGGGUGGCUGGGGUAGUGUGAGAGACUCCCAAGACUUGUAAUUCGGUUAAUACUGAUUGCAGGGCAGCAUUGAUUUGAUCGAAACUGGACUCAUGUCGAGCCAAGGCUUCAUUCACAUCAUUGCGAAAUUCAGCAUUAGUUUUAUCACUAGUGUCCAUUGUCAGAACCUGGCUUUGAUAGCAAAUGAUAAGGUUAAUUUUGAGGAAGAGAAGGUAGAAGAGAAGAAGAUGAUGGAGAAGGAUUUCUGGAUUUUCUGCUAUGCUUUAUUGAUCAUAAUACCGACUAUUUAUAAUAGUCUUACAGUUGGGAAAUAACAACAUGCUGAAGACUAGCUUCGACUAGCUUAUUAAGUGGAGAAUAGUUAACAAACUACUGACUAAGUCUUACAAGGCUCACGUAUCAAGAAGAUGCAGAAACUAACACAGUGAGUGAUAUAUUAUUUGCUCAUCCAAAAUCUAUUCACUUAUUGAAUGUUUAUUCAUAUGUUUUGAUCAUGGAUAGUACUUACAAGACUAACCGAUACUUAAGCCUCUUAUGUACCUAAAGUUAUCAUGUUUACUACUAUAUUUCAAGCUUCAAGUUAGAUCUUUGAAUGCAAUUGACCAAAUUAGGACUAUAUAUCUUUCUUUUUUGGGGGAAUUGUUCAUCAAAGUAUAAUUUUUUUUCCUUUAGGCAUGGGACCAAUGGAAAAACAAUAGAGAACUGUAGUUGAUUGAUCCAGCACUAAAUGAGAUAUCUUCAAGACAUAUUCUGUUAAGGUACAUCAAUGUAGCCCUUCUUUGUGUUCAAGAAAGUACAAAUGAUAGGCCCACCAUGUCCGAUGUUGUCUCCAUGUUUGGCAAGGAAACUGUACUUUUAUCUUCUCCAAAUGAGCCGACCUUCUCAAAUCUAUCGAGUAUGAAACCACAUGCAUCUCAAGAUAGGCUUGAAAUUUGUUCCUGAAAUGAUGUAACACUUUCAAGCGUGGGAGCACGAUAAGUGUUCUAAAUUGCAGAUUGCAUAUGCUUAAAUGUCUUCAGCGUAUUGUCUAGUAUUAUAUCGGCCAUCAAGUUGAUUGUUGAUGUACUGAACGUGUGAACUUUUGUAUGUAUUUUUCUUUCAAUGCAGUUCAAUAAUGUGCUUACUUUUACUCAAUCCUCAAGGAUUCAGACCCGUAUCUCAUCUUCCCAUCUGUAAUUGCUACUGAAUCUGCUUUUAUACAUUGCUAAUCCAGAGUGUAAAAUACAACCCUCAGAGCUCACUUCAAAUAUUCAACUAGUACUAGGAAAGACGAGCUUUUGUGCAUGCUACAACUAAGCAUAAGUACUAAUUAACAUAUAGGCAAGAGGGAAAGUGAGGAAGUAAAGCAGUUGUAAAUUUUUUUGCCUUUUAAGCUGUGAUAUCAUCUAACAUUUUUUUAAGGGAAGAAAUAUUAUAAUUGAAGGUUUAUGUUGAGUACUUGUAAAACCUUCUUUUCUUAUUGGACAUGGUUUCAAUAAAAUCCAUUUGGUUGCCAAGAAAUCUGAGGGAGUUUAGGAUGUGAAUGAGGAAUUUGAAGUCUACCCUCGUCCCUAUAGCUUAAAAUGAAAAGGCAUAGUUACAAACUAAGCUUACAUCGUGGCAUAAACGUUUAUAUUCCUUAGUGGGGCUUGCAGUAGAGAUUGACCCGGAAGCCAACCAAAAAAGACAUGCAUCUAUGGUUCAAAUGAUUUUCUAAACUUAUUAAAUUGAUUUUCAAGAACUUGAUAAAUACCUCAUUUCUGUAAUAAGGUGAUUUCAAACGUUAGAAAACAGUGAAGGAAAAUGUGAAAUCACUCUACCACCAAGCAUAGAUGGACACUCAAGAAUAAAUAGUAGAGUUGGAUUUGAACACAAACCUCUUUUAAAGAAGAGAAUGUAAAGAUGAUUAUGAAAAAUUAGGUGUUGUUUGUUUUUUUAAUUUUUUUUUUAUAGAAAAAAUAUUUUGUUUUAGAUUUCAAAUAGUUUGUUUUUGUACAUUUUGUUAAUAUAUUACUUAUUUCUUAAAUUUUUUUAAUAUAAAAAAAGAUAUUUGACUUUUUCUGGAUGCUAAAAGUAAUUUAUAGGUUUUUUUUUUACUUCUUAAAUAUUUAAUAAAAAUAAAAUAUUUUAAAAAACAACUUCAUAGUUAACGUUAUUAAAUACUAUUUAGUUUUAAAUUCAAAUUAAAAUUAAGAUCUUCACCAUGCAUCUUAAAAUUGAAAAUAUAUAUAUAUAUAUAUAUAUAUAUAUAUAUAUAUAUAUAUAUAUAUAUAACCGGCCCUCACUUUCCUUGAUAUUUCAUUUUGUCUCUCUUCUUUCUCUUUACAUUCAUCAUUGCAGCUGUCGUGGAAGAUAUCCAACUCAUAGAGUUAAUCAAACAUAAAAAAAAAAAAAAAUCCUUUUUUUUUCUUUGAUUUGUUUAUAGAUGAUUUUCUACUUUUAUUUUUAUGGUUAUUGGUUUCUUCGGUCAUGAUUUUUUAUGAUAUAUAAAUCCAUUUUAAAUUUGUUGUUAGAUGGAUUAAUUUUUAAUUUUUAAUCUUAUUUAGACAAUUUAUCUUUAAAUAAUAGAAUUGGCUGUUAGAAUUCUUAUCAUUUUUAUUAAAUUAUAAUUCUAAUUCAAUAAAAUAAAUAUGGUCAAAAAAUUGAAAUUGACCGGAUGCUACUUUAUUAUAAUUGGAGAGGUAUGACACGGAAGAGUUCAUUUAUCAUUUUUCAAAGGGAGAAUUAGCAAAGAUGGUGGGCUCCAUACAACUAAGGUUUGACCCGUUUGUUCAUUUAUCAUUUUUCAAAAGGAGAAUUACCAAAGAUGGUGGGCUCUGAUUGAUAAUGAGUCAUCAACUUGAUAAUCUUUCAUAUGCUUCAAAAUAUAAAAACUCAAACAUACCCUUAUGUCUUUUAUUUUAAAGUCAAACAUAUCCUUACUUGGCCUUUUCCCUAUUUUGUCUUUUCUUCAUUUUAUUUUAUUUUUUAAUUAUUAUUUUUAAAAUAUGAAUAAUAAUCAUAAAAAUAAAUAAUAUUAGUAAGAAUGAUAUUAAUAAAUAACAUGAAUAAUUCAAAAUAUUAAUAUUAUAAAUAAUAAUAUUAACACUAAUAAUAAUAAUGUGUAAAGAAGUAUAAAAGAAAAACAAUAAAAAAAGGUAAAAUUAAAUGAGAAUAAUAGGAAAAAAAAAGGUACAAUUAGAAUUCUAAAAUGAUCAACUUUUCAAAGGUCUUGAUAGGAAUUUAUAAACAUGGUGACCCUUUUGGGUCAUUAUCACGGGUAGCUCACCCUAAAUGAGAAUUCUCCUUUUUUUAAAUUCACGUUGACCUUUUCACUAGAUAAAAUUUAAUAAUUGAAAGAAUACCACAUGCAUUUUUUGUAUGGAAGGAGGUCCCUUAGGAUACAACAUUGUCUAAAAUCAUUUAUAUAACUACUAUUUUUUUUUUUCAAAUAUCUUAUUUAAAAAAAGGAAAAUAUCAAAAAUCCCCCAUUAGGUCAACAUUACUUAUUUGUAUGCUGGCUGGCCAUAAGAUUAUUGAUGGGCUGCUUAAACGCUGCUUAUGAGUAAUGGGUAACAUGAAAAUUUCAACCAGAAGGUGGUCUGCUAAUCUCGUUUUCUUGCUUAUUUCUUCAGGUUUUCACUUGCAAUUUGUUGAUGCCUUUACAGAUACAAUCUUACAAGGUCAAUCACUCACAACCUCUCAGACCAUCAUAUCUGCUGGUGGUAACUUUGAAUUAGGAUUCUUUUCUCCUGGAAAGUCCACAAAAUAUUAUGUGGGGAUAUGGUACAAGAAAUUCUCAGAGCAAACCAUUGUGUGGGUAGCUAACCGAGAUUAUUCAUUCACAAAUCCAUCCGUGGUUCUUACUGUCAGCACAGAUGGCAACCUCGAGAUUUUGGAGGGGAAGAUUUCGUACAAGGUGACAAGCAUAUCAUCAAACAGCAACACUAGUGCCACCCUGUUGGAUUCUGGAAAUCUUGUUUUGAGAAAUAAGAAGUCAGAUGUCUUAUGGGAGAGCUUUGACUAUCCAUCGGACACGCUCCUGCCCGGAAUGAAACUUGGAUAUGACAAAAGGGCUGGAAAAACAUGGUCACUGGUGUCAUGGAAGAGCAGAGACGAUCCCAGUCCAGGAGCUUUCUCCAUAGAACACGAUGCGAAUGAAAGUAGUCAGAUUUUUAAUCUGCAAGGACCCAAAAUGUAUUGGACUAGUGGGGUGUGGAAUGGGCAGAUUUUCAGCCAGGUUCCUGAGAUGCGUUUGUCCGACAUGUAUAAGUACAAUGCAUCCUUUAAUGAGAAUGAAAGCUAUUUGACUUACUCUCUUCGUUAUCCCUCCAUUCUGAGCAGAGUGGUGCUAGAUGUGUCAGGCCAGGUUAGGAAACUGAAUUGGCAUGAAGGCACACAUGAAUGGGAUUUAUUUUGGCUUCAACCAAAAACACAGUGUGAGGUUUAUGCUUACUGUGGGCCUUUCGGAACCUGCACUCGGGAUUCUGUUGAAUUUUGUGAAUGCUUGCCAGGUUUUGAACCUCGCUUCCCUGAAGACUGGAAUCUGCAAGACAGAUCUGGAGGGUGUGUGAGGAAAGCAGAUUUGGAGUGUGUCAAUGAAAGCCAUGCUAAUGGGGAGCGAGACCAGUUUCUUUUGGUGUCUAACGUGAGACUGCCCAAGUAUCCAGUAACACUGCAAGCAAGGAGUGCUAUGGAGUGCGAAUCAAUUUGCCUGAAUCGCUGCUCUUGCUCUGCUUAUGCUUAUGAGGGAGAGUGUAGAAUAUGGGGUGGAGAUCUUGUAAACGUGGAGCAGCUACCAGAUGGUGACAGUAAUGCUAGAAGUUUCUAUAUCAAACUUGCUGCCUCUGAGCUAAAUAAGAGAGGUAAGAAAAAAGAGUCAUAGUUGUUAUUGUAGGAGGACAUAAAGCAUAUGGGUCUUGUUUUAUUUUCAAAAUAAAAUGGCCAUCGAUUCAGCUAAAUUUAAUAUGAUAUAUUUCCUUCUACAGUUUCAAGCAGCAAGUGGAAGGUAUGGCUAAUUAUUACACUGGCCAU
rnacentral:lncRNA from 1 species